rnacentral:lncRNA from 1 species
GACUAAUGGAACUAGACUCUCUAUGGCCAAUCCUCAACUGUACAUGAACGCACGCCUUUCACCCAUCUCUCUAACUUAUUUUGGGUUUUGUCUGGGAAAUGGAAACUACACUGUAAACCUCCAUUUUGCUGAGAUAAAGUUUAGAAACGGCAAAACGUAUAAAAGCUUGGGAAGGCGCAUAUUCGACAUUUACAUUCAGGUAAGUAUCGCAUCCACUUCCAUGUAUAUAUACCAGUGAAUUAUUCUAAUUUUCAACAAGCAUUGUUUAUAUCAUGAAGCCGACCCCACUUAGUGGGAAAAGGCUUUGUUGUUGUUGUUGUAUUGUUUAUAUCAUGAAAUGUUAAGCAACUAAAUUAGUGUGUGUGUGUGUGUGUUUAUAUAUAUGUAUAUAUUGCAGGGAAAACUAGUGAAGAAGGACUUCAAUAUCAUGGAUGAAGCUGGUGUGUUUGGUGAUGUAGUCAUAAAGAACUUUACUGCUCCUGUGACUAAUAAUACAUUGGAGAUUCGUUUCUAUUGGGCCGGGAAAGGGACGACGGCGAUCCCUGUUAAAGGAGUCUAUGGUCCACUUAUUUCAGCUAUAUCAGUAGACCCAAGUAAGCUUCCACUGAUUUUAGCUUCGUCUAAUUACUAUGCAUCGACCAUAUGCAUUGAUAUAUCUACUAAAUUAAGAGAUCCUACUUCUGCAAGGUUCUUCUUCUUCAAUAUUUCCUUUCCCUUGUUAUUUCACAAAAAUGCUUCUGCGUGUUUCUCUUGUUUUACAUAGUUUGAGCCAAGACUUGAAGAAAUACUCUCUUAAAUUUUCUUAUCACAUAAUAUGCUUCUUUUUUUCCUAGGUGAUGGGUAUGCGCUUUUAAAUACAACAAAAUUCAACUUCGAGCAUUUUUAACUAUUUACAUGAAAACUAUCCAGUUCACUAGAGUAAACAUAUAAUAUUUACAACCAUCCAACGAAAGUUUGUUCGAGAGAUUACUUCAUAUACUAUCUAAUUAUUUAAGGAUGCCCUAAAGACCGGGUUCAAUCUUCUGUUUCGUUUUGCAUUAGAUAGCUGGUUGAGCAAUCCAACCUCAUAUUAAUUACAUUUACAUUUACACUCAUUUAAGCUAUAUUCUUGCUUUCGACAGACUUUGAUCCCCCGCCAAAACCUGGUGGAAGUGGCCUGCCUGUAGGUGCUGUGGUUGGAAUUGUGGUUGGAGCAGUCUUCAUGAUACUACUGAUAUUUGGUAUUCUUUGGAAGAGAGGCCUCCUAGGACAACAAAAGACAUUGGAGGAUGGUAUUAAUUUGCAGUUUAUUCUGUUAUACUUAUUUUUCCUUUCUGUUUCUCCGUUACUUUUUCUGAUCGAGUUUUUUCGUAACUAAGUACAAUAUUUAGGGUAUUUUGCAUGGUUUUCAAGCAUAUUAACGUGCACCACAAAGACAGUAAUUAUUUAGAUAUUGAGCUUUCUGGCACUUUGAUGUUGCUGUAAUAUAUGUAUCGUCCAAACUCAUGAUGCUAAGUGUCUGCCUAUGGAUCCAGUUACUAGUUAAAUUCUAGAAUCAGGCACAAAGUAUUAAGAACUAAGAAUGCUAUCGUUCAAAACGUUUUCUUAGACACAAUUUCUUAUGAAUUUUACUUGUUAUACAGAUUUGAAGGGUGUGGACCUGCAAACUGGUAAAUUUACCUUCAAGCAACUCAAAGAUGCCACAAGCAACUUUAACAAAGCCAAUAAGAUUGGUGAGGGUGGUUUUGGUUCUGUUUAUAAGGUAUUCUUCGGGGCAAAGAAUUUAGUUAUUGAUUACACUUUUUUUCUAAUUUGAUACUGUCCGGUCUAAUGAAAGUUAAUUUGCUCCGUAGUGAUGCUAAUUUGAUUAUCUUUCUCAAAUGUAGGGCAUUCUAGCAGAUGGCACCGUAAUAGCUGUUAAGCAGCUUUCUUCCAAAUCAAAGCAAGGGAAUCGUGAAUUUGUUAAUGAGAUUGGCAUGAUUUCUGCUCUGCAACACCUUCAUCUUGUCAAGCUCCACGGAUGUUGUAUUGAAGGAAAUCAACUAUUGCUUGUUUAUGAGUACCUGGAAAAUAAUAGUGUCGCUUGUAUUUUAUUCGAUAAAUAUUAGUCUUGUUUGCCAAAAGUUCAUUUCAUCAUACAGUGGGCAUAAAAGAUCUUAUGCACUAAAAAUAUGUCCCUUACAACCAACUUUGUUUAAUUUGGCAAAUUGAAAGGGUAGAAGAAAGUCAAUUGAAGUUGGAUUGGCCAACAAGGCACAAGAUUUGUAUUGGUACAGCAAGAGGUUUGGCUUAUCUUCAUGAGGAAUCAAGAUUGAAGGUCGUUCAUAGAGACAUCAAAGCUUCUAAUGUUCUGCUUGAUAAAAAUCUUAACCCGAAAAUAUCUGACUUUGGAUUGGCCAAGCUUGAUGAAGAGGAUAAUACACACAUUAGCACCCGUAUUGCUGGAACUUAGUGAGUCCCUAAACUUUUAUUUAUCUUCUUAUUGUCUUGUUUUAAUCUUCUUCCACCCUUAAAAAAGAAGAUAGAGCAACGGAAAAUCUCUAACUUACAUAAUUUUCAACCUCAUCAAAUCUUUGUUGUUCAAUUCAAGGGCAGAUUUGUUCUUUCAAUAUAGUUGUAUUACUGUGCAUCUCUCUAACUAUUGGAUUAAUCAUAAGUAUUCAAUUAGCAAUAUUUUUACUAGUUACUUUAGCUAAAUUUGGGUUAAUGAUAUGAUUUCAUGAUAUUGCAGUGGAUAUAUGGCACCUGAAUAUGCAAUGAGAGGUUAUCUGACUGAUAAAGCAGAUGUCUAUAGUUUUGGUAUUCUCGUAUUGGAAAUUGUUAGCGGGAGAAACAACACAACGUACCGGAAAAAGGAAGAAAGCUUUUAUCUUCUUGAUUGGGUAACAUGAAUUUACUAGUUCCUAAUUUAACUUCAAAUUUUCUCACUAUACCUUAUAUGUGUGAAAGUACGUUUGAAUCGUUGAAGUUUAAUCCAAAGACAAAGUUUAUAUUGCUUUUGCUACUUCCAUUUUUUGUAGGCACGACUUCUAAAACAGCAAGGGGAUUUGAUGGACCUAGUUGAUCCAAGGUUGGGAUCAGACUUUAACAAAGAGGAGAUGAUUGUUGCAAUUAAUGUGGCUCUUCUUUGUUGCAAUGUUACUUCGACAGCUAGGCCUACCAUGUCUUCGGUUGUGAGCAUGCUCGAAGGAAAAGGCUGUUGUUCAGGAGUUGGUCUCGGAUCCAAAAGCCGAGAGUAUUGAGAUCGAUGCAAUGAGGAAACAUUUUCAAUCUAGUUUUGGAAGGGGCACGAGCGAGAAACGGAUAGAAAUGGAUCAGUCAACUGAAGGGCCAUGGACUGCUUCGUCUGCUCACGAUCUGUAACCCAUCAAUCCUGAUUCAGAUUAAUGGGAGAACAGAAGCGAGAGAACUUGAGCUGCACGGUUCUCUGUUUGACUCAUCCUCAGCACACUAAACAUAUCAGCUAAUAAAUAAUUUGCAUUUCCUCUAUAGCUAUUCUCUUUUUUCUGUUUGAUAAUAUAGUAGAAAGCAGAACUGAAGAAGUUUCUACAGCAUGGUAACUAUAAAUUGUGAAAUCAGCUCUUUUCAGUAUUUUGUAGUAUGAUAAAAUGAUUAUCUUUUCGAAUAAUAAAUUUAUACUUCAAUACCUAGAUUGGAUCAAUUGUUACUAAAAUUAAAGUAACGCAUUUAGUACUAGUUUGUUACUGCUUGAAUUAUAAAAUAAAAAACGGGUAUCAAAAAAAGUUUCCAGCUUCAGAAUUUUAUUAUCACAAAUCGUCACUAACGUUUUAAAAAGUCAAUUAAGUUUAGGCAAGUUUCAUCGUAUUGCAAAGACAAAAGUUGUAAAGGAAGGGAAUAGAGUAAGUUGGUUGAACACUAUACUAUUUUGGCUAUGCGGUUGUUUGUGAAGAGAGUAGGUAAUGUACACCGAAAUUGAAAUGGAGGAGAAUACAGCAAGUUGGUUGAGAGAAGGAACUUAAUUUAGUAAAAUCGGAAAUCAUUUACGGAGGAUUUUCUACAAAAAAAUAUAUAGCUAAUAUAUAAGGUAAACAAGAUUCAAAGAAUGUGCACGAAAAGAAAAAUGAUACGUGACGUAAAUCAUUCCCAAAAAUAAACAAAUUGCCAAGUUUUCUUAAAAUUAGUUCUGGAAGUUCUGGAAUUUACUUCAAUUGGAUUGAUUUUGAUUGUUGUAAAAUAUAGGUAUAUACAAUUACAAGAAUCCCUACUACAUAGCCAAUUGGUACAAAGUAAUUAAGUAAUCAGCUCGUGAUGCUCUCCCUUAUUAAAAACGUCCAACUUGCCUAAUAGAGAUUUAAAAUGUUCCUUUCCCAAAGCUUUAGUAAAAACUAGAAAUAUGGCCCGCGCGCUACUGCGGGAUUAGAAACCAUUUUUCAAAGCUAUAAGAAAUUGUUACAGAAGUUAAUGUUACUUACUGGGGUAAAAAGACAAUUCCCUUGCAAGAGCAAAACCACUAUGUUUGCCACUACUUAACUUAAAUACUUACCCAACAACAAUAACAAUAAAAAAUUAGCACAGAAAGCAUAGAUCCGUAAAACACAAAGUACAUACCACAUUCACUGAAUGACACCCUCAGAAGCUGAUGCUUCUUCUAGGCCACAUAGCACCAAGAAGUGCAGCAUCCCUAUGAAACAUAGCUCCCUGUAAUGGUCAAGAAGAACAAUAACACAUAAAAUAAUGAAAGAACAGAAUCAGAUGGUGGAAGCCAAUACCGAACCGAAUAUAAUUUAAAUUACGCAUUAAAAAUAGCUCCAUGUACUUGUUCACUUGCUGCCACCUCUUUCCUCCUACAUUAUACACAUUAAAAUUACAUGGGAUGCUGUAAUUUUAUUGUUUCAGUUUAAUUACUUUUCUUAUCAUAUCCUUGUUGGAAUAUAAUACGUGUUUCAUAGCGCUUUGUGACUUGAUCGCAUAUGAUCUUAUGCUCCACGACCUUACCAAAUUGUGAAAGGAAGCUUUCGAACUCAUGUGAUAUUCAAAUUGAAAAUUCUUAGUGAGAAGAUAACGAUUAAUCAGUUGUGCAACGAAAAACAUAACAUUAGAACACAACCAGUGGAGAAAACAAUUACAACAACCUUUCAUUAACUAUGGAUGAAAUACCAGCAGCAAAAUUUUUCUUUGUUCUGAAAUCAUUUACAAAACAAAUCCUGGAAUGAAUGCUCACGAAAGAUGAAUUACAUAUAAAUUUAAACAUAAAAAAGAAGAAAGAAAAGGUGAGAAAAGUACCUCAACCGAAACAUAUAGGCAAUAGUUAUACUAAAACAACAAUUAAUUGAAACCAUUACAACAACAACAAAGUCUUUUCCCACUAAGUGGGGUCGGCUAUAAUUAAUUGAAACCAUUGAAGGUAAAAAAAAAAGCAAGAGUGGAUAAAAACUUAGAAUUCAACAAAGAUUAUGUUCCCAAUCUAAAUACAUAUGAACUCCAGCACAAAAUAAAACCCAGGUCUGUUCAGCACUAAAGUUCAGUUCAUGUGGAUUUUGGAAGAAGAAAUGUUCAAAAUUUAACCAUCCAGAUGUUGGGGCUUAAAUAGACUUCACUACUUUGGAGAUAUUUAUCUCACAAGGAAGAAUGUAACGCAGCGGAAUUGAUAGGCUAGAGAAAGAAAGAAUACUUAAAGUAUUACACAAGACUUUUAUUCACUCACAAACUUAGUGCAAGAGGAAACACUCAAACACUCUUAGAAGCUUUGUUGCUUCUUCUCACUUCUCACUACUUGCUCUCUUGGUUGUUUCAAAUGGUGUGGACGCCUUCUCCUUUUAUAGGCAUGGAUGGAACCUUGGAUAAGCAUGGAAGCAUCAUGCUAGAGAUAUCUAGAUAAUUCCACUACCUUCCUAAGCUAGAAUUAUCUACAUUAAUCUUGUAUGUUGGUGGAAUCCUCACCAUUCUUCUAGACUCUUCCACCAACUUGAACUUUGCUAGAAUUCUCUAGCACGUGCAUGGAUCUUUCUUUGUGUAUAGGCCGGAUCAAUUGUCUUGGGCCAAGACAAGAUUACAAUUCAACACCAGAUUAGGGGAAACAACUAAACUGUAAAAUUAGCAACAAUUAAACAUUAGGAAGAGAAAAUUUUAUGUAAUUCAUAAAACAUAUAAAAUAAAUUGAAAAGAGUUCGCAAAGGAGAUUUAGAGUUAAAUCCAUACCUUGAUACUUGAUGGCGAGGUCGUAAGGGAUAGGUCAAUGGCAAAAGCCAACGUAUAGCGAGUAAGAGAAACUUAACGGAUGUCCACUGCAUGCUACACUGUGUUUCGGCAUAUUCUUUCUGGGAUUUGGUCAGGAAACUACAACCAUUUUUACAAAUUUCCAUAAGCCAACAAUGGAAAAUGAAAAUACUUAAGCAACUUAGAAGGAGGCAGACAACAGAAACCAAAUAACGGAACACGCGAGAAGUAAAACGUUAAAAACAGAACAUACCAUAAAGUUUAAUACCUCUGCAAAAGCCUACAAAUCAUGCAAAGACCAAAAAUUUCAAAGACCACAAAUCAUGCAGAGACAAAAAAUUCAGUAUAUUAGCAGUCCCUACAAAAGCCUAAAAUAAGAAAAUUAGUAAAAUAGAAUUUGAUAACAUUAUACUUUAAGAAACCCUAAAUUUCCAGUCAAAGGAAAAUUAAUACCUCUGCAAACAAAAAAAAAAAAAAUCGAGAGAUAAAAACUCAAAUCCCAGAAAAUAAAUCAUAAAGUUUGAUUAGAAUUUAGGAGAAGGGUAAGAUUGGAUACGCAAAGAGAGGGUGGCCUUGUAUUUCUACUUCUCUGAAAUGCAAUCCUCCUUGUCCCAGGGCUCUUCACAAACUUCUCCGAGUACCACCCGCACACAGAAACAAUAUCCAUUUACCCUAUUCAGAAAUCGAAAAAUGGAUUUUAGAGAGAGGCGAGAGAAGUAGGAUUUAAGAGUAAUCAUGGAAACUAAUUGUGCUGAGCGGAAGCAAUUGUGGUUGGCGUCUCUGAGAUUUGAACGGGGAGAAAUGGAGGAGCUGUGAGAGAGAGUUGGACCAAAGGUUGAGAGAUAUCUGAAGAAAUGAGAGAUCGAGCUCUAAUAACAACGGAUUUAUCAGAAAUCCGUUCAACAAACGAAUAAAUAAAUAAAAACCGUUAUUUUAGUUAAUUAAAAUUUAACGCUCCAUUGGUUGGCGAGCAACCGCGGAGGAUUAGAAAACAAAAAUUUCUGGUGAUGUGAAAUUUUAGUUCCUAUUAUUCCUUGUGUAAUUAUAUUUAUAGGUAUUGGAAAUGGAAAACUGAAUUAAAAAUGGAAUUAAAUUAAGAAGCCGGUGGGUAUUACCUUGAAAGCGUGGAUUUAAAGGUUUGAGGAUGAACAGAGAGUAGGGAUUUUCCCACCAACCAAACAGACGGGAAAAGAAAGUUGAACUAAACACGAAAGCCAACUCGAUCGAUCUCGUCCGCUCCAGCUAGGUAUGGUCCUCAAGCUCGUGACCGAUAGCAGCUCGAUUAUCUUCCUGAGGGGUUUUUUUGGUGUCAUUUUCUCUCUUUUUUGGUGUCCCAACGAAUUAUGUGUCAUUUUCUCUCUUUUUCGAUGUCCCAACAAAUUAUAUGAGGAUUGACUAGAUAGAUAUCAUAAAGAAUUAUAGAUGAAGCAAUCGAUGACCCUUUAAUUAAUCCUAAUUUGUAUUUUACUCGCGGCCCAUUAUAAAUAGGAUUAAAUCAUUGGAUCCAUCUCAUUACUUGAUUAGAGAUUUGGGUCUAAGACUAACUCUUGAACAGUAACCUUGCCUUCGAGCAUGCUCACAACUGAAGGCAUGAUAGGCUUAAAUUUUGAAGUGACAUUACAGUAAUGAGAGACAUAUUGAUUGUAACCAUAAUCUCUUCUUUGUUGAAGUCUGAGCCUAACCUUAGAUCCACUAGGUUCAUCAAAUUUGUCACAACCUGUCCCGGAAAAUAAUUCUUGUUAACGUGAAAAGACGGGAAUACCCUCUUACGUUGAAUGAUAUGUGUAUGUUAUGUUUUGGUGUAAGUAUUUGGGAUUGGUGACCCAAUUAGAACUAAGAUUUUUCUUAGUUUUGGUUGGUGGUUUUUGGACCACACACACACCCACCUACCCACUCUCUCUCUCCUUCCCGUGCUCUCUCUCUCUCAGACUCACUCUCUCUCUUCUCUCUUGUACGGACACAACCAGAAGCCCUUGCAAACAUGGCAGAUAGAAGAAGAAAAUGGUACCAUUGUGUUCCUAUGGUCUUCACGAGUUCAAAGGUACCAAAUAUAGGUAAGAUUACCUUCGAUUUCACGUUGAAUCACAAAAUCCGAUUUGAGGUACUAUUCAUGCUCACGUAAAAUGUUGAUUUUAGGGAAUUUAAAGGACAUAGGGAGCUUAAGGAGGUCCUUACGAAGGUCGGAGUACUUCAUUUGAAGAUUUUAGACGUCGGAAUAGUGAGAACGGAGAGUUUCAAAUCUGGCCGGAAUUAUUGAGGCUUUUUCCGGCCAAUUUCCAACGAGUCGAAGCUCAAGCCAGGUACGGUUGUGUUCAUCUUUGUGAGAUCUUCAUUUUGGUAUAAAGUACGUAGAAAAUGGUGCAAAAAUGAAGAAGAAAUAGUUAAAAUUUUCCAGUUUUCCGACGCCGACGACGAUCGUCGGAGUUCUGAAGAAGGAGACGACAGAAUAUUCCGUCAAGUCUGAUGGAAUAUUCCGACGCCGUCAGUUAGUUUGGAUGGAUUCUGUUAGGACUUAACGGAAUAUUCUCAGAAUAUUCCUGACGGUGUUAACUGAUGCCGUCAGUGUGCCUGGCAGAUGGCCGCGCUUGGGGGGGUUUGACCGUGCCAUUGUCAGCGCAUGGGGGCGCGUGAUGCUUCCAAAAAUUUAUCUAAAAAUUUGGGGAUGAUCCUGAGGUUGUGUAGGUCUCGAUGGUAUAUUCAUAUACCCAAUUUGAGCAAUAUAUGAGAAGUUAUUACCUAUUGUUGGUUAUGUGCGUCAAAUAACGUUUAUUCGAUUAUUACGCCUAUAGGUGAGGCCUAUUCUUGGGACGAGCGUAAUCAAUCGAGGCUCGGGGGCUACGACCCAUUGACAUCUCAGUGAGUGGGCAGUUAUUUUCAGUAUAUAUAUAUACUUGACGUUUUCCCCAGAAAACGUAUUUAUAGGAAAUGCAAUUCAAAUGCCAUGCAUAUACAAUUAUGUUUCGUGCAUGAAUUGAUGUGUGAUACCUUAUAUAUAUAAAUGUGGUGCUGUGGAGGCACAUGUAAGUUCAGGUAAGUUGUGUUUGGUUAUGUAAAUCAUCGAUGAUGUGAUAUAUGAUUGAGAAGCAAUAUCUCAUAAACUUGCACUCAGGGUGAUUGCAAUUUAGCCAGAGAGAGCUGGCACAUGCCUGUAUAUUAUGUCACCUCCCGCACCAUAUGCUCACAUUGGAUCCAAUUAGGUGCACAGUCUUGUCGUACAGACCACUAUAAGUGGUUCCGACUCGUAGGUGACUAACGUAUUAUCGCACAGCUAGCAUUGAGAGAGUGGAAUUGAGCAUAAUUAUAUUACACCCAACCUUGUCGUACAAACCAUUUUCAGUGGUUCCGACUUAUAUGCAGUAUAUUGUCGUAUAGGUCAUUAUAGUGACUUCGGCUAGAUUGACUAUUGAGCUAUAAACUCAGCCGUACAUACCACAUCAGGGAUUCUGGCUAACAUAUUAUAUUUCUAUGAAAUUAUUCUUACCUGAAUUGUGUACUUUGUUAUAUAUUGGCAUGGCAUGCAUAUGUUUAUGAAUAUGUAUGUAAAGCAUGAAUUGAAUUGAAACGAUAUAUUUAUAUGCUUAUUUAUGUAUUCUAAUUUCUGGGAAAAAUAAUCAUAUACUUGUUUUACGGCGAGGGGUUAGUAUAUUCCAAGGAAAAUAAGGUUUUCGUAUAAAUGUGUUUUACUGACCCACUCAACUUUGUUUUUCGCCCCUUCAAGUCUUAGAUAGCAGAGUUUGGUGGCCACGAGAACUUCAACGGUGUUCUAACAGAAUCUGUAAAAGUAGGAUUCAUCUUCGGGUGUUGUAUUUUAGUAAUCAUCCUACUCGACUGCAACUAGACGCUCUUAUUGCUUUGAAAGUGUAUUUAUACACUUACACUCUCACUGGCAUCCUUUCUAGAAUGGGAUUGUUAGUUAAUAGGUUUUAAAUUGUUAGUAUUUCUCUUACUCUUUAUCGUUUCCGCCUUGUACUCAUGGCUACGUCACUCUUACGUGACGGCCAGCACGUCUCGACUUUGGUCAGGGUGAGUCAAAAUUCCCGUCCGAUUUAGAACAUGUGACUUAAAACAUGAAAGGAAUAGAAGCAAAAAAAAAAUAUUUUCUUAAAAAAUAACCAGAGAACUUUCAACAAAAAAAAUAUAAAAGUUGUAUGUGUUUGCUACUAAUGUUAGUUCUUCUUCCACUACUAAUGUCCAAUACAACAAUUCCAAAGUUUAAACAUCUUCUUUAUCAGUCAAGUAACCUCUAAUUGCAUAAUUCAUUUUUCACUAAAUUGGUCUUAAGUUCACAGGGCUAGAAUCCUUCCCCCAAACAUAGCUCAGAGGACUCGCACCCUCCAAAUAAAGUAGACAACAAUACUACAAUUGACAUAAGUUUUUGUGUGGUAGUGAAUUAUUGUCACAUGCGCUCAUGUAAAUACUAAUAUGUAAAUAAAUUACGAGAAGUGAAUUAUAUAUACUUCUUUUUGUUGCAAUCUCUUUUCAUCUUUUUUAUAUGAAUUGAAUUCAGAAGAAUUCAGGAAACAAAGUAGCCCAAAAUGAUCUAUGUUAAAAUUAUUUCUAUAAACUCUAAUACACAUACACAAAAACAUUUGAGUAUUACUUUAGUCAUGGAAUGCUGAUCAAAGUACAAUUAAAUAGUAUCACUUAGAAUUAUAACUCUUGGCUUAUAGUAUGAAAACAAAAUUACAGAACAUUUGUAUAUUGCUUGCAAGCAAUUAGCUUCAGUGGUAAACUCCAGCAACUUGAUUAAGAAAGCAUGUAUAUAGAGCUGCGCAAUUACCAUGUCCACAUAUCCUGAUCAGGAAAUUUCCCAUGCUUGGCUUAGUUGAAAAUAGCAGAUAAGUCAACAGUGUAUUUUAAAGGGAUGUGCUAUCCACACACCUAUUUUUACUUCUCACACACUCCUUGUUAAUUUAUGUCUGUUGAUCUUCUUCAACUCAUCCGAUCCGACGGCCUAAAACCAAAAAGGUGUGGGAGAAGUAAAAAGAGGUGUGUAGAUAUCACACCCCUAUUUUAAAUUACUGUUACUUAAUUAUUUUAAAUUUCAUAAUCAAUAUUAAUUACCCGUGGGUGUGCUUUAAAUUAUGCUUGAUUAAUUAUUUUAAAUUUCGUAAUCAUAGAAAACUAAUAGCUUCUUAUAUACUGUUGUCAAAAUCGUGAGUUCGGCUGUCGGAAAGGUUUUUUAAUUAAGCUGACUAUGAGCUGCAAAUAAGAUGCGUCGACACUGUUUUGCUACAAAUCGGUGUAUUGAGCAAAUAAUACCAGUUACUUCAACAACAAAAAAACAGUUACAACUAAUUAUUUUUUUAUCGUCGCUUGUUAAUUACAAAUAUAGCUCAGGUCCCGUGAUCUCGUAAUAUUUUUAAGAAAAUUUUCAUUUCCUUUGUCAACUAAAAAAAAAGCUCUUUGUUUUUGUUGUUAAAAAACGACUUUCCAAUAUUAUAGAAUUCCCACUUGAUCAAACAAUUGAGAUAAUUAUUCAACAAAAAAAAACAAUUGCGAUAAUUAUAAUCCAUCCAUCUCAACUAUUUGCAGUUUUACUUAAAAAAAAUUAUUCCACAUACAUCUCAGUCAUCCAUUUAUGAUCACAUGACCAAAAGUUCACAUACGUCUCAAUCAACCAUUUAUGUUAAAAUUGUCUAAAAUGGAAAAUUCUCAUAUAUUAAAGUCUUGAAAUUGGAUCCUUAUGAAAGAGUGUCACUUGGGUGUGUAUGCAUAUCUUUAGCUGCAUCUGGCCGCCCACCGGUAUCGGUCAAAUAACAGGUUUUCAAAAUCUUUUUUAUGAUAUUUUUCUACUAGAAUUUGUCUUUAAUUAGUAUUUUGCAUGGAAUAUGUUCGAGAGAGCUCCCAAACUUGACCUCGGCAGGCGUUCACUGUUUAGUAAUACAUAGUUCAUACAAAUUUUCGUACUGAUUAUCUCAACUACAUAUUAAUAAAAUUCUCAUUGUCAACCAAAAAUUAAUGAAAUUGUCAUUCUAAACCUUUAAUUAAAACUGAAUAUAUAUAUAAGAAAUGUGGGCAGUAAUGUAAUUUUACACAACCAAAAUUUUGUUUUUUUUCUUCCAAGCCUAUCCUAUAUGUGAUUCUAACAUAUUUUUUUAUUAAAAAAAUAAAAAAUAAAGCUCUCUCCUCUCUCUCCACAUCCCACGCUCUCUCUCCCUCUCUUCCUCUCUCCUUCCAUUUCAAAUACAAAAAUAAAAAAUUCUCACACACAUUUUGUGCAUGGCCAUAUGCUAAUAUUCCACAGUAUGAUCCAAUACUUUUUGGUAAUUAGGUCAUGAUAAUCAAUUCAAUAACUCCCACCUUAUACCUAUAUAGCGAAAAGUAAUAUAAGGGCCAGAUUCAUGUCACCAUAUUUUUACACAACUUUUGAUACUUGUUUCAUAAGGCUCAUUUUGUAAUGUAUUUCAAGGAUCUAAACUGUCUAUCUUUUAAGUUUUUCUUCAAAUACGAUGUCUACCAAAAAUCACCUAAAUAUGAAAUCUUAUGACCGUUGAAUGUCUUAACGGUUUUAUAUUUGGUUAAUUUUUGCAAGAAUGAUCUAUGAAUAAUUUUCUAAAAAAUAAACAGUUUAGAUCGUUAAAAGUAUUUUAUGUAGUGAAAGCCACAAAACAGUUGUAAAAAAUUGUGUAAAAAAAUAGUGUUACAAAUUUGGCCCAAAUAUAUAUGUUAUAGUUUUUUAUUUUAUAAUGAAUAUCUACUCUUUUAAUUACAUUUUAUUUUCAGUAGUAUCUAAGAAGGGUUGUGUUAUCUACACACUCUUUUUUACUUCUCACACACCCUUAUUAAUUUUUAUCUUUUAAUUUUCUUCAAUUUAUCUAAAGUGAAAAAUAAUGUGUAAAUAGCACACUCUAUCUGAGAAACCAUUAACGAACUGGUCUGUAAUUCUAAAUUUACAAGUUUUUACUCCCAAAAGGAGACAGAGCUUCGUAAUUUUUAAUUUUUUAAGUUUCUGAUUGACUUGGGGUUGCCGUACAUACGGAAUAUGGUGCUUGGUCUCAGCUGAAUAGUCAAUUGAUCGUAUUCAUACACCAACCAACCUUUGCUUUUGAUUGAGUGUUAGUGAAGAAGUCCAAGUCCUGUAAGAUUAAUUUCGAACUACAUUUAUUUAGCCUUCCGGUACUCUGUGCCAUUCAUUUACUUAAUGUAGACGUGCACUUAAUUUCAUGCACGGUUUUUUUUGAAGUUUUUCCUUUUUAUUUCUUUUAUAACAUUAUAUAAGUGUCGGAUUGUCCAAAGAAUAUGACUGUAGACAUCGAAAUUUCGUAAAUAAAUAUUGACUGAUAAAUCAAAGUGUCAACGCUCAUGUAUUACAUAAAUUUUACACGUAGCGUGUGACUCAACGAAAAUUGAAAUAAGUUAGAAAAGUCAUCAAAUAGGACACGUGUCAACACCUGGAAGAAACGACUUAUUUCAUCUGCAAUAUUAUAUUCAAAAUUAGGGCCUUGGAAAUUUCUAUAAAUACAAGCCAAUUUCAUUCAUUUGGGGGAACCAAUUCAUAUUACACCUUGAAGCUCUGAAGCUCUGAAACUCCAAAGCUCUCAAGCAUCCAGGUUCCCGAAGAAUCAAGAAAGCCUUCUUCGUUCUUCAUUCAUCGUUCUUCCAAGAUCAAGCCCCAACGGCCAUUUGGAUCAACAAUCAUCCACCAAUUCAAGAUCAAGCCCCGACGGCCCUUGAAGAAAGCACCAUCGUUCAUCAUCCGUUCAUUCAAGAUCAAGCCCCGACGACCCUUGAAGAAAGCACCAUCGUUCAUCAUCCGUUCAUCCAAGAUCAAGCCCAACGGCCCUUUGGAUCAACAACGUCGGCGAAUCCACACACAUCCAACCGUUCUUCAAGAUCAAGCCCAAAAGCCCUUGAAGAUCUGUUCAUCACUGUUUCUUCAAGAUCAAGCCCAAAAGCCCUUGAAGAUCCACUCAUCACUGUUAUUCAAGAUCAAGCCUCAAACAGCCCUUGAAGAAACAUUCAUCCUCAAGAUCAAGCCCCCAACGGCUCCUUGAAGAUCCGCUCAAAUCCACCUUCAAAGAUCAAGUCCACGGCCCUUUGAAGAAACUUCCAACAGUUCAUCCAAUAUCAAGCCCCGACGGCCCUUGGAUCAACGAAACAUCCACAAAUCAACACCUUACGGAGAUCGAAUCAGAGGAUCAAAAUAGAGAGAGAUUGUAACCCAAAAUCAUCAAAUACAAAUAUUUGUUUGUGCACGUCGUUUCUUGUCUCUUUCGUUUCAGGAAUUUUCCGUGUUCACAAAUUGGCACGCCCAGUGGGACAAUCUCUACCUCUCAUCUCUUUCUCCGUUCAAGGAAUCCAAACACACCUCAAAGUCAAUGGCAUCAAGUAAGGGACAAGCCGUUCUCGCAACCACUGAGGGAUGGAUCCUGAGCACUUCUGCCGCAAAUGGACAAUCCAUUAGCGCCACAACCGCUCCUCAACAUGCCACUUCAAAGUUGGUGCCGCUAAAAGAGCAAGGGGAGCAUCAAAGGUGUAAGUCUGUCAUCAACCUGACCUCGCUGGGGGCACCGAAGCAUGCUGCUGAGGCACAUAAGAUGACACCCCAAAACAGCCAACAACAUUCUUCGUCAGCAUCAUGGAUGUCUAAAGGAAAGUCACGUUUAUUGGUUGCACAAGUCAUGACCAUCGGCGUUACCUCCAUCGAAGAACAACUGGCUCAAAUGAAUGAAGCGAUCGCAAGGCUAACCCGAACUGUGGAAGAAAAAGACUUGCAAAUUGCAGCACUCGUUAAUCGACUAGAGGCGCAGGACGGCGAUAAACCCGACCCAAAGAAUGAUCCACUAAAGAGAAGAGAUGACGAAGAAGAGGAGCCUCAGGUGGAGAAAAACGAUGCGAACCUGGAGCCAGACCAAGCAGCGGCAUUCAUGGGAUCUCUUUCUAUCCAGCAGCUGCAGAAGAUGAUCACCAACACCAUCAAGGCACAGUACGAAGGGAGCUCACAUACCUCUUUGUUCUACUCGAAGCCCUACUCCAAGAAGAUCGACGCCUUAAGGAUGCCGAUGGGCUAUCAACCGCCGAAGUUUAUGCAAUUUGACGGAAAGGGAAACCCGAAGCAACAUGUCGCACAUUUCGUGGAAACCUGCAACAAUGCAGGGACGGAGGGAGAUUACCUCGCCAAGCAGUUUGUGCGCUCGUUAAAAGGAAACGCCUUUGAGUGGUACACGGACCUGGAGCCCGAGUCCAUCAACAGCUGGGAGCAGUUAGAGCGAGAAUUCCUCAACCGCUUCUAUAGCACCCGCCGCACUGUGAGCAUGUUAGAGCUAACGAGCACAAAGCAGUGGAAGGACGAGCCAGUCAUUGACUACAUCAACAGAUGGCGCACUCUAAGCCUCGACUGUAAAGACAGGCUUUCGGAAACCUCUUCAAUCGAGAUGUGCAUCCAAGGCAUGCAAUGGGGUUUGCAAUACAUCCUUCAAGGCAUUAAACCACAGACCUUCGAGGAAUUGGCCACUCGCGCCCAUGACAUGGAGUUGAGCAUCGCCCAUCAUGGGAAGAAAGAACCGAUCGCCGACUACAAGGACGACAAAGUUCUUAGGACAAAAGUGGAAAAGGCUGCAUGGAAACCCACCAAGGAAGCGAUGACGGUCAACACAGCUCCCGUCAAAAUCUCCACACGAGGCAAGGCGAUUCAAGCCGAAGGCUUUCGUGAUCAAGAGAUGCGUAGACGCACUUUGAAAGAGCUUGAGGAGAAAACUUAUCCAUUCCCCGACUCUGAUGUGGUUGCCAUGUUAGAAGACUUGCUGGAAAAGAAGGUGAUCGGCUUGCCUGAGUGCAGACGGCCGGAAGAGAUGAAUCGUACCGACAGUCCAAGAUACUGUAAAUUCCACCGCUUCAUCAGUCAUCCGACAGAAAAAUGCUUCGUGCUGAAAGAUCUCAUCAUGAAGCUGGCUCAGAAAGGAAUCAUCGAGCUAGAUCUUGACGAUGUGGUGAAGUCAAACUAUACCACUUUCACUUCUGGCUCUUCCGACUCAAAGUUUUCACCUCAACCGCUAGGGGCAUCCUCCAAGACAAACAAAGUUGAAGGAUGGACUCAAGUCACUCAUAAGAAAUUGCACAAGAAGCAUAUGUCUCAUCCACAAGUCCGCCAAUCGGAAAGGGGGCAAAACAGCUCUUGUCAACCUUCAAAGCAACGUGAACGUGUUGAAGAUGAUGAAAUUUCGACAUAUAGAUCAUCCAUCCCCAUCACGAUGCGUGAUUUCUUGCCCGAAGACUUCUUCAAACACGCGGUCAAAGCUCCUUGCUAUGAAAAUUGUGAGGAACGCCUCUCCCGGAUUGCUUGACAAAAUUCACAAAUUCUCCUCGCCCGCACGAGUCUAAAAUGCAUGGCACAAAGCUCCUGGUCUGCACGAGCAUAAAAGGCAACACCAAUGCUCCUUGUUCGCACGAGCCUAAACUGCACGAACCAAAGCUCCUUGCCCGUACGAGUCUAAAAUGCAUGGCACAAAGCUCCUGGUCUGCACGAGCAUAAAAGGCAACACCAAUGCUCCUUGUUCGCACGAGCCUAAACUGCACGAACCAAAGCUCCUUGCCCGUACGAGUCUAAACUGCAUGGCACAAAGCUCCUGGUCUGCACGAGCAUAAAAGGCAACACCAAUGCUCCUUGUUCGCACGAGCCUAAACUGCACGAACCAAAGCUCAUUGCCCGUACGAGUCUAAACUGCAUGGCACAACGCUCCUGAUCCGCACGAGCAUAAAAGGCGACACCAAAUGCUCCUUGUCUGCACGAGUUGAAACUGCAAACGACACCAACACUCAUUGCCUGCAUGAGUUAAAACUGCAAACGGCACCAAAAGAAAAUACAAAAAAAAAAAUGUAUUUGAACUACGUUUUGACUUGAUCUCUUUCUUUGGAAGGGUACGUAGGCAGCUUGAAUAUUCAAUUUCAAGUUCAGUCACAUCAAAAUCAAAAGAAUAAAUGUUUUAUUAAAGAAGGUCAAUUUCAUUACAAAUUUAUUUUGUUAAGAAAAUUUGCAAUUUUCUUUGUACAAAAUUAAAUUACAGUUUCUUCGAGAAAAAAAAAAUUGAAUACAUAUGUUAUUACGUAUUUAGAAAAGAAAAGAAAGAAAAAAAAAUAUACAUAUGUUAUUAUGUAUUUAAAAAAAAAAAAAAAGGGAAACAUAUAUAUAUAUGUCUCGGCCCAACACCAAGCUCCACCAGCAACAAAACGCAUCAGCCCAGGCCCAGCUCUCUCAGUCCAUACCUCAUCCCCCCAGGCCCAGCUCUCUCAUACUCAAUCCGGGAUUCAGGUUAUCUGUUUUCCCAAAAUCGCGCCGCAGUCCUCCCUCCUCCUUCACGAGGACGCCUUUAUCACCAUACCCAAACACCCACCUUUCUUCACCAUGAUGCAGCAACCAUCAGGAGGAUUGGUACCACAACAGAUUUCGUCCGAUCCGCAGCAGCAGCCGCCGCAGCAGUGAAUGAUGAGCUCGCCGAGAAGCAGCGACAGCAGAUUCAGCAGAAGCGCAGGAGACCCAGUCUGCGCUUGAGACGCUGAUGAAUGGCGACUGGGUGAUGACUGGAGAACCGGAGCAGAUGCCUACCUCGUCAAUUCAGAAGGCAUGUUGCCACUUCCCAUUACAGCUGACAUGUCAACUCGAUCGGCGAAUGGGUGACCAAAUGCUAACCAAUCCUUUGCCGCUCGACCCAACCAGUCCGAACCCAUCAAGCCACACUCUCCACUCUUCUUUCUCAAAAGCAAAGGAUCCAACUCUCACUUCAACUACGACAAGUCGUCGUCCGGUGCUGCUGCGACGUCGUUUAACUGAUAUGCAUCCAGAACCCAGCAAAAAGGACUCCUAUCUGCUAAAAGUUUGAAGCUUUCGGCUUCAAUUUGAGGAACCCAGCAAGAAAUGGCGCUGAAUUUUCCGACUUCCUGUCCGAUUUUCUCGCCACUAUUGAACCCGAAAUCCCUCAUCACCCACAACUGCUUCAGUCGCUCUGCCAUAUCCCGCAGCACCGCGAAGCCGCUCGUCGACCCAAGAGACGACGGCCUCCGAUUUAAGUACUGCUCCACUAGCUCUGAACUCCCACGUCCAUGGUGGACCCAGCCGACGUCUCGGCGGUGCUCGAGUUCCUGAGGAAAAAACGGGUUUCCGAAGGCCGAAUCGGCUCUCAAAGAGGAUAUGAUUGAAAAGGGCGAUCUGGGUUCUUUCGAUUACGAGAAAUUCAUGUUUCCGAUGGUUCCUCGACUGCCGCCGGUCAGAAUUCUAGCCAGCUUCCGGCGGCCGGAGGUUCAGGGCGGCGGAGAAGCCUCGGGGUCGAGCUCGGCGGUGGACGACGAGUUUUUGAGCGCGGGAUCUUCUACUUCUAACAAGUGCUCUUCAGAAUUCACAAACUCGUAUGGAGUUCGAUCUACAUCUCCAAGCGGUUCCCAAGCUUCAUCCGAUAAGUUCUCUCAGUUUGGCACGGCACGCGAUUACCACGAUUUCGAUAUGCAGAAUGACCUUUUCUGGCAUGAUGAGAAAGAUGAUGGAGACUUCAUGACUCUUUGCUUUGAAGGGCCGGACUUCUUCGCCUGUCCCACGGAGGAUAAGUUCAUCAUGACUUCAGAUACAGACAAAGGGAACGAGAAAAUGCUGGAUCUGAAUCAUAAAUCCGAAGCAUUUCAACCAGAAAUAAGCCUCGAUUGCCUGGACAAGAGUUGUCUUACCAAUGUUUCUCCGGUGGAUGAUACAAGAAAGGAUUAUGCGACGAAUUAUAAGAAACAAAUCAGCUAGAAGAAGGCUUUGAAGAAUAUUGCGCAAAAUGCUGCUAUUUCCAGGUCUUUACAAGAGCGUUCAAAUAUGCUAUUCAAGAUAAGCGAAGAGAAGUCACAAGCUGAGGCGGAAACUGAGCACCUUCUUGCUGAAAAGCAAUGAGCGUUUGGAAGCUGAGACUGAAUUCAAGACAAAACAGGACAGGGAGUUGGCAGAUGCAGCGGAGAAGCUUGCCGAGUGUCAAGAAACCAUAUUUCUUCUUGGCAAGCAGUUGAAAGCAUUGCACCCUCAAACAGAGGUCAUGGGCUCUCUGUACAGUGAGAGGAGUCAACGGUUCACAGAGGAUGAACCCACUUCCAGUUCCAUGAACUUGCAAGACUCAGAAAAAAGGUGCGAUGGAAGGCACUUCUUCUGCCAAUGUAAACAGGGCGGGCAGCGAAUCUCCCAUCAACCUCUCCCCCAUCACUCUGCAUCUGCAUGCCCAUCGUCAGACGCAGAGGCAGCAACAAUCUUAAAAAUCACCAUCCAGUUCAGUUUCCUCAACAAGAGUCCGAAACACAGGCCUUCAAAGUCAACUUCCUCAUCUACGUCUUCUACCCCAACAGACAAGAAAGAUUUUGGGGACUUGCUCGUUAUGCUGCCAUUUCUCGGGACAACGGUCUUGUACCCGUUGUGGAUCCUGAAACUCUUCUCGACGGGGACCACCCAAUCGAAGGGACACUUGAAGUUGCAGAGAAGUACCAUGCAAUCAAAUGUGAGAAAGCUAUCAUUAAUAAUUAUUGUAUGAUGCUUGUGAAGAAUCCGACACGCUCCCGCAAUCUGGAAGUCGUACGACGAGACGCCAUGUUCAUAAAGAGGCGUUGUUUCCUCAGCCCUCGCCUUCCUCCUGCCCGCUUCCCCGAUCUGCGAACACCACCGUCGCUACACCACAACUGGCUUCCAUGCUCCGCUCAGGUGGAGGGUCUUGGGUUCGAAGGUUGAUGUGCUUCUCCUGCUUAGUAACAUUUGAUUCUGUCUCGACAGCAUCAGCAACAUCAGCACCAGCAGCGUGAUUCUCGACUCCGAGCUCGGCAGCAGCGGCGAGGACGGCGGCGUUGUUGUCCUGAAAUGUGGAAACGGCAGCGUCAGGGUUCCAGUUGUGGGAUUCAACGAAGAAGAGGGCUUCUUGCUUCAAAGCAAAUAUGAUAUCGCAGGAGGAGCUGACGACGACAUCGUUUUGGGAAUUAGAUUCUUGAGCUUCGACUUCCAUGACGAUUAGGAUUGUUCAGUGCUCUCCGUCCAUGCUUUUCAUUGUUCUCUUCCUCUUCUACUAUUGUUGUAUGAUGAUGUUGUUGAGCCUGGAAGUUGCUGGCGAUGAACAAGGCCUUGAAGAGGAAAAGAUUGCUCCGGCGAUGAAGUUGUAACUCAGGUCGAGCGUUCUCAGGUUGCUUAACCGUCCCCUCCUUCUUCCUUCUCCUCCGUCUCUUGCCUCGCAGCUGCCACCAACUUCAAAGACCGCUGUCAAACGACUAGCCGGCCGAGAAGCUCUUCCUUAAACUCCAGCUCUCCGUCCGUCUUCGUCCUUCCCUACAAAUCCCUCCGCCAAGCAUCCUAAUUUAUACAGAAAGAAAUACAAUUAAAAAAAAAAAAAAAAAAAAAAAAAAAAAGAGGUGGUGGUGCAUCUGGCACCACGUGAAAAAAGAGGAAUGGUGGAUCAAAGAUGGGGUACAGCCCCAUGGCAGAUCAAAAGUUUCUGGUGGUGCAUGGGCACCAUGUGCGGAAAGAAAAAAAAAAUUGUAAAAAAAUAAAAAAAUAAAUAAUAAAAAAAUGAUGGAACUUGGUGCAUCCAGCACCAAAGGAAAAAGAAAAAAACAAAAAAAAAAUAAAAAACAAAUGCAUAGAGAGAAAUAGAAGGUCCAUUUUAUUUAUUUUUCUGGAAAUUUUACAUAAAUUUGCAUUAUACAUAAAUUAAAAAAAAAAAAUCAAAUCAAAUCAAAUUUACAAGAGGGGAUAUUCAAGGACGAUCAGGUGGCGCUUCACAACUCGGCAGAGCUCCAGGAAGAGAAGGCGUCGGAGGUUGGCUGUUUGAAGCCUCAGCAGUCGGUACAGCCCCAGAAGACGAAGGUAAAUGCUGCUGGAACAAACUCACAAACCUCCGAUGAUCAAGUAAAAUCUGACCAUCAGAUUCCUGCAUCUGGUCAAUUUUCCUCUUCAUGUUUGUGGCAUAGUUGUGUGCAAGCUUGUGCAACUGUUUAUUCUCAUGCUUGAGCCCUCUGAUCUCCUGUUUGAGACUCAUCACUUCAGCCGCCAACGAUUCAACUUGACGGGUUCGAGCAAAUAGGCGUUGGGCCAUGUUGGACACAGAACCUGCACACUGUACACUGAGAGCCAGAGAAUCCUUAACAGCCAACUCAUCAGACCGUUUGGAAAGUAGUCUGUUAUCUCUGGGAGUGACAAGGUUUCGGGCCACCACCGCAGCGGUCAUAUCAUUCUUCACCACCGAAUCCCCAACGGUAAGAGGACCAGUAAGGGAUAUGAAGGAUGGGCGCCAUAUGUUGUCUGGAGAAGGCGGGACUGCCUCUUCACCAAGAUUCAAGUCAAAACGACGGUCAGAGGGUCCAGACAUUUUCAAAGUGUUGAAGGAAGAAGAGAUCGGACAAAUCAAGAUCUUAGAAGUACAAGAGGGGAGUUUUCACAUGCGAAAAUUCAAGUGUGCUUUGAAACGAACUGCAUGCCUCUAUAAAAAAAUCAGCACUCGACGGGAUUUCAGAGAUCGAAGAGGCGAGCUCAGAAUUCGAAAAGGCCAUUCAAAAAUCGAAGAGGCAAGCUCGGAAAUCAGAAAAGCAUCUUGCUUUUCCAGACGCGUCGACACCCAUCACACGCAAACUCAGCUUUGCGGAAAUCACGGGUAAUUUGUCGAAGCGCUGAUCCCAGAUAUCGAAGAGGCGCCAGUCUUUUUCAGCCGCGUCAUCACCUGUCAUAUGCACACUCAACUUUGCGCAAAUCACAGACAAUUUGUUGAAGAUUUUUGGGUGAAGGAAAAAGCACGUGAAGUUUACUGUUCAAUCAUCCAACGGUUGCCGACACGAGUGAAAGAAUAGUACCUCUACAGGUAUUAAGGGACCUCCUAUAACUGUCCACCUUCACCUUCCAUAGCAAGGCAGACAUACAGAGCCUUUCUUCAUCUCCAAAAAAUGCUUUCCCAACGAAACCUCUCGAGUCAUUCAGUGUUCCUUAUUCCUUGGGGUACCUCUGCAAGCCAAUAGCUCCAAAGCAAAAGUAUCUCAUAUCACCAGGGUAGAAAGCAAGAGUAUCUCAUAUCAUGCGUUCUCCCUGUCUUUUCCUUUGUCCUUGUUCUUACCUACAAAGACAAGGAUAAAGAAAACAAUAUGUCGGAACCUCCACUCAAACGCGGGUAAGGAAUCGACUGCUUGGAACCCUUCCCUGAUUGCCUACCUAGCACUGCUCUCGAGUACUCGUCUCCCACUGCUGCUGUACUUCCAAAGAAGCUACCACAUCUACCUGAAGAAUAGAUAAGGCAAGUGAAAAUGAUACUUUGCAGCAUGUGGAGACAAGGUGCAAAAGGAACAAGCAGAGAAGAAUGCAGUCUGCACAGUCAACUCAGCAGAAGGAGUCCGAGCUGAAGAACUCAAGAAGCUGCCAUAUCUGCCUGAAGAAACAAGCAGAGAAGAAUGCAGCAUGCUCAGUCAACUCGGCAGAAAGAGUCUGAGAUGAAGAACUCGUUUUGACCCUCAAAUUCUUGGGUCGACUUACUAGGCGUUGUGGGCUGCACGUGCCGAUUCACCACCCUUGAAUCAAAUCCUUAAAGAUCAAGUCACCAACUGGAAUAAGAGUUCAUCAAUCUUGAAGAUCAUACCGUUGACCAAACUGCUCAGGUGUGAAUUAGAAAGAUUGAACAGAGCAACAAGUCGUCACUUUCACCUCGUGCCUGCUUGUCAUGUGUUCGAGUCAACCUUCAAGAAUCAAGCCUCAACGGCCCUUGAAGAAGCUUUCAGCCAAAUUCGAAAUCAAGCCUCGACGGCCCUGGAAGAAAUCACAAGUCUGAUUCAAGAUCAAGUGUCUACCACCCUUGAAUCAAAACCUAGUUCAAGAAUAAGCUGUGGAAAAUCAACAAUUGGAGGAAUCCAGAAAAUCCUCCAACCCAGUUCAAGAUCAAAGCUGUGGAAAGUCAACAAGCGCAACAAAAUACGUGCCGAUUCAUCCACUACCAAAGCCAAAAAUCAUCUACCACAUGAAGCUCCUUGUGGCCCAAUUUCAACCUUCAAGAUCAAGCCUCGACGAUCCUUGAAGAAAUUUCAAACAAAAGUUCAAGAACAAGCCUCAACGGCCCUUGAAGAAAUCUCAAGCCCAAUUCAAGAUCAAGCCUCAACGACCCUUGAAGAAAUCUCCAGCCCAAUUCAAGAUCAAGCCUCGACGGCCCUUGGAUCGACAUCUACAAUAAAGGACUUCAAAACGCAUCUCCUACACGUGACAAGCACAUGUAUACGACGUGCCUUGAAGUGGGGGCAUUUGUAGACAUCGAAAUUUCGUAAAUAAAUAUUGACUGAUAAAUCAAAGUGUCAACGCUCAUGUAUUACAUAAAUUUUACACGUAGCGUGUGACUCAACGAAAAUUGAAAUAAGUUAGAAAAGUCAUCAAAUAGGACACGUGUCAACACCUGGAAGAAACGACUUAUUUCAUCUGCAAUAUUAUAUUCAAAAUUAGGGCCUUGGAAAUUUCUAUAAAUACAAGCCAAUUUCAUUCAUUUGGGGGAACCAAUUCAUAUUACACCUUGAAGCUCUGAAGCUCUGAAACUCCAAAGCUCUCAAGCAUCCAGGUUCCCGAAGAAUCAAGAAAGCCUUCUUCGUUCUUCAUUCAUCGUUCUUCCAAGAUCAAGCCCCAACGGCCAUUUGGAUCAACAAUCAUCCACCAAUUCAAGAUCAAGCCCCGACGGCCCUUGAAGAAAGCACCAUCGUUCAUCAUCCGUUCAUUCAAGAUCAAGCCCCGACGACCCUUGAAGAAAGCACCAUCGUUCAUCAUCCGUUCAUCCAAGAUCAAGCCCAACGGCCCUUUGGAUCAACAACGUCGGCGAAUCCACACACAUCCAACCGUUCUUCAAGAUCAAGCCCAAAAGCCCUUGAAGAUCUGUUCAUCACUGUUUCUUCAAGAUCAAGCCCAAAAGCCCUUGAAGAUCCACUCAUCACUGUUAUUCAAGAUCAAGCCUCAAACGGCCCUUGAAGAAACAUUCAUCCUCAAGAUCAAGCCCCCAACGGCUCCUUGAAGAUCCGCUCAAAUCCACCUUCAAAGAUCAAGUCCACGGCCCUUUGAAGAAACUUCCAACAGUUCAUCCAAUAUCAAGCCCCAACGGCCCUUGGAUCAACGAAACAUCCACAAAUCAACACCUUACGGAGAUCGAAUCAGAGGAUCAAAAUAGAGAGAGAUUGUAACCCAAAAUCAUCAAAUACAAAUAUUUGUUUGUGCACGUCGUUUCUUGUCUCUUUCGUUUCAGGAAUUUUCCGUGUUCACAAUGACUUUUUUCUUUAAUUUAUUGUGUUGCAAGUUUAAACACUCCGAUCUUUGUAGUUAAACUUAGAUUAUUAAUAAUAAGAUUGAUUGUAAUAAAAAUAUAUAUAUUCUCAAAAUGGAAAAAGGGUUAUUUUUUACGAAAACUAAUGAAAAUAGUUUGAAAACUUUAAAUUUUAACGAUAAGGACAAAAUAAAAGGGAAAAUAAAUAGUACCAAUAUUGACUUUUUAGUGUAAAAAUGUGGUUUUUCGUUAAAGUGAACAGUACCAUGAACUUUUCGUUAAAGUUCCAUUUUUUUUCGUUUUCAGAUGGUGUUGGACACAAUUUAUUUCUUAGAAACUUGACAUGAACAGCACUGUUAAGCAAAUAGAUAAAUUUGAGACACAAAUAUGGAUUUCUUUUCUAAUAAGUUCUUCCUUUAGACAUUCUACAUAAUUAACAUUUAAAUAGGUGGCCAAAUUAUAUCCUAAAGAUAUUGAUUGUAUUAAAUAUAUGUAAAUAUUGUAGUCAAAUUCAUAUUUUUAUCACAGAUGAUCCCUGAAAUUGAUAAACGUAUCAAAAUGAUAUAUGAAAUUGAAAAUUGAUUAAUGUUAUCUAUAAAUAUGGAGAUUGUUGUUGGUGGCGGAGUUCAAAGAAGGAGAAGAUGAGGAUUUUUAGUUUGUUGUUUUUCUUCUUUUUACCUUUUUAAAUUUUGAAACGCUUUAUUUAAUCCAUGUGUCAUCGUAUUAUUGGAGUGCAGAGUCUUAUGUGUGUCACAUCAGCACAUAAUAUAUUUUUUUUAAUAGAAUUCAGACAGAAGACAACAUUGAUUUGCAACACUCAUAUUCAGGGACCACUUAUAAUAAAAUUCUAUAUAAUAUAAUAACUUAAGUUCAACAAGUCACUACCCGCGAAACCAGUCUUUUUAACAUGUUACUAAGGAGUCUAUCCAUUGUCAAACAAUAAGAUAAUUAUAUUAAAUUUAACUAAAUUACGGCAAACGGAAUUCAAACUUUGUGUAGGAUAAAACACAAUGACAUAACUAGCAUGGCUAAACUCAAAUUAUGUAAAUGUAUCUUUAAUUAUAUAAAUAAUUAAAUAAAAAUAAAUAGAGUAAGUGGUUGGGAAUAAUAUAUUUGUUUCGGAAAACUAAUGAAAAUGACUUGAAAAUUUUGAGUUUUAACGAUAAGGACAAAAUAAAGGGUAAAGUAAAUAGUACCAUAAUCGACUUUUUAGUGUAAAAAUGUGAUUUUUCGUUAAAGUGAACAGUACCGGAAGUUUUUCGUUAAAGUUCCCUAUUUUUUUUCCUUUCUUGUUUGGUCUUUGGUUUUAAGGGCAAGUAAGGUAACACAAGUCAUUGACUUCUGUUUGUGUCCUUCGAGGUCCACUGCUUCCCUUCGAAUAAAAAGCUGUAAUUCAGACUCAUUCUCCUCACAAAUCUUUCUUUCUUUCUUCGCCACUCUCACAAAUUUUCAUACAUACAAUCCAACAAAUUCCAAAACCUCUCAACAUAUUCCAUCCAGCUAGCUGCACAAACUGAUCCUUUUGUCCCUGGUUUUCUCUUCAAAUGUGAAAGACCUUGCCUAGAAAAAUGAUGAAUAUGUUCUUCCCUCGAUUUCUUCCUCAUUCUCUUUUCUUUGUAGCUUGCUUUGUAACUUUUGCCUUUGGAGCUACUCGAUUGCCAAAUGAUGAAGGUACGAGUAAUUCACCUCAAUAUCUUUGUGUAAUAUCUUCCUUAGUUUCCUUUGUUUCAUUCUAUAAAUGAUGGUUUUAAGUUUGUUUGAUAAUCUUUUAGUUUUUUAAAAAUUUGGUUUGGGUUGAUUUUGGUUUUCAGUUUACAUUUUUUCCGAGAAGUGAAAACAGUUACCAAUGAACUAAUAAUUAAAAAAUUAAAAAUUAAAAUAGUUAUCAAUCAUAUGAUGCUGCGGUGCACUCUGUAGUUCUUGUCUAUGCAUCAAUUUUUUUUUUUACUAUUUUGUUGAGCACGAUGUUAAUUUGUUGCCUUUUAUUUUGCGUAUAUAUAGUGCACACUUUGAAAGACAUAGCAAAGACACUGGGGAAGACGGGCUGGAAUUUCAGUGGAGACGCAGAUCCAUGCAGCGGCCAACUUCCAUGGACUGAUCCAAAAGCAACCAAAGAAUCUGCGAAUGCCAUCAACUGUACUUGCUCCUCCACUGUCUGCCAUAUUACCGGAAUGUAAACCUCUCUCUCUCUCUCUCUCUCUCUCUCAAAAACAAACAUUUCGGAUUCAGAACAUGAGUUGGUAUACCACGUGUCAUUAUAUAAAUGAUGAGUUAUUUGUGUUAAAAAAUUAAUACAAUUUGAAAAAUAAAACUUUCCUCCACUCAUAUAAUGACACGCGGUCUACGAUCCGAACACAAUUUUUCCACAUCUCACAAGCUGAUACCAAAUAAUCUUAUCGGCUUUUUGUGAUGUAAAUUGAUGUGCAUUUAUUGGUGCCACCCUCAACAAAGGUUUUUCCGGAACAUUAUUAGAUCGUUGGGGAUAUUUACUUCGAUUAAAAUUAAGAAAUUAAAAUACUACUUGUUUUUUAAUUAACGGGGAGACAAAUUUGAAUUUUUUUUUUGGCAAAAAACAAAUUUGAAUUUGGUACAUCUUUUAAAUCUAAUAAGAGAAGUACCAUUAGACUGUCAACUAGUUAGUAAAAUGCUACUGCUUCUAAAUUUUUUUGUUGGGACGUUUUGAUGUAGUUGCCUUAUUUUUUAAUGGGAACUUUAACGAAAAGCACCCGGUACUGUUUACUUUAACGAAAAACCACAUUUUUACACUAAAAAGUCAAUCCUGGUACUAUUCACUUUACCCUUUAUUUUGUCCUUAUCAUUAAAACUCAAAGUUUUCAAGCCCUUUUCAUUAGUUUUUCUUUUUUUAAUUUCGUUGAGUAAACAUUGGUUCCUUUUAAGAAUUUGAUUAAACAUUUUUUAGAGGUACCUUUGAUAUUGGUGCAUUUGAUUUUAUGGUACAUUUAGAAUCUAAAUGUCCCAAAAGUUAGUACCUUUUUUUUAAAUAUACCAUAACUUUUAAAUACAUUUUUUAAUAAAAUUAAUGAAGUUUUUUAUUUUUUAUAUUUUAUUAUUUUUUUUAUAAAUAAAAGUAUUAAUGACUUUGUUUUUUUUUAUGAAAGAAGAGACUAAUUAAAUAUAAUAACAGAUAUAAAAAGUUAUUUUUCAAUGAUAUUGAUGAAUUACUUAAAUUAAUGUUUUUAAUAAAGCCAUGAAUUUGAAUCACAUUAUUGCUACUUCAUUAUGAGACUUAGCGCACUCCUCCGUCCCUAUCAGUUGUUAAAAAUAAAAAAAGUUAAAAAAUAAUGCCGUGAAUUUAAAAUUCCUAGAUUGUAGGAAAUUAGUUGUUAGCUAAUUUAAGUGAAUAUAUAUAUAUAUAUAUAUAUAUAUAUAUAUAUAUUAAAUGAAUAAAUAAAAUGCUAAGUUGGUAAUUGAUGAAAGCAUCUUCAUCAAAUUUUGUAAAAGAACAUAUGUUUAAUCUAAAAAAGUUGGAAAAAAUGCAAGAGAUUCUAAUUACUCCUUUUUCUGUUUCACCAUAGAGAACAUAUCGUUAAUAUAUAUAUAUAUAUAUAUAUAUAUAUAUAUAAUUAGUAUAUAUAUAUGGAAGUGUUAUUAGCACUUCAAAAAUUUCAUUCUACACUCAUUCUACUAAUUAAUAAAACACUCAUUGUCAACCAAAACUCUAUGAAAUUACUAGUUUAACCCUCUAAUUAAAAUAGAACAUGAAUAAGAAAUAUGGGGUAGAAAUGUAAUUUCACAACUGUCAACCAAAACCAUAUGAAAUUACCAGUUUAACUCUCUAAUUAAAACAAAACAUGAAUAAGAAAUAUGGGGCAGAAAUGUAAUUUCACACAACCAAAUUUUGUUUUUUUUUUCAAAGCCUCACCUACAUGUAAUUCUAACAUAUCUCUAAUUUAAAAAAAAAAAAAAAAAACUUCUGACAUUCUCUAUCACUCCCUUCCUCUCUCCUUCUAUUAAAAAAAAAAAAAAUUUCUCACACACUUUGUGUGUGCCCAUAUGCUAGUGUGUGUGUAUAUAUAUAGAUAUGAAUAGUUUUAUGUUUGUAUAGUUCUUUUGUUUGAGACACGUUGUGAAUAUAGAAUGUUACUUUACAGCGAAAAGAGUUGGAAAUAAGUUGUUAAUAAUAGAUUACCGAGAGAAAUAAGUGAUUCUUUGUCAUAAUAUGCAUAUGAGAUUAUUGCGUUAAUAAACACCAAUUUAAGUACUUAAUGUGUCACUUAGUUUUUUUUUUACUUGUAAGUGAGAGGUUUUAGGUUCGAUUCUGGCCAAAGGCGUAUUUGAACCAUAUAAUUACUAACUCAUUAUGAGGUUUAGACAACUCUCUCAUGCCUUAGUGUAGAUAAUCGUUUAUUAAAAAAAAAAAAACUUAAUGUGAUAAAGAGAACAUAAGUUGGAAAAUAAACGUUGGGUUAUAUAGAAUUGUCAUUGAUUAACUUAUUUCUUAAGCCAUUAAAAAUUGCUCAUUAAAUUUUUCUUUCCUGGAUAAAUAGUUUGCUCGUUGUGUUUUGAACGAGCUCCAUCUCAUGAUAUAUAGAACUAUUAAGAGAAAAAGAAAGAAAAAGUUGAGAAAAUAAAGAAAAAGCAACGUACAGAUUAGGCGCCUUUUGUUGUGAAAAAGGUUGAGAAGGAUAAGAUCAAAGUUUUUCAGUCUUUGUCAUAAGAAUAAACACUAAAAGAAAAAACAAGAAAGGUCUAUGUCCACGUACCAUCCAGUGACAUUGUAUAAUAUCCACAUGAAGACUUUUUAGGUCAAUGAAUCUUAAUGAGCAGAAAAUUUUGUAAUUGUUCAUUAUUCAAGCAAAUAAUUUAAGUGUUAUAAAAUAGGUGAGGGAAUACGAAAAAAAAAUAUCAUUUUCUCCAUGUGUAAUAUGAUAUUUGGUGUACCACUUGAAAAAAUCUCUUCUCAAUCAGCGUUGUCUCCUACAAAGAAAAUUAACUAUGCAUGUAAGAGAGGAAAAUAACUUAUAUUGAACAAUUUUUUUUAUUUAUUAAACAAAGCUUCAUAUAAACAGAGCUUUAUAAAAUUUACGUUGAAUCAUAUAUUAAUACGUGUAAAUUUUUCUUAGCGUGAUAUAUAUUAUUAUAUUAAAAAUAUUGAAAAAAAAAAUUCGUUCCAUCUAAACUGCUCACAAAUGUGCGAGGAGAAAUGUUGAUUAGAAGGUUGGAAUUCGGUUUUGUGGACCCCACGUCUAUUUGCUAUAAGUAUCAAUCAAUUUUUCACUAAAUGUCCCCAAACCUAACCCUAUGCCCAUGAAACCUCCAAAAUAAAGUAGGAAUUAUAAGGCCUAGUGUGGGCACCAUCGAGUUGUCUAUUGGCAACUUGGCACGUUGUAUUCACUCAUUCAACCUUACGUCGGGCAAGGUAGCUAGGCCAAUUAAUUCCAAUUGGAUUUGAGGGAUGUUAGUUUAAUAGCACAGUCGAGCUCGUUUCUUUCUUAGGGAUUUUCUCACACCCCGACCCUAGCUUCAAAGGGAUUUUUUUAGUGCGUUGAGAAUAUGGUUCGGUACAUCAAGUAUCAUAAUACAAAUAUUUAGAUACAUGGGAAAAAAUUUCUACCACUUGCAUUAUGACACUUAAUGUACCGAACCUUUUUCCUAACACAAUGAAAAUUUUGCCUGGGUUCGUGGCGUAAAAAUUUGAAGUUCUUAUUCGUGGCAUAAAAAUAAAUUGAAUCAAAUUUCUUAGAACUAUAAACUAUUCUUGACGUGCAAGUCAGGAUUGAAAAUUUCGAUUUCCACCAAUUCAGUUUUUGUUGGAACAAAAUUAUGAUGAAAAUUGGAAUAUAUCUUAAAAUUCUCAAAUGGGCUUCGGCUGCCUAACACUAGAACGGGCUUAGUCGUCUGUACUGUUCGGGUCAGGAAUUUUCGUCGAGGAUGUUUCCUGGCCAACAAGCACACAGCUCCCCGGGAGGUUGGCGCCGGUUGAGGGCUACUGUCGAGCUUCUGCUUCACUGUCGAGCUUUGUCGGGCAAGCUUCGUCGGGCAAGUCUUAUCGGGCAAGACUUGUCGGGCAAGGCUCGUAGGCCUUGAGGCUCACAAUCAAGAUUAACUUUUAGGUGCUCAGGCGUGCCACUGCCAUCUUCAGCAUGGCAGAUGUAAAAUGGAUGUCGAGUUUUAGUUAUAUAUAUGUAUAUACCCGAGAAACCGUGUUAGUUAUAACAGGUGCCUUUGUGGGGCCUUAGGUAUAAGCCUUGAGUCUUCCUAUCAAACCAAACCAGUGCUCGAACAUAUCAUAUUUGUUUUUGUGAGUGCAGGAGUCUUAUAACUAUUAUACUUCUGAUUAACCGAGUCCGAGAGGUAGAAUGAACCCAAAUAGGUGCCUUCGUAGGGCCUUAGGUGUAGGCCUUGAGGCUUCCCAUUAGAAUUCGUUCUUAUACUCAAACGUUCUAGAUCGCAGAACGGAAUGAAUCCAAAUAGGUGCCUUCGUAGGGCCUUAGGUGUAGGCCUUGAGGCUUCCCAUCAUAAUCCAUUCCAUGCUUAAGCGUUCUAUGAUAAUCAUAAUAUAAUAGAAAUAAAACUAAGAGGUAGGUCGAUUACUUGCGCCCCAAGUAACUUCAGACUUCUCGUUUAUCAAGGACUGUCGUGGAUGGGUUAAGUCCACAUAAGGUUCUUUUUUAUGCCUUGAGGCCAAUGACUUUUAACUGAUCAGAUUUGCAUGCCCGAGGGCUUAGGACUUGGAUCUGGUUUGAACACUAAAGAUAUAUUCAAAUCGGAUCCAAGUACUGAGAAAGCCUUUUAAUAGUCAUCUUGCUAGAAAUAACUUGCAUAUAACUGGAAGUAUACAACAUAUUGCUAGGCUAAUGAAUGAAAAGACAAAAACAAAGAAGGUCGGGCAAGGUUUAACCUUAUCAGGUAAGGCUGAUCGUCUUGCAGGUUCCUAUCUUUGUAGUUUUGUCAAGGGUCUGAAAGCUUAGAGAGAGAGAGAGAGAGAGAGAGAGAUAGAGAGAUUACAAAAGAUGAAUCGAUACUACAGCAAGGUUGAACAGGGUAGCAGAGCUAUUACAAAGGUUUGAAAGAAGGUUUAGCCCGCGAUGGAUGAAGGCUUGUCCCGAGAGGGAUGAAGGCUUGGGCUGACUACAACUUCAUUUUGAAGGCAAAUCUGGCUUUGAGCAGAGUUUGUGCUUGCAUUUGUUUGUUUGAUUGAGUGUCCUUAUUCCUGGUUUCUCUUUCUUCUUAUAUAGACAACUUGGCUUGGCCUCAUGUAGCAGCAGCCUUGCCCGAAUGCGGUUUGAGGGUGAUGACUCAUCAGCUAUUUUACAUGUAAUGCCACCAUAAAGUACUUUAUGGGCUGUGUAGCUGGUCAGUCUAUACCACUUGGCCUUUGGGUAGGUGAGCAAGUGGUCUUCAUGAGCUGCACCAAGUCAGAAAAGGCAUUUUCUGCUUUUCUGGGUUUUGGCCGGGCCUUGGUCAACUAUUCCUUCAGGCCUCCUUUUGGGCCAGCUCAUUUCUUGAGCCCAAAGUUAAGUUUUGAUCCAAACAGUGUCCCCUUCAAUUGAUAUUUAACCUGGAAUUCCAGGCGCCAAUAUUAAUUGAAUAUCCGCAUGCGUGUAUAUCAAUCUUUUGGAACUUGUGUUUUCUGUGCCCCUUGCUCUUCUCAUGACCUUUGAACUGUCCUGUGGGCCCUAUAAAUUAUGGCUCGGAAUUUCUUCUGUCAAGCCAUCAAAUCCUCUUCGGCCUUCCCUUCCAUCUUCCUCGAGCGUUCUUGUCUUCUUUUAAAAACUGAGAAAUGGGUUCCUCAGGCUUUGAGUGGAGUUUCCUAAAACUCCCUUUUCGUGAGAAAAAGGGUUUUCAUCAAAUGACUGCUAUCUCCAACACCCUUGGUCGAACACCCCGCUAUCUCCAACACCAUUGGUCAGGCGGUUUCCUCUUGAAGGCUUGUCUUCCUCCUUGUUACGGUGAUAAGUCGGGCUUCACCAUCACAUAUGGUGACGGUCCUGUCUAAGGAUCCUCUACUAGGCUCAUGUUGGCCGCACAACCCGAUCACCUGAUUGGGUUCUAUUCAUGAAGAUAUCGGAAAACCAGCUGAAAACACCACCAUAUCCAGAGAUAAUCAAAUGUAAUACGUAGGAAUUGAAUCUAUUGUUAAUUUCACCAAUUUGUCGACAUGAAAUAAAUAUUAUUUCAGCAACUUUUGUCUUUCUGUCUUCUUUGAAUGGUUGAUGAACAAACACUGCACAUGAAACUCCCGAAGCCUACUUUACUUUGCCCCCUCUUCAAUUUAACAAUCUCUAACAUCCCAUAAUGUAGGACAAUAUUUUUUCAAGAAUUUAACAUUAAUGGGAUGUUUCUGCCCAUUUACUUCGAGGUCCGCUAGGUAGUAUCCUCCUUUAUCCAAAACUCGACUAAUAAUGAAAUGACCUUCCCAUGUCGGGCUCCAUUUUCCAAAGCCCCGAAGCUGAGCUCCUAGCGGGAGGACUGUUUUCCAUACUAAAUCUCCCUCUUUGAAAGACUUUAUCUUCACCUUUUUGUUAUAAGCUCGGGCAACAGCUUUCUUUCCUUCCUGAAUCUGGUUCAAGGCUUCAAUUCGGGCUACAUCCAAGUCUUCAAUUCCUUGACACAUGCCUUCGAUGUAUUCUUCACUAUGUAACCCAAAUUGGUUUUGAAUUCUAACAGAACUAACAUUGAUCUCCAUAUGGAGCACUGCAUCUUGCCCGAAAAUCAAAGCAUAAGGAGUUGUCCCUGUUCCUGCCCUCUUGGAAGUUCUGUAUGCCCACAACGUAUUCCCCAGCUUUUCAUGUCACUUUUCUGGACUAUCUAUCACCAUUCUUUUGAUAAUGUUGACCAGGAUCUUGUUGCUGGCCUCUGCCUGAUUGAGGAUAGUACGGACUGGACUGGAUCAUCUUUAUUUUGUACUUGCUUGCAAACUCUUCAACUUUUUUUGAAAUAAAAGAUGGCCCACGGUCCGUUACUAUAGUUUCGGGCACCCCGUAUCUGUGCAGAAUCUUGGUCUCGAUAAAAUUCUUGACUGCGGCUGAAGUUAUGGAUUUUACUGCCGAUGUUUCCACCCACUUGGUGAAGUAAUCCAUUGCUACAAUUAUAAAAGUAUGCCCUUUACUAGAAGUUGGAUAGAUUUGCCCGAUGAAGUCCAUCGCCCACCCUCUGAAAGGCCAAGGCUUGACUACUGGAUUUAAAGGUACUGAAGGCACAUGUUGGAGAGGUCCGUGCCUUUGACAUUCUUCACAACCUCGGGCAUAAGACUUGCAAUCUUUUUCCAUGUCGGGCCAGAAAUAACCGUACCUUCUAAGCAACCAUCUCAUCUUUGUCCCCGCCUGAUGUGCUCCACAUAUUCCUUCAUGUACUUCGGCCAUUACUCUCAUGGAUUCUUCUUGGCCUAAGCAUUUUAAUAGUAGCCCAUCUGGAGUUUUCCUUAGUAGGUUCGUCGCCCAUAAGACAUACUUGGUUGCUUGCUGUCUAUUCUUCUUACUUGUAGGCGAAGAGGGAUCCUUCAAAUGAUGAAUGAUAGGUGACCUCCAAUCUUCUAUCUUGGUUUCUAGAACCAUUAUAUCCAGACUGAAUCCCCUUUCUAAGAUAGAAAAAAGGUUUCUUUUUUGGAUCUCGACAUCUACCCCAUAUUUUCUUUCCUGUAUUGGCACUCCUGAGGCUAGUUGUGCCAUCUCGUUGGCCGCUAAGUUGGAUCCCCUGGGAACAUGAUUGACUGAUAUCUCAGAAUCCCAGAAACUCAAUAAUUGCGUAGCUGCCAUGUGAUACCCCGCUAUAGUGAUAUGUCUGCACUUGAACUCACCAUUUAGCUGGUUUAUUACCAACUCUGAAUCACCAAAGACCUCUACCUCUGCUGCCCCCAAAUCCAUCAGGAUUUCCAGACCAAUUAUUAAGGCCUCAUACUCUACCCGAUUAUUAGUAUUUUCUUGGUAGUCUAGGAGAAAUGAGUAAUAAUGAUAAACCCCUUAAGGGUUUACAAUCACAAUCCCAGCUCCUGAAGCCUUCUGAGUGUGAGAUCCAUCGAAAUACAACUUCCAAGGAGUGAUCCAGAGACCAGUUACUCUUCUUAUUUCUUGCUGGACCUUAUCUUCUUUGCCCAAAAUAUCUUUUCUUGGUGGGAUCCAAAUGCUAGUAACCUCCAGGCUUCCCGGGAUAUUGAUUACCUCACUUUGAGAUUCUUGAUGCUCGGUCAGGAAGUCAGCAAUUGCUUGGCCUUUGACUGCCCUUUGGGGUACAUAUUGAAAACUGAACUCUGAUAAUGCUAGAAUCCACUUCCCAAUCCUUCCUGUUAGCAUUGGCUUUGACAACAUGUACUUUAUCACAUCUGUUUUGGCGAUGAUGUGUACGUGACAGGGCAACAUGUAAUGCCUUAGCUUGCUGGCAGUAAAAUAUAGAGCCAAGCAUAAUCUCUCUACUGGAGAAUAUCUUAUCUCUACCUCGGUCAGAAUUCUGCUGAGGUAGUAUACGGUCUGCUCCUUCCCGCCUUCAUUAUUUUGGGCUAGCAAACUUCCGAUUGACUUUUCUGAAGCAGAAAUAUACAACUUUAAGGGCUUUCCCCUUUGAGGUGGCACCAACACUGGUGGAGAAGUUAAAUAUGCCUUGAUGCUGUCAAAAGCCUGUUGGUGUGGCGGUCCCCACUCGAAGUUUUCUUUAUCUUUCAAUCUUAGUAGAGGAGUUAGCGGCUGGAUCUUGCCUGCUAAAUUGGCAAUGAAUCUCCUCAAGAAGUUAAUUUUGCCUAGUAGCCUUUGGAGUUGUACUUUAUUGGUGGGUGAAGGUGACUCCAUUAUUGCCCGAGAUUUGUUCUUGUCCACUUCCACACCUAUCUGAUGCACUAGGAAUCCCAAGAAGUUGCCCGCUCUCACUCCAAAUGCGCACUUAUUUGGAUUCAUCUUCAAUUUGUGGAUCCUCAUCCUUGUCAAUGUUUGCUUGAGGUCUACUAGAUGAUGCUCUUCUGUCUUAGAUUUUACCACGAUGUCAUCGAUAUAUACUUCCAUGCUCUGGCCAAUCAGAUCGUGAAAGAUGGCAUUCAUUGCCCUUUGGUAGGUUGCACCAGCAUUCUUGAGCCCGAAUGGUAUGACCAGAUAUUCAUAUGCCCCCACAUGACCGGGACACCUAAAAGUUGUUUUAUGUAUAUCUUCUGGAGCCAUCUUUAUCUGAUUAUACUCGGCAUUUCCAUCCAUAAAAGAUAAGACUUUAUGUUUUACUACUGCAUCUAUGGAUAAAUCGGCCAUGGGCAUGGGAUACUCAUCUUUCGGUGUGGCACUAUUAAUAUUUCUGUAGUCAACACAACAUCGUACUGCUUUUGUUACAGCUUUUAAAACGGGUACAAUGUUGGCUAGCCACUCCACAUAUUUGGCUAGUCUGAUAAAGCCAACUUUUACCAGUCUUUCAAUCUCUUCUUUGAUCUUUUCUUCUAUCUUCUUCGACAUCCUUCGUGGUGCUUGCUUAACAGGUUUAUAUCCCUCCUUGAUGGGCAUUCUAUGUUCCACCAAGGUUGGAUCUAACCCUGGCAUCUCAGUAUAAUGCCAAGCAAAACAGUCUUUGAAUUCUUGCAAAAGGCAAAUAAUCCUUGCCCGAUAAUCAACCCUCAAUAAACCACUGAUCUGUAUUGGUCUUGGAUCAUCCUCUGUUCCUAGAUCAAUAAUUUCCAGAGGAUCCUGGACUUCUGGUGGUGGCUUAUCCGGUUCUGCACACAAAAAUUCGACCAGCUCCAGGCUCUCGGGCAAGUCGUCUGGCCCGUCUAGGUCAUAUAUGCACUCGGCCAUUUGAAUGGCCCUAUCCAGUUCUUCUCUGCAAGAUUCCUCCUUGCGUUCAUGCUGGCUGGUUGAAGCUCCCUCCUGCCAUUCUUGCUCUUCCUUAUCCAAGAGCUCCCUUUCUUGCCUUCUUCCCUUCCCAUACACCAACAGUCUUUUAAUCAGGGAUCUGACUGCCAUUACCUGAUUUUUCUUCUUUUGUUCAGUCAUUGAUGGUGUAGGGGAUUUGGGAUGAUACAAGGUCUAUCCCACUCCUCUUUAGUAAGGAGCAUUCCUUGUUCCAAAAGCUUUUGGGCCGUCACCUUGGUAGGGCGGCCGUUCUUAUCAGCUCCUGAACAUUUCAAGAUUCCUACGUUGGGGUUGUAGAAACUUUCUUCCGCAACAUUGGCUGUGGGGAGGAAUGGCCGUGAUUCGGCCUCUACUAUCUCCCAAAAGCCUGGUCCUUCUGUGCCCGCCUCAUGAUAAACAACUACUUGUUGAUGAAGAGUGGAGGGUAUGGCCAAACUUUGGUGGAUCCAAUCUCUUCCGAGUAAGGCCCCAUAAGUGGAGGUGCAGUCCCCCACAAAGAAUGCCAGCAUUAUCUGUUUAGAUCCCAAAUCCACUUCUAAAGGCAAUAUCCCAUGAGUCUUGGUGAUAGCGCCUGAGAAGCUAGAGACCGUGAGGUCUGUGGGAAUAAGAUCCUCCGUGCCUCUUCCCAUUUUCCUCAUCUGCUUGGCUGGUAACACAUUAACAGCUGCUCCUCCAUCAAUUAGAAUUCUUUUGAAGGGCACACCUUUCAAGUAAGCUGUAACAUAUAUGGGCUUCAGAUGGUUGGCCAGCGAGAUGUUCGGGCGGUUAAACACCAUCUCGUCUGUAUAAAUCCUUAGAGGACCACUUUUGGAUGUUUUUGAAGAUUCGGCCUUGCCAGAUUCUUCUUCUUCAACUACCUCCACAUUGACAUGUGCCAUCAUUGGCUCAGUUGUCAAGUAAUCACCCUCCAUAGUAGCGGGUUGAUCAGGUCUGACACCAAACGUGGCGGAUAAUACAUAUGCCAUGUUGACAUGGAAAUUAUUAGGCUCGAGCAAAUCUUCCUUCUUGCUCCCAAUCUGGUCCAUGAAUUCAUCCAACCAGGCCAUCGCAUCGGCUGGAAGUAGUGGUUCUGGUGCCCCCCUGUUGCUGUUGAUUCAUGCCCGCAUACAGUGUUUGUUUUGGAACUUCACCAAAAGGAUCCACCAAUGGCAAAGAAGGUGGUCUCCUAUCAGAUGAAACAGUUCCAACGCAAAUAGGCUCUAGCUUCCACCCAGGGGUUGGCACCAUGAUCAGAUCUUCUUGAGCUCUCCUCAAGAUCCUAUACUUCCCAGGGUGUUGGUUCUGUGGCACGUGAUUCCCCUCGCCUUCUGUCUUACUAUUGGCCUUUUCUACCUCUUUCUUACUUCUCCAGCGGAGCUGACUCCUUCCCCUAGAUGCUGUUUUCUCCAACUUUUGAUUUUUUGAGGCUUCGGAUGUUGCGGGGGUCUUCAGGGAAUUCAUGUAGGCUUUAUGCUGCCUUUGAACCCUCCUGACCAUGGAGGCUCCCAUUGGUUUGGUAGGCUGUCUGUUCUUUCCGACUAUGUACCAUUUUCGCCCUAGGUGGGCAGGAUUUCCUUUUCUGACAGGAUUGGUUAUCCCAUCAAUCCUCUUGAUUUCCCUCCCCAUCUGGCCAUAUUGAGGAUGAUCUGCACCCCUCCGUAUUUUGGCCUCCAUAUCUUCUGCCUCUUUAGAAGCUUCAUGGUUUCGAAAUACUUCUGACAAAGCUUUGGGUUGGGAAUCACCUCCUAGUUGUUGAAAAACGCUUCGGGAAGUGUCCUUUUUUGUUGUCUGCUUGAUCUUUUCGCGGGCUUCUCUCCUUACGUCUUCUUCCUUCCUCCUGAUCAGUUCAUGAUCAAUGAGGAUUCCAGCUGGGGGAAUUUCGAGCUCACACUCGCAUUGGCACUUAUUACACAUAACCAUCCCCUUGAUUAUUGCUACUUUUGGAUAUUCGGGCGAUUUGAUCAUCCCUCAUGUAGGUUUUUUAGCCAGUCUUUCUUCCUCUGCUUCCCUUGUGAUCUUUUCUUUUCCUUUCUCCGCCCAUGCCAUAUUGAUCAUAUUUAUAGGGGCCUCCGAGAAGGGAACUGCAGGUUUGGCCAUCACCAUAUCUUCUGGCUGGCUAGCUUUAAGUCUUUUUCCUUUGGGAGGAACCAAGUCUGUAUCGUUUCUGGAGCCUGUGAAGGUUUUCUCCAAUCUUUGCAACAUUUGCAACAAUGUGGUUUGCAAAUCUUCUGACAUUUUUGUCAUAUAUCUUCUGAUCAAAAAGGGGAAUCCCACCGGGCGUGCCAAAACUAUGUUCGCGUCAGGAAUUUUCGUCGGGGAUGUUUCCUGGCCAACGAGCACACAGUUCCCCGGGAGGUUGGCGCCGGUUGAGGGCUGCUGUCGGGCUUCUGCUUCACUGUCGGGCUUUGUCGGGCAAGCUUCGUCGGGCAAGUCUUAUCGGGCAAGAUUUGUCGGGCAAGGCUCACCGGGCAAGGCUGAAAGAGAAGGACAAAAUUAACUUUGAAAGGUGCCUUUGUGGGGCCUUAGGUGUAGGCCUUGAGGCUCACAAUCAAGAUUAACUUUUAGGUGCUCAGGCAUGCCACUGCCAUCUUCAGCAUGGCAGAUGUAAAAUGGAUGUCGAGUUUUAGUUAUAUAUAUGUAUAUACUCGAGAAACCGUGUUAGUUAUAACAGGUGCCUUUGUGGGGCCUUAGGUAUAGGCCUUGAGGCUUCUUAUCAAACUAAACCAGUGCUCGAACACAUCAUAUUUGUUCUUGUGAGUGCAAGAGUCUUAUAACUAUUAUACUUCUGAUUAACCGAGUCCGAGAGGUAGAAUGAACCCAAAUAGGUGCCUUCGUAGGGCCUUAGGUGUAGGCCUUGAGGCUUCCCAUUAGAAUUCGUUCUUAGUCAAACGUUCUAGAUCGCAGAACGGAAUGAAUCCAAAUAGGUGCCUUCGUGGGGCCUUAGGUGUAGGCCUUGAGGCUUCCCAUCAGAAUCCAUUCCAUGCUUAAGCGUUCUAUGAUAAUCAUAAUAUAAUAGAAAUAAAACUAAGAGGUAUGUCGAUCACUUGCGCCCCAAGUAACUUUGGACUUCUCGUUUAUCAAGGACUGUCGUGGAUGGGUUAAGUCCACAUAAGGUUCUUUUUUUAUGCCUUGAGGCCAAGGACUUUUAACUGAUCAGAUUUGCAUGCCCGAGGGCUUAGGACUUGGAUCUGGUUUGAACACUGAAGAUAUAUUCAAAUCGGAUCCAAGUACUGAGAAAGCCUUUUAAUAGUCAUCUUGAAAUAACUUGCAUAUAAUUGGAAGUAUACAACAUAUUGCUAGGCUAAUGAAUGAAAAGACAAAAACAAAGAAGGUCGGGCAAGGUUUAACCUUAUCAGGUAAGGCUGAUCGUUUUGCAGGUUCCAAUCUUUGUAGUUUUGUCAAGGGUCUGAAAGCUUAGAGAGAGAGAGAGAGAGAUAGAGAGAUUACAAAAGAUGAAUCGAUACUACAGCAAGGUUGAACAGGGUAGCAGAGCUAUUAUAAAGGUUUGAAGGAAGGUUUAUCCCACGAGGGAUGAAGGCUUGUCCCGAGAGGGAUGAAGGCUUGGGCUGACUACAACUUCGUUUUGAAGGCAAAUCUGGCUUUGAGCAUAGUUUGUGCUUGCAUUUGUUUGUUUGAUUGAGUGUCCUUAUUCCUGGUUUCUCUUUCUUCUUAUAUAGACAACUCGGCUUGGCCUCCUGUAGCAGCAGCCUUGCCCGAAUGCGGUUUGAGGGUGAUAACUCAUCAGCUAUUUUACAUGUAAUGCCACCAUAAAGUACUUUAUAGGCUGUGUAGCUGGUCAGUCUAUACCACUUGGCCUUUGGGUAGGUGAGCAAGUGGUCUUCAUGAGCUGCACCAAGUCAAAAAAUGCCUUUUCUGCUUUUCUGGGUUUCGGCCGGGCCUUGGUCAACUAUUCCUUCAGGCCUCCUUUUGGGCUAGCUGCUUUCUUGAGCCCAAAGUCAAGUUUUGAUCCAAACACGUACACUAGUUGGGUUUCCAUUUCCCAAUACUUUACCCCUCCAGAUUUUUUAUUUUUUCUUCAACCCGCAACCAAUUGGAAGUUUUUCUUGAUCUAAUAAGAACUUCUUGUGCCUUGAAAUUCAAGAAAAUGCAAAAAGACUAAUCUAUUUCUCUUAUUGAAUGAACAACAAAACAUUCAACCCUACCAUGUACAGCAAUUCAACUUAACUUAUCUGCAAAAUCUAGUUCUGGGAUGUGACCAAUUUGCUCAAUUACUAUAACAAUGUGUUUCUGAUCUGGUUAUGAGCCAGCAUAGAUGUUCCAUGUCAUGCUGAGUUGUUAGGACUUGGUAUUACCGCUGUGCUGUAUUUAGGCUUGAUUCUUGCAUACUUGAUCAACGUAUAAUUGUACGUAGUCACCAUGAUUCUUGCAUACUUAUUAUACACAUACAACUCUGUAUUGACAAAGUUAUUAGUUGCAAAGUUAAUGAAAGAAUGAUUCACAGUGUGCUUGUAACAAAUACACAUUUACCGUUUGUGUAAUUCCUCAAGUUUUAUUCUUUCUAAAGAACAUUGGACAUUUUCCUUCGGUUUUAAAGUAAGAAAACCAGUUCCUUCUUCCUAUUUAAUUCCCUGACCAAAAGUAAGCAUUUUCUGUGAUAAAUUAGCGUUUUACCUGUUUGGUCUCAUUUCUAUGGUUGCUUUUCCUUUUAGUCACAGUAUAGAUGCGUAAUAGAUAUCUGUUAAUUUGCAACUAAUCUUUGAAACCCUAUUUUCCGAUGAAGCACAGAAUUCUAAAAGCCCUAAAAGCCCAAGAUUUGCAAGGAACACUCCCAGUAGAGCUGGUAAAUCUCACCUAUCUUCAAGAAAUGUAAGCACAUUUUUACCCCUCCAAGUUUACAUUAUUUAAAAGAAAAUAACUAUGUGUCGUGUAAAUGGUUUAUUCUAAUGUCAUAUAUAGCUUACCUUUAUUUUUGUUGUCAAUGAGACAAUAACUGGUUUCUUUCUUUCUCCUUCAGUGACCUCACCCGCAACUACCUGAGCGGUACCAUCCCUCCAGAAUGGAGCUCUCUUCCACUUCUGAACAUGUACUGUCUUCUCUCAACACUACCUGGCAUUUUUGUGUUUGAUGUUCAUGUCAUGUUCUUAUUGCUUUAUUUGGUCACUCCAAUGUUCUUCAGCCAUUUCUUUCUUAAACUAUGAAUCUACUACAUUGGGUUUUGUUCAUGAUGAUGGGCUUCCGUGGUCAUGAGGUGUUUGAAUCAUAAAUAUUGAAUUGAACACAUGGGGGUGUAUUGACGAACAUGUUAAUGUUAUUGAUCCUCUUGCUUGAAAAAAGUGAUCUUAAGACUAUAGUUUUUUAUGCAGAUCCCUUCUUGGAAAUCUUUUGAACGGUUCUAUCCCCAAAGAGCUCGGAAACAUCACCACCCUGAAGAGUUUGUGAGUGUUGAUUGCGCAUUGGUUUCUUGCUUACCCCAUUUGAUUCCAUGGAGAUCCUUAAUGAUGUUUUUUUAAUCAAUGGAAUUGAAUUUGUUUGUAUAGGGACAUCAGUUUCAAUAACUUCUCUGGACCUCUCCCUCAGGAGCUUGGAUCUUGGGUCAACAUAGAAAGAUUGUAAGAGUCCUUUUCAAAUUUUACCGUGUUAAAAAGUAUUUGGAUUUGGAGUUUUCUUUCUUGUAGACAAAUUCUGGAUGUUUUCACUAGUAAAUCAUCUACUUCUUUAUCAUUGAUAUAAUGGUUAUAUCUAUUUCGUAUUUAGGCUGCUUUCCUCAAACAAUUUUACUGGGGAGUUGCCAGAAACAUUUGCAAAUCUUACCAAAAUAAAGGACUUGUAAGUUUCUGUGGUUCUUUCUUCUUAAAGGUUUCCCGAGCACUUAUACAUUUUUUUUACUGCUUUCUGAUACUAAUUCGUAAUAUUUUCCCUUUUGUCCAAUCAUUAUGCAGUCGGGUUAGUGACAGUCACUUUUUCGGGCAGAUACCUGAUUUUAUUGAGAACUGGACAAAUCUUGAAAAACUGUGAGUGUUUUUCUUUUGUGUGUCAUCUUUCUGCUAUAUGAUUCUGAAUAUUAUCUCUAAUUCAUAUGUUAUGACUCGUUGAAACAGAGUGAUUCAAGCUAGCGGUUUGACAGGGCCAAUUCCUUCUGGCAUUUCUCUUUUGACAAACUUGACUGACUUGUUAGUAUAUCUCGUCUCUAUUUAUAAAUACAAAACGAUUAGCGAAAUGUGUAGUUUAUGUUCAUGGCCCAAUUUUAACGUGCAGGAGAAUCACUGACUUGAGUGGACCUGAAUCACCCAUUCCUUCGCUGGAUAAGAUGAAAAACAUGAAGACACUGUGAGUUAAUGGUUCCAUGACACACAAUUUCUGUCUGUACCAGAAAUCUUCUGUAAACUCAAAGCUUUGGUGUCUGUUGCAGGAUAUUGAGGAAUUGCAACCUUAUUGGAAAGCUACCUCCAUAUCUUGCGCAUAUGACCGAAUUGAAAACUUUGUAAGUACAAAUGUAUUCGUCCCUAUUUUUUUCCGUCUUCAAAUAAAAAAUUUCUUCUAGAUGUGAUUAUACUCUAGGAUUAUUGAAGUGACUUAGACGCUGUUGGGCGGACUUUAUGUUUCUGUAUUUAUUAAGAGAACAUCUCUUGCAGAUGUCAUUUCCCUUUCUGCAGAGAGCACAUCUAAACUGCAUUUGCUAUUUGUUUGUGUAGAGACCUCAGCUUUAACAAGCUGACCGGAGUAAUUCCAAGCAGCUUGGCUAGUCUACCAAAAGUGCAAUAUAUGUAAGCAAUUGGAAUGACCAAUCUAGUCUUCCUUACAUGAAAUUCAAGCAGACAUUCUUCAAUGGUUUUGAUACACCCCAGCCUGACAAGCUGGAAGGAUUUCCAAUCAGGAUUACUAUAAUUAUGAGUCACGGGUUAUACUGCAAUAGAAUUUAGUUUAUUCAUGCAAUUAACUGACACAAGGUGAUCACCCUUAGAUGUGUCUUUCUGAUGGAAGUACUGAUCUAAUGCACUCAGAGUUGGCAAACUCAAAUUUUCAAACCUUUAUAAAGAAAUUCCUAAGAAUAAACACUAUAUUCUUUACUGAGUUUUUCUGUAUUCUUUCUUUUUAGAUUCUUAACUGGAAACUUGCUGACUGGACCUGUACCUAAUUGGCCGAAAUACAAAGUGUAAGCUUCUAUUCCAAAUGCUACUCUUUAGUUACUCAGGAAAUUUAUGCUGUUUUUUUUACUAAGAUAGAUAUAAAACUAUUACAUCAAAAACUUCAUUCGAACCAUGUUAAUGCCUACCUCUUUCUCCUCACCCUUGUUCCCUUUUGUACUGACAAACCACAUCUGGAAAAGAAUUUGUUUAUGCUUCUUUGAUUCUGGUUUAUGAAACCUCAAUGAAUAUGAGGACUGCAGAAGAUGAUUAAUACUGAAAAAGGAGGAUGAAGAAAAUCACACAGAGAAUGUAUGUCCUCGCUGCUCUGCAGAAUGCAGCAGUGGAGAAUCCUUCUUCAUUCAAUAUCUCUCUCUCUCUCUCUAACAUACAAGUCGUGCAAAGAGAAUUUUACCGUUAGCAAAGCACAGCUGGAUCCUUAGACAUCACAAAGUGAUCUCAGCCACACAUCUAACUAUUUUUGCAUUAUUUGCCUUACAUCUUUGAACCUCACACUUGGCAAUAUUACAACUCAAGUGAAUACACAAUUAAGCUCAUAACUUAUUUCACUAAUUCUAAUCAGCUAGAGACUUACAAUUCAACAGAAUUUGCAUCAUAUCUCUUUUUGUGCAGUGAUCUUUCAUAUAACAACCUCACCAUAGAGGAUGCAAGUUGUCCAGCCCUAAGCAACACGUAAGAAUGUCUCCAUUAGCUUGAAGUUAAUCUGUUUGUGUUAUGUGGAGCAAAGCUUAGAUUAACUUUUCAUUUGUGUUAAUUUCUGCAGUAACUUGUUUGCAAGCUCGUCAGAAGGCAAUAGUUCGUAAGUUCAAAUUAACCGUCUCAAAGCAUGCACCUAUAAAUUUACUUUGGUUUCCAACGGUGUAUUCUGUACUAUUUUUUUUUCCCUACUUCUUCCAUUUAUGAUUGCUGACAUUUUCUAUACCCUGAAUUACUCUAUCAGGAGAACUGUUUCAUGUUUCAAAACUUCAGAAUGUCCAAAAUGUAAGCCGGGUUUCUACACAAAUAAUUACCUUUAUUUUUUCGGUUCAUUCUUUUUUAGUUUAGCCGACCCCACUUAGUGGGAAAAGGCUUUGUUGUUGUUGUUGUUGUUGUUGUAUUCUUUUUUAGUUUUCCUCCUCAAUGCCUACUAAUCUCCAUUUUCUUUUUUCAUAGAUUUGUACUACUCGCUCCAUAUAAAUUGUGGUGGGACACAAUUUACUGUCCCUGGAAAGAAAGAUACACUAUAUGAAGCUGACACAUUUCUAGAUGGACCUUCAUCAUUGUACCAGAGCACAACAAAUUGGGCAGUAAGCAGCACCGGUUCCUUCAUUGAUGAUGACCGCCCUAAGGACACCUUUAUAUGGCGUAAUGAAACUACACUCUCUAUGGCCAAUCCUCUACUGUACAUGAACGCACGCCUUUCUCCCAUCUCUCUAACUUAUUUUGGGUUUUGUCUGGGAAAUGGAGACUACACUGUAAAGCUCCAUUUUGCAGAGAUAAUGUUUAGAAAUGGCAAAACAUAUAAAAGCUUGGGAAGGCGCAUAUUCAAUAUUUACAUUCAGGUAAGUAUCGCAUCCACUUCCAUGUAUACCAGUGAAUUAUUCUAAUUUUCAGCUAGCAUUGUUUAUAUUUUGGUCGAUUUGAAUGUUAACUUUCACAUUUAUGUUCAUGAAAUGUUAAGCAACUAAAUUAGUAUAUAUACAUAAAUAUAUUGAAGGGAAUCCUAGUGAAGAAGGACUUCAAUAUCAUGGAUGAAGCUCGUGUGUUUGGUGAUGUAGUCAUAAUGAACUUUACUGCUCCUGUAACUAAUAUACAUUGGAGAUUCGUUUAUAUUGGGCCGGGAAAGGGACGACAGGCAUCCCUGUUAGAGGAGUCUAUGGUCCUCUUAUUUCAGCUAUUUCAGUAGACCCAAGUAAGUUUUCAAUGAUCUGACCUUUGUCUUAUUACUAUGCGUCGACCAUAUGCAUUGAUAUAUCUACUAAAUUAAGAGAUCCGACUUCAGCUCUGCAAGGUUCUUCAAUAUUUCCUUUCCCUUGUAUUUUCACAAAAAUGCUUCUGUGCUUUUCUCCUGUUUUACAUAGUUUGAGCCAAGACUUGAAAUACUCUUUUAAAUUUUCUUAUCACAUAAUAUGCUGAAUUUUCUAGGCGACGGUAUGUGCUUUUAAAUACAACAAAAUUCAACUUGAGGAUUGUUUGUUGAGGAAAAACUUAAGAGUACAGAAUUCUAACACAAGUGUUGGAGACACAAAACAAGUGAACAAAUUACUUGUAUUACACUCACAAAAUAUUGCAACACACAAACUCUCAAAGACACUCUUUAGAGGCAAUGACCUCACUCAUUUUCUAAAGACAAACUCUAGAUCACUCAUACUCCUCACAAGACUACUCUGACUUCUCACUCUCACUUGGUUGCCCGCUUCUUCUUGGUUGGUUGGUUUAUUUCACAACAUCACACACCUAUUUAUAGGCAUGUAUGCCGACUUCACUAGCACUUUCUAGUGCAUGUUCAUGCACACACUGCACCGACAUAUGACUUUUCAUAAUAGCCACAUAUUGUAUAAGCUGCUAGAACUUUCUAGCACAUGAUUAUAUACACACACCCACUGACUUAAUAGGAUAAUGCUAGAAUUAUCUAGCAUAUUGAUACGCCUGCAUGAUGCACCGUCUUUAGUGCUAGAAUUUUCUGGAUUUGUGUAGAAUGGGCUGGGGUUGGACUGUUUUAACAUUUUUAACUAUUUACAUGAAAAUAAUCCAGUUCACUUAAGGGAAACAUAUAAUAUUUACAACCAUCCGAAGAAAGUUUGUUCGAUGGAUUACUUCAUAUACUAUCUACUUAUUUAAGGAUGCCCCAAGGACCGGGUUCAAUCUUCUGUUUCUGUGUGCAUUAGAUAGCUGGUUGAAUAAUCCACUCUCAUAUCAAUUACAUUUACAUUUACUCUAAUUUAAGCUAUAUUCUUUCUUCCGACAGACUUUGAUCCCCCGCCAAAACCUGGUGGAAGUGGCGUGCCUACAGGUGGUGUGGUUGGAAUUGUGGUCGGAGGAGUCUUCAUUAUACUACUGAUAUUUGGUAUUCUUUGUAAGAGAGGUCUCCCAGGACAACAAAAGACAUUGGAGGAUGGUAAUAAUUUGCAGUUUAUUCUGUUAUACUGGUUUUUCUUUUUGUUUCUCCAUUACUUUUUCUUAUUGAACUUUUUUCGUAACUAAGAACAAUAUUUAUGCUAUUUUGCAUGGUUCUCAUGCAUAUUGACGUGCAUACACAAAGACAGUAAUUAUUUAGAUAUUGAGCUUUUUGGCCCUUUGAUGUUGCUAUAAUAUAUUUAUCGUCCAAACUCAUGAUGCGGAUUGCAGAGUGUCUGCCUAUAGAUCCAAUUACUAGUUAAAUUCUAGAAGCACAAAAUAUUAAGAACUAAGAAUACUAUCGUUCUGAAAGUUUUCUUCGACACAAUUUCUUAUGAGUUUUACUUGUGAUACAGAUUUGAAGGGUGUGGGCUUGCAAACCGGUAAAUUUACCUUAAAGCAACUCAAAGAUGCCACAAGCAACUUUAACAAAGCCAAUAAGAUUGGUGAAGGUGGUUUUGGUUCAGUUUAUAAGGUAUUCUUCGGAGCUGAUAUUUAUUUAUUUAUUACAUUUUUUUCUAAUUUGAUAUUGUCUGUUCAAAUGAAAGUUAAUUUGCUUUAUAUAGUGAGGCGAAUUUGACUAUCUUUCUCAAAUGCAGGGCGUUCUAGCAGAUAACACCGUAAUAGCUGUUAAGCAGCUUUCUUCCAAAUCAAAGCAAGGGAAUCGUGAAUUUGUUAAUGAGAUUGGCAUGAUUUCUGCUCUGCAACACCCUCAUCUUGUCAAGCUCCACGGAUGUUGUGUUGAAGGAAAUCAACUAUUGCUUGUCUAUGAGUACCUGGAAAAUAAUAGCGUCGCUCAUGCUUUGUUUAGUAAAUAUCAAUCUCGCUUGCCAAAAGUUCAUUUCAUUCAUACAAUGGGCAUAAAAGAUCUUAUGCACUAAAAAUGUCCUUUACAACUAACUUUGUUUAAUUUGGCAAAUUGAAGGGGCAAAAGAAAGUCAUUUGCAGUUGGAUUGGCCAACAAGGCACAAGAUUUGUAUUGGUACAGCAAGAGGUUUGGCUUAUCUUCAUGAAGAAUCAAGAUUGAAGGUCGUUCAUAGAGACAUCAAGGCUACUAAUGUUCUGCUUGAUAAAAAUCUUAAACCGAAAAUAUCUGACUUUGGAUUGGCCAAGCUUAAUGAAGAGGAUAAUACACACAUUAGCACCCGUAUUGCUGGAACUUAGUCAGUCCCUACACUUUUAUUUAUCUUCUUAUUCUCUUGUUUUGAUCUUCUUCAACCCUUAAAAAAGAAGAUAGAGCAACGGAAAGUCUCUAACUUACAUAAUUUCCAACCUAACCAAAUCCUUGUUCAAGAAAUUUCAAGGGCAGAUUUGUUCUUUCAAUAUAGUUGGGUUAAUGAUUUGAUUUCAUGAUAUUGCAGUGGAUACAUGGCGCCCGAAUAUGCAAUGCGGGGUUAUCUGACUGAUAAAGCAGAUGUCUAUAGUUUUGGUAUUCUUGUAUUGGAAAUUGUUAGCGGGAGAAACAACACAACUUACCGGAAAAAGGAAGAAAGCUUUUAUCUUCUUGAUUGGGUAGCAUGAAUCUACUACUUCCUAAUUUCACUUCAAAUUUUCUUAAUAUGCCUUAUACGUAUGAAAGUACAUUUGAAUCGAUGAAGUUUAAUCCAAAGACAGAAUUCAUAUUGCCUUUGAUGCUUCCAUUUUUUGUAGGCACGACUUCUAAAAGAUCAGGGGGAUUUGAUGGACCUAGUUGAUCCAAGGUUGGGAUCAGACUUUAAUAAAGAGGAGAUGAUUGUUGCAAUCAAUGUGGCUCUCCUUUGUUGCAAUGUUACUUCGACAGCUAGGCCUACCAUGUCUUCGGUUGUGAGCAUGCUUGAAGGAAAGGUUGUUGUUCAUGAGUUGGUCUCGGAUCCAAAUGCCAAGAGUAUUGAGAUUGAUGCAAUGAGGAAACAUUUUCAAUCUAGUUUUGGAAGGGGCACGGGAGAGAAACAUAUAGAAAUGGAGUCAACUGAAGGGCCAUGGACUGCUUCGUCUGCGUCUGCUCACGAUCUGUAUCCCGUCCAUCCUGAUUCAGAUUACUGGAAGAACAGAAGCGAUAUAACUUGAGCUGCACAGUUAUCAGUUUGACUCAACCUUGGCACACUCAAACACAUCAAAUAAUAAAUCAUUUGUAUUUCCUCUAUAACUAUUUGUUGACGUGAGUCAACCAUAUAGUUUAGGAAUGUGAUCAUGUGAUUGAUUCCUUGUAUAAUUCGGAUUCUUAUUUCCUAUUUUAUGGGACCUCUUGAACAACUAUUUAUUUACCUCCUAGAGAGAAGGAUACGUACAAUUACACCUUAACUUUUAUGUCGGUAUCAGAGGAUGCUUCGGCCCGUCUCUUUCCAAAAACCCUUAAAAACCCCCUCAAGGCAUGCAACUUGCAUCAAGAAUUAUUGCUGGUGUUUGUCACGAACCGAGAAAUCCAACGUCUGUGGCUUUGGAAUAAACAAAGCUACAAAGUCAAAAAAACAUAUCAAAAUAAACCUACAAAUCAGUCCCUGCAAUGACUGAAGACAGAAAAACAAAAACCGGUGAGAUAAUUCCCAUGCAAACUAUGUCUAUUCAAAGUGAGUCUACCAAAAUCAGCGGCCUUCCAUUCAGAUUUAGAUUGAGCGACUCGAAUUUCAAAGUUUAGUCGAAGAUGAUGGAGGUCCAUGCCUCUGGCCUUGGCAAACUGGGGUAUUUGACAGGAAAAACCCCUGUUGUUGCUGAAGACUCGCCUGGAUAUACAAAGUGGGUCAAUGAUCACUGCUAUAGUACGAGGAUGGUUGUUGAAAACCAUGAAGCCCCACCUAUCGAGUCUCUUUAUUGACUUGCCGACAGCCAAAGAUGUGUGGGAAAGUGUAACCCAGAUGUUUUACGACAAUUCAGACGAGUUCCAAUAUUGUGAACUCAGGUGUAGGGCUACGCGAACUAAACAAGACGGUCGUCCAGUAAAUUUGUACUUCACUGAACUCAAAGGAGUAUCGCAAGAUCUUGAUAAAAGGCGCCCUAUCAAGAUGAUAUGCAAAGCAGACCUGCAAAGCCGUAGGGAGGAGCUUUCAAAGGACAGGGUUUACGACUUUGUUGCGGGGUUAGAUCAUGGUUUUGAUCAAGUCAGGAGUGAAAUCCUAAGGAUGAAACCUAUCCCUGGGAUUGAAGAAUGUUUUUAUUUGGUUAGACGUGAAGGCCAGAGACAAACCCCUAUGCUUGAAACAAAAUCUAAAACCACAAGCUCUUCUAUGGUGAUGAUCACCAAGUCCCCAUCAUCAUCAUCCUUUCGUUUAACAUCCGCGGGAACAUCUAGCCCAAAUCGCACCCAAGAAGAUAUUUGACACGCCCCGAUCCCGAUAUUCCUCGAAUACCAAGAUAGGCACGUGCUGGCCGACACCCAAGGGUGACGAAAGCCAUUAAUUGAAUGCAAAUGCUGAGAAUAAGGAAUAGAUAAGGUUUAUAAAUAUAAAAGAAUAAAGAAUAUGCAUUUAAGGAACGUGUUCAGAGCACACAUCUAAUCGAGAAUAUUAGAAGAAUUAACAUAAACAAUUUGAAUGAACACAGAACGGGGUCCUACACCUAGAGGACUCGAAGAUACCGAUGCGGAAGUGUCUGGAUGCCGGGAUUGUACGCCUCGAUUCUAAGUCCUGAAGGGGGCGCAAAACAAACAUGAGUGGACCAAGUUGAUAUAUAUAUAAUAAAACAGUUAUCAACGUACUAACCCCCAGGUUUAUGAAAACAUAUAUAUAAUGAUAAACAUAGGUUUUCCGAAUUCUAGCAUGAUGUGCAGUAUCUCAAAUCAUAAUUCAUAUAUAAUAAUCACUAGUGAAUUGUCCGAUAACCCCCAGGCCCCAUGCCGGCUCCCCGUCUCUGAGCAGACAGUCAGAGGAAAAUACACUUCAGGCCCUAUGCCGGCUCCCCGUCCCUAUGCUAAAUAGCCAGAGGAAACACACUCCAAGCCCUAUGCCAACACCAAACCGUCGCCCGGGACGGACCGGAAUCUAUCCCUACGUCCCAUAGCAGAAAGGACCACUAGGUAAGUACAAAACCAUUGAACAUAUAUAUAUAUUAAAAAACAACUUCAUAGUAUAAAGUCAUCCAUCAUCUAUACUAUAAAGAGGUGUUCGAAACAUGUUCUACAUAUCAUAUCGUCAUCCAUCGGAUAUUCUAUAAGAACAUGGGUUAUAGGAAAAAUAGUAAUAAUUCAAACUAGCCUUAGUAAGCAUGUUAUCUCAAAACGUUUCAUAAAACGUAAUCAUUAAAUCAUGUCUUUCAUGUAUGCAUUUCUACUAUUAAAACAUGCUUUUGAAGGGGUCCACUCACAGUACUUAGCCGCCGAAGAGUCACGCAAACUAACGAACAAGAAAACGUCACCAAUAAUUGCCCCUAAGCACAUAAAGGGUCCAAUUAAUAAAACUCUAUUUUAACAAUUGAAUUGGGAAAACGGACUUCAAAAACGGGUCCAGGACGUCGAAAUUAGCCUAGGAGAGAUCCUGGACGAAAGCCAGAAUGGGCUUGGGGUUUGGGUUUUAAUUAAGCUAAAGGGACUUGGGAAAAGGGCUGAAAGCCCACUUUACAAUUGGCCCUAAGGCCUUACUUCCUAAAACAGAAAAUAAAUAAAAACCUUAAAAAGGUUUCUUGGGUUUGACUAAUGGGCUACGGGCCCUAAAUUCCUAAUGGCCCGAAGGCCUUUAAGGGUCCUAAAACAAUUACAAUUAAAUAAAAUAAUUAAAAGUAAAAUAGGCUAGGGUUUUGGGCUUGGCUCCCCAAACCACACGGGCCUAAGGCCCGCUUAGCAUGGAACCGGCCUGGGAGGCCUGUCUCGCCGGAGCACCACCACCGGAGCUUCACAGCUCCGGCCGACUUCCACACACAACCCUAGACUUCGAUCUAGGUACCAAAACGAAGAGCAAGACGAGGGGAGUAUUUCUAUACCUUCCUUUCGUCGUGGAAUGGACGGAGAUGGCCGGAAAAACCCCCGAGGUCGCCGGAGUUGGGUGUGCUUACACCCGGCUUCGAUUUCGUCCUAUAACCUCCAAAAAUCACGAAUUAACUCCAAUUAAACCUCAAUCUCGCAAGAAUCAAGGACGAAAAGAGAGAAUUAGGGGCUUACCUAACCGGAGAUUGAAAAAUCUCGCCGGAGCUCCUUUUCCGGUUCUCUGGGGUCGCGGGAACGAGAGGGAGAGAGAGAGAGAGCAGGACGCGGUGAUGAAGGGUGAUGGGCUUCCUCGCGCGGGGAGAUGGGUGCGUGCAUGUGUGCGCGGUGCAGAGAAGAGGGAGAGAAGUGAGAGAUGAGAGAGAGCCGAGAGGGAGAGACAGGAAGAAAGAAAAGAAAAACAGAAAAGAAGAAGGAGAAAUUGUUUGGGGUGCUGCCAAGUGGCAGAUUUAGAAAGAAAGGGAUCCAUUUUCAGAUUGGGUAGAUAAAAUGGGACAAAAUUGAUAUAAUUAAAAUGUUUUGGGGUAAUUACAUACAUAUAUUUUUAUAAUUAGAGGGCGGGUGUUACAAUAUUGACAAAGAUAAGCUUCACUGCAACCACUGCAAUGGAACAAGGCACACCGAAGAAACUUGUUUUGAAAUACACACAUACCCAGAAUGGUACUGGGAAAAAAUGAAGCAAUUGAAGGCCAAAAGGAGGAAGUCGGGCCAGGCUGAACUGGUCGAGAGACAGGACCUGGAUCCAACGGGAUUAAAGGCCGAAAUGAAGCAAUUAAUGAGCAAAUGAAUAUCUAAACUGGCCUUAACAAUUUUCAGCAAUAAAAAACAUGUCCCUUUAUCGAAGUUGCAUAAAUUACAGAACCUUGGGAUUAAGGAGGAAUAAAAAGCCCAAAUUCCAAUCAAGAAAAAAAAAAUUGUAUGUAAAUUUAAGCUUUACCUGUAGAUUGGCAGCAGCAAAAGCAUACUGGAUCCAACGGGAGCGAGAACUGGAUGCCCAGCCCUUGACACGUUAUCGAGUGAGUUUAGGGAUCUGGGUUUUGUGUUUGCCGUUGAAUUUUGGAAUGAUCUGGAGAAAUUUGGGUUUUAGGGUUCUAAGGAUUUGAGUGAACCGAAACUGAUUUGGAUGAGCAACUUUUGGUUUCGAUUCGCGGUGGAGCAAGGAUGAAGAGGUGGAGGAGGUAGGAACGAAAGGGUGAGAAAAUUUGGAUAGGCGGGAUUCGGUUUCGUUUCGAAUCAGGACAAGACCACCGAGAAACCUCAUUAGCACUCCACGUGUGCAAAAGGGUUUUUCGUCUUUUUACUGUACCAACUUGAAAUACACAAAGGCAAAUUGAAGAUGGGUAUUUUCGUCUUUACACCGUCGCUUAUGAACAAUGUUUUUUCCAUGGCGCUUUAGUAUAUAUAACUAGCAAAGAAUGUUCAAGAGCAAUGCUGCGGGAUUGAAAAUCAUACAAAAACUUUGUAUCUAGUACUAUUUAUAUACAAAGGAUAAUACUUUAUGUGUAUUACAUACUAUUUACAUACAAAAGAUUUGAUAGUCCUAUUAAAAAUCACACAAAAUCUACAAUCUGACUGAGUUACAUACUAUUUCCAUACAAAAUCUACAAUCUGAUUGAAAUACAUACACUUAAUAUGUGCGUACCCCUCUUGACCUUGAACUCCCCCUACAUAGUUUACAAAAUUUACAGAUUAAAUUAAAUAUAAAAUCCAACUUAUUAAUUAAUUAUCAAAAUCGGAAAAAAAAAAUUAAAAGGGUCAAAAGAGAGAAUAGGAGAGGAGUCAAAUACUAAAAAAUAAAAAGAAAAAAACGAAAAUAAAAUCAAUAAUAAGAUUACAUAAGCACAUUCAAUUUGAUGAUUUGGAAAUUAAAGCAAAGGCCUUUGACCUUCUACGUAGGCCUGGUGUAGACAUUGAAAUUUCGGUGGCAUAAAUGUUAGCCAUUGCAGUAAGAUUACAUUUGUAAACAUUGAAAUUUUGGUGAAAUAAAUGUUGACCAUUGUAUUAAAAUUACAACCUUCAUUCACUUCACCUACAUCAUACACUAAGUUCACCUACAACAUCCACCAAGUUUCACCUACAAACAUCCACCAAGUUUCACCUACAACAUCCACCAAAAUUCACCUACAACAUCCACCAAAACAAAUGGAUGGUGGUGAUUCGUUCCCAAAGCCUAUAAAUAGGCUCAUCCAUCAAAGAAUCAAUAAACCAAUUCACAAAUACAUUUCUCUACUCCCAAAAUGGAAGAGAAUACUCCCCACACAUCCAAAAUCCUUGAAGCUUUGAAACUCUAAAGCUUUCAAGCAUCCAACCUCCCAAAUUCAAGCAAAUCCCGAAGGAUCAAGAAAGCCCUCUUCGUUCUUCGUCAAAUCCUCCUUCAAGAUCAAGCCCUAACGGCCCUUGAAGAAAUUUCUCCUUCAAGAUCAAGCCCCAACGGCCCUUGAAGAACUUCCACCAAUUCAAGAUCAAGUCUCGACGGCCCUUGAAGAAAGUGUUCAACAAAUCCACACAACUGUUCAUCCUAAGAUCAAGCCCCGACGCCCCUUUUUGGAUCAACAACAUCACCAAAUCCACAUAAAAUGUUCAUCCUAAGAUCAAGCCCCAACGGCCAUUUGGAUCAACAACAUCAACAAAUCCACACAACUGUUCAUCCUAAGAUCAAGCCCCAACGGCCCUUUGGAUCAACAACAUCAAUAAAUCCACACAACUGUUCAUCCCAAGAUCAAGCCCCGACGGCCCUUGGAUCAACAAUCAUCCAUCUUCAAGAUCAAGCCCCGACGGCCCUUGGAUCAACCAUCCACCAAUUCAAAAUCAAGCCCCGACGGCCCUUGAAGAAAGCACCAUCGUUCAUCAUCCGUUCAUCCAAGAUCAAGCCCCGACGGCCCUUGGAUCAACAACAUCAACAAAUCCACACAUCCAACCGUUCUUCAAGAUCAAGCCCAAAAGCCCUUGAAGAUCCGUUCAUCACCGUUAUUCAAGAUCAAACCUUAACGGCCCUUGAAGAAACACUCAUCCUCAAGAUCAAGCCCCAAUGGCUCUUUGAAGAUCCGCUCAAAUCCACCUUCAAAGAUCAAGCCCACGGCCCCUUGAAGAAACUUCCAACAGUUCAUCCAAGAUCAAGCCUCGACGGCCCUUGGAUCAACGAAACAUCCAUAAAUCAACACCUUACGGAGAUCGAAUCAGAAGAUCAAAAUUGAGAGAGAUUGUAACCCAAAUCAAAAUCACAAAAUAUUAUUUUGUGCACGUUGUUCUUGUCUUUUUCGUUUCAGGAAUUUUCCGUGUUCACAAAUUGGCACGCCCGGUGGGAUAAUCUCUACCUCUCAUCUCUUUCUCCGUUCAAGGAAUCCAAAUCCACCUUCAAAGAUCAAGCCCACGGCCCCUUGAAGAAACUUCCAACAGUUCAUCCAAGAUCAAGCCUCGACGGCCCUUGGAUCAACGAAACAUCCAUAAAUCAACACCUUACGGAGAUCGAAUCAGAGGAUCAAAAUUGAGAGAGAUUGUAACCCAAAUCAAAAUCACAAAAUAUUAUUUUGUGCACGUUGUUCUUGUCUUUUUCGUUUCAGGAAUUUUCCGUGUUCACAAAUUGGCACGCCCGGUGGGAUAAUCUCUACCUCUCAUCUCUUUCUCCGUUCAAGGAAUCCAAACACACCUCAAAGUCAAUAGCAUCAAGCAAGGGACAAGCCGUUCUCGCAAUCACUGAGGGAAUGAUCCUAAGCACUUCUGCCGCAAAUGGACAAUCCAUUAGCGCCACAACCGCUCCUCAACAUGCCACUUCAAAGUUGGUGCCGCUAAAAGAGCAAAUGGAGCAUCAAAGGUGUGAGUCUGUCAUCAACCUGACCUCGCUGGGGGCACCGAAGCAUGCUGCUGAGGCACACAAGAUGACAUCCCAAAACAACCAACGACGUUCUUCGUCAGCAUCUUGGAUGUCUAAAGGAAAGUCACGUCUAGUGGUUGCACAAGUCAUGACCAUCAGCGUUACCUCCAUCGAAGAACAACUGGCUCAAAUGAAUGAAGCAAUCGCAAGGCUAACCCGAACUGUGGAAGAAACAGACUUGCAAAUCGCUGCACUCGUCAGUCGACUGGAGCCACAGGACGGCGAGAACCCUAACCCAGAAGAUGAGUCUACGGUAGAGAGAAUCGAUGUGAAGCUGGAGCCAGACCAAGAAGCGGCACUCAUGGGAUCUCUUUCUAUCCAGCAGUUGCAAGAGAUGAUUGCCAGCACCGUCAAGGCACAGUUCGAAGGGAGCUCAAAUACCUCUAGGUUGUACUAAAAGCCUUAUUCAAAGAAGAUUGAUGCCCUAAAGAUGCCGAGGGGAUAUCAACCACCAAAGUUCAUGCAGUUUGAUGGAAAAGGAAACCCAAAGCAGCACGUUGCACAUUUCGUCGAAACUUGCAACAAUGCGGGGACGGAGGGAGACUACCUUGCCAAGCAGUUUGUGCGCUCGCUAAAAUGAAAAGCCUUUGAAUGGUACACGGACCUAGAGCCUGAGUCCAUCAACAGCUGGGAACAGUUGGAAAGGGAAUUCCUCAACCGCUUCUACAGCACCCGCCGCACUGUGAGCAUGCUAGAGCUAACGAGCACAAAGCAGUGGAAGGACGAGCCAGUCUAUUUACUACUCCAGCAUAUCAUUCAUGGAAGAUAUGGCGGACACUCUUCAAGCCUUCCUGUUAUCCUCGUGUUAUAAAGAACAGUAGCUCAUCGGGUACAGCUACUUCAAUCGUGAGGCAUGAUGCAUCUCCAAGGUCAGAUUCUCAAUUAUUAAGUUGUUUAUAUUGAUAAUUGAUUUUUUGUGUAGCCGGUGGCCGAUAUUCGACUUUAAUUACAUAUCGAUUCAAUGGCAUUCAUAGAACCCGAUCUAAUAUGUGCGGACCGAAUACUUGCCUUACCCCGCCACAAAGCUGCCGCUCUAUUCCCGAACGAUUAUGGAAAGUUGUGUGAGCAUCGCCCAUAAUUGGGUAAGAAAAUGUACACCUGCAAGUCGCAACCGUGCAGAACGUACAUGAUACAGUACGAUUAUACGACAAAGAGAGUGCUUCGAGAACACAAAAGGUUGAGUGUGUGCGAAGGAAAGUGUCCUCCGUGGAUAUACCAUACUCUCAACGAUUUAUCAGAGACUACAUGACCAGUCAACACAUUUCUGUACCUCGUUCAAAUGAUGACAAGACUCUGCGUACUACUAGCAUCUGAACUAACUUGUUAUGUUAUUAUAUGAUUUGAAGUUUUCUUAGCCGUGUCUUAGGCAUGGAAAGAUCGCAUGUUCUUGGUUUCCUGCUCUCAAAUGCUGAGAUACUCAUGAGAAGCUUCCAUACUUUCUCAAGGUGUUUGUGAGAGAAGGUGUUGUUAUGCCGUGGACCUACUUAUUUACCUGGUACUCCAAAUUCAGUUUUCGCGCUACCAGAAUCUUCUGCUGAAAAGGAGUCGUGAUAUCCUGUUCUCUGAACAUAUCACGUUUUCCUAGAGCGUUAUGUGACGAAGCAAACGAGCAUACUUGCAAAUCCAAGAAUGGGGAAUUCCAUUUGGUUAUCAGAAACUAAGAUGUUCCGCCUUAUCAAUCAGACAGAAAGUAAUGGUUCAUCCUCCAAGCUUCAGUGGAGAUUCCCCCGCCCAUACUGUUAACUCUCAAGCCCUGCGACAAUGGACUGUCAGCGGCAUGUGCUUUAAGCCUUUUAAGACAAUACUUUCCCGUAUUCAGAAGUCCGGGCUGUUGAGUUGGGAGUUUACAGAUGAUCUAUUUACAUUUUGAAAGAGUCUAUUGCAUGAAUGCGAUAUUGCAGGUGUUGAGUGAGAGCCAAAAAACGAAGCAAAGCGGAAGGAUCGAAAGCUUUUGGGGAUCUCGCUUGAGUAUAAGACUAGUUCUUGCAAGUUAAGCCGAGAGAGUAUUCACUGAUUGGUGUCCGGUGUACGUGAGAUUGCUAGCCGAACUAACGCAAGGGUAUGGUGUAUCCACUUUGAGUUCAUUGGUAGAUAGGUGUGGUUUGUUUGCUGCAUUGCUUCAACUAUUUUUUUCUUAUGGGUACUUCUCCAAGGAGAGGAUUUCGUGAAGCCUAAUGCUUCUGCGCCAAGGCUUCAUGAGCAAGCCUGCGAAGAAGAUUUCAAAUCAUUUGUUGCUGUUCUUUUCCUUUCAUUAUUUAAUGAAGGAAUGUAGCAUCCAUAUGGGGGACUGUCCUACAGUAUCAGAAGCUGCCAAAUGCCUUGUCCUCCUCCUAGUAGGCCCGUUCCGGUUUGUAGCAUAGUCAUUCAAUCAGGUCAUCCACUGGUUGAGGGCACGCCUCUCACUCUGGACUUAGCUGAUUAUCCUCAGCCCUUUAACAAGUGUUGCAGUUCUUUGUCGAGCACGAAGCCGAGAAAAGAAUCCGAGACUAUUCUCGAACGUUUGUUUCUGAUCUUGAUCCAUUAGGCAAGUUUAGCUGCUGUAGAAGAGUUUCUUUGGGCUCUCGGGAUCACCAGCCGCGAGGGGAAUCUGGUUCAGAGCCUGCCUGCCCUCUGCUGGAAUAACUCGGGGAAUCUGGAACUCACACCGCACAGGUGCUCGUGCUUCAUCUCUGGUCUACUUCAAAUCUGCUUCACCACUCGUUCGCCAUUCAACCGAUCCAGAAACAUCUGUGAAUAUAGGAGAUACAGCUAGGAGGGAACCACACAAAGGAGUAGCAAGAGCACAAGACUCAUCAAAGGAAGGGUAAGCUGUUUGAAGCCUUCUCAGGAUGAAGCAAGAGGACCUCAAACAGAAAUGCAGCUACGUAGACGGGCACUCUUUUGAUAAAAGAUGUUCAAACUGAAGCCACAAAUGGGGACACUACUCUGAGGUUGUUACUGAUACCAAAGUGACAUGUAAUUAUUAUUAUUAUUAUUAAUUUGUGAAUAUGCGUGUUUGGGUUAUUUUGUUCAUGCUAACAAAGACACUUCUAGUAGUACUUUUUCACUAAGCAAUCUUCUUUCUUGCAUAUCUGUAUGGGUUUUGAUAUGGCAUUGGGGUUCCCGAUAGGAUUCAGUUUACAUUCCCCAAGCUUAUUGUGUUGAUUAUCAAUUAAAAGAUUAAUUCUAACGCGACAGAGAAUCAUGGUUCAUUGUUUCUGAUGGGCUACUUUAUCGACAAGGGUUUAUUGGGUAUUUGGUGAACCAAACCUUGCUAAGGGCAACUUUAAGCGAGAUGGGUAUGUGGGGUAAGCAAGUGGACAUUAACUUUGGUGUCCCUAUAAUGAGUUAGUCCUCCACGCGUUUGCGCUCUUACAGCACUUUAUCUUUUUAAAUUUCUUUAUAUUGGUAAAGUUGGUUGGCAAUUCACUUCUUAGAUAUCUCAUCUCGGUAUGAGGUUUGUUUAAUACCACUAACAACCUCCUCCUUCUAGUGAGACGUAUUUUCUUUUUUCGAAAUUUUUUUUGGUUGAGUAAUCGCUGCCAUAGUCAUCCAAUCUGCCUUUCCAAUACAAUUUCUGUUGAACAGUCAUUGAUGUUGUCUUCUGUAGGAUGAGGAAUCUGAUAAUAUCGCCUGUGAGAUGGGAUGAAUUGUUUAGAAGAUGAUGAAAUAUCUCAGAUGACGAAGAUGUGACCUAUUAUGUAUGUUAUUGGAGUCUUUAAUUUUUAUGUCCUGAACAGGAGUAUUGGAUACUUUGAGUUUUUAUUGUUGCUAUUAUUGGGUACUUUUGGCAGGUUCUAAGAGAUGAUCUCUGGUCCCGCUUUGCAUGCCGGGAUAAAGUUACAACCUGCAUGUCAUAAAUUGGGAGAACUCAACUAAUGAGGAUGCUACAUUCUAAGCUUUCCAGCCAGCAACGUGAACAAUCUACUAACCCCAGCUUGUCUUCAGUAGCCAUCAGUCACUCCGACAAAAGGCUUGUGCUGUGAAAAUCUCAUCAUAGAAGCGCUCAUAAAGCAAUCCAGACGCAUGCUACAGUCGUAAGAGGCUGCCAGAUCUGCUGAGCGAUAGGCUAAUAGUAUUCUGCUUAAUUAGGUUCAAUAUAGACUUGCAUGUGAAUUUUGCUCUUGCCCCAUGGCUGGGCUUGGAUCUGCAGCAGGGGCAUUAGGGGAGGCAGAGAUAGAUCAAGGACGUCCUAUUUUUGUCAUUCUAGUGAUCCUCCUAAGUUGAUUUUUACUUUCUGGAGGGGACAGCUUAAUAGGCUCUGACAUCAUAUCGGCUAUUCAGAGGACAGCUUGUGCAGAUAGGUAGAUGAUGAAAGUAUGCUGGAGUGAUUUUGUAUCAGUAAGGUUGCAGGCUAUGGAGUGAUAUUUACACUAUCACUACCAGGGCCAGAACAUUCCAAAACUGCAGGCAUUCGUUUGUUGAGAAGGGCAUAACCAAGUAUCCAUACCCCAACACCUGCAUCACAUGAUCUGGACAGCUCAAAUUUCUGCGACUUAACAAAUAUUUCUUGCACCUUCACACUUGCAUUCGCAGAUUCCAUUCGAAUUCAAUUGCAUCGAAUGUCACUUGUCUAUGCGCUCCGUAGUAUAUAUAGAAUGCCAGGAGUCGAGAAGGCUUUUUGACAGCUUGGUGAUGGACUCAAUGUCUUAAGCAUAAACACAUACAAUAAUAUGCUACCACAUAGGCAUCUUACGUUCUCCCCCACAUAAUAGAUGCAAUCGGACUGGAGGCGGCUGAGCGCCAUAAACCUGCGUAGGUCAUCUUAGAGGGCUUGGAACUUUAGCACUACCUUCCAAUCCUCGCCUGAAGCUCAGAAUGCAACAGUUUCCGACAUUUUUGCGGAGGUAAAGUUUUGGAAUUGAUGACUUGAGUACAACUUGGUGCUAGAGUUUUUCCUUGAGGAAUUUAUGUAACGAACGCUAAAUCUACGUCGCAAAAUUGAGAUGAUCGCCGGCCAAAAAUUCAUAGCGACACAAUGCCCUUGUCAGUAGUCGUCCAGCCAGUGGGCGCGCGAAGUCUUCACUUCUUGAUCUUUGUGGUUACCAUGUCUUUACACCAUCACAUGAGAUCCUUAUCUUUCAUAUGUUCACCCUUUUGAGACUCGGAACAACGUAUGUCUCAUGAGUUCUCCCAUGCGCAUAUUAAGAGUAUGUCCCUCAGCCGGAACCGUCCCUGUACCUCUCCCUAUAUAUAUUCCGAGCACCAGCAGUGCUGACUGGUCCAUGCACAUUAACAAAAUUUCACAAAUUCUCCUCCCCGCAAUGAACCAGAAUGAGUCUAAACUGGGUGAGCAUAGGCACAAGAAGAAGUCUCACCUUGGGGCUAGCAAAGUCGACGAGUCUAUUUUACACACGAAACCGGAUUUUGGAUUCUGCCUGCCCAAGACAGUUAACUGAGCCAGAGAUGAUUGCAUUCCCCAUCUCCAGAAAAUCUCUGUCGCUGAAGUAAGCAGAUGAAUCUCUUUAUGAACUGGCGUGGGCCACUGAGCCUGAUGGGUCCAACUGCUCUUUAGGCUUUCAGUCAAUCCAGAGCCUAAACAACCUAUAAUGAACCACAAGCUCACUGGUGCGCAGCCCUACCAAGAGUAAACUAGUUGGCAAUUGCGAUAAGAACUGUGCAUAAUUCUUCAAAUGUACGCACAAAAUCAAUCGAAGUGCAAAUGAGGAAUGUUACUGUUAAAACUCUCAUUCAAGAUGGCUCACUCAAAUAUGCAAAUUACGGUCGACAAUAUGCCCUCAAAUGCUGAUCCCUCUUGUGUGUUGUCCCUUCUCCUGGAAUCCGAAAGCCGUUAGUUCGUAGCUCCUGUUAAUUGCCAGUUUUUCCAUACAGAAACAUUCAAGAAGUUCGAAGGUUCAAAGUCAAUAUACACUAAAUUAAGAAUUAGAGAAAAAAUAUAAAGUUUUAUUAGAAUGGAAAGUGCAAUUUCUAGUGUACAAAAAUUAGUAAUAAAUAAUGCACGUGAAAUAGUCACUAUUCGUAAGUUUACAUAUAGAAAAACAGACUAAAUGAAGAACAACCCUACAAUAACCAACCAGAAUUUGUUUAAAGUUUUGCUGGUCAGGCCCAGAUAGAAUAAGUUAAGAGAGAAAUAUAAAGUAGACGCUUUCUUAUUUUAUUUUUUUCUCAUGAUAAUCAAUUUACACCUAAUAAAUUUUAUUAAUGAUAAGUAGAUAUCUUAUAAGAAUAUAAAAUAAAUUUUCAUAUAUCAAAUAUUAACAAUUUUGAGAGGGAUGCUUAAAAAAGAAUUAAACCCAAUUUUCCAUCUCCUGAUCUAUCUUCCCUCCUUCAGGAAUGCGCUUCGACUUAACCACUCAUAUCCCUUGGCUAUCCGUGUCUCUCACAAAUGCAUAGUUGAAGACUUGAGCAAGAGUGAACAUCGUUAUAUAUGAAGCAUACACACUAACUCAGACAGAACUUCCUUCAGUGCUAGACGUGAGAAAUGAAACCCUCAUAUAAUAGUUAGAAUCCAAAAUUAUUACAUUAGGAGCUUUUCAAUUGACGCAGUACGAGCCUAGACGAUGCGGCCAUAUUGGUGCUGAACAAACCUCUGAAAUCAAUGCCCUUGAUUUUGAAGCCCGAAGCUCAAAACUUGGCGGAGUAGCGCAUCAGAUUCCUGCAAUUUCUGAGUGUUAAUACCUCUCGCGUUCUGUCUAUGAGAUUUGUUUAUCCCAACUUAGAUCACCUUGGCGAGCUUUAAUCUGCAGACUAUUAUUGAGUCUUUCCUGCGUUCGACCUCCUCGAAACCUAACUCGCUGGUGUGAAAUACUGCAAUGAUAUUCUUCAAACUGCGAUGCAGCCGCUGAAAUUGAUUCAAAACUUUUGGUACUUAGUUCUUCGGUGCAUUAAUAAUUUGGCUGUAGGGCUUUCAUUAUUUUAGGACUUUCUAUUCCUGCAUCAACGUACUAUCUUGGAGCUCAAUGGGAUGAAUCUCUCGAUAAUAUGGUCGCCUAUCUCUAGAUCCGGACUAUUGGUGUAAAAUACUGAUUUAAUCUCGGGUAAUUUCUAUAGGUUAGUUAGACACAAAUGGUCAAUUACACGUUGGCCAGGACCACGCGCUAGUACAAGCAUACAUUUCAUAAAUUCUCUAAGCCAUGCGUCGAUAGAGUCACCCCAGCACAGUGCAAGUAUCUUAAGGAUAUGAAUACUAAGUAGGCAAUAUGAAAGUGUGAAGCAAUGUGUGGGCCCAUAUGGUUAAUCUGAGAAUAGACAGACUCACCUCAGGUUCACCGAGUUUUCUAAAUCAAAAAUCGGGGUCGGUCGGUAUGUUGUCUUCUAGUAUACUAUUUUCUAAAGCGUUUGUUGAAAUAAAGACACUGACCGGUGAUAUAGCAGGAGCAAUUCAAGAUCUAAUGAAGUGCAGGAAUGAAAUUUUUAACAGAGGCUGACAACUCAGAGAGUGUGAGUCUUUCUUGUAUACAACGAAUACUGAGCGAUUCGACCUUUCUAUAUAAAUGUAUCAAGCCAUUCACGACGGGUGACUCAAAAAGAUGUCGUAAGACCGUCUGGAGCUCCGAGAAUUCGGAUGAUGAGGACAUAUUUCAAAUAAUACUCAAGAGGGCUAAGUCAGGAGAACACUUGAAAAGAAAGUUAUUCUGCACUUUUCCAUGCUAUAUCUGUGCCAACUGCAAGUUUAAACAUUCCCGCUUACAAUACGCGCCCAAAUCAGCUCUGAUGGAAAAAGUUACUUUGCGGGGCACGAAUGUUUGUAAAGAGCUCGCAUGGAAAUUCGCGCAGUGAGUUUAUCGAAGAAGCGAGCGUGUACUUAUUCAUCGCUACGUUCAGCACCUGGUCCAUCUCUGGGCGAAAACUCAUCUUACGGGUAUUUAAUCGAAAGUGAGGCAAUUUAUCAGAGGCGUUUAUGAAGCCUGUCUGUCACAAGCCCAAGUAAGUAAAUCUCAAGAACACGCACCUGGUCGUGCUCAGUCUUUGCAGGUACUGGCGUUCGCUGAGACACACGUGUCCUAACUACACUUUGCUUCAGCUCUUUUAGAUUACAUAUUUGGAGCUAAAAUUGCGUACUUCACUACGGACAGAGAGUUUGUCGGAGGAUUUUUCUGGAUAUGUAAAUAUAAUGAAGUAUAUAUUGAGUCUAAGCUUCCUACGCUCAUCUAUUGGCUGUUUACCGACAAACCGCGUGUGAAAGUAGAUAUAGUUCAGGUUUACCCAAUACCUGAUGUAUUAAAGUAAUGUUUUAUCUCUUUCUCUGUGUUACGUAAGCCUGUUGUCCAACCUCUCUACCCCUCCGUCCAAUAUGCAAUGUCUGAACAUACUAUUACUGCUUAAUCUUCAUAUCUACUCGAGAAUGACGCGCUUUUCUCUCUCCCUCAAAGACGUAUAAAGAACCUUCGUCGGAGUGAUGAUCAGUUCAGUCUUUGAAUCUUUAGUUGUCACUUUGGGUGUCCUCUGCUGCAAAAUACUAUUAUCGACUCACUCUCCUAGCGCACGAGAGGUAUCAUCAGUUGAGAUCAACCAGAGUAUGGUUUAAAUUGCUCUUUCUGAAUCGAGCCAUAAUUCUUACAAUCAUGUCUUUACUCCCUUUCCCAUUCUCUCUGUUUUCCGCUUUUUACUCUUACCCUGUACAAACUUCUCACAGGAUAGAGAGGUCAAAUACAUAUAUGCCAGGAAUACUCUCCCAGCUCUCCAAUAUACUUCGGACGACCAACAUUAUUUCCUGCGUCCACAUGAGUUGGACUAUCUGGACUGUUAUCGAGGUACAAGUCGGGCAAGAGGUGAAAAUUUGUGGAGUAGCAUGCAGACAGUUAAUGUGGAUACAAUCGUAGCAUGACUAUCACGCUAAAAUAAGUAGAAAUUACCACGAAGAAGAUAAUGCUUAUUAACUAUCUAGCGAACAAGCAUUGCCUCAAGCCAUAAGUGAGUGUUUUGAGCUGAGAUCUGUUGAUAUUCUAAUGACUGAAACUUCGCUCUACAUUCUGCUGAGAGGACGAGAGACGAGACCGAACAAUUUGGCAGUGACCUGUUGCACGAUGAAUCAGUCAUAUCAGUCAAAGAGGAGUUCUGAGGCGAAGAACUCAUGCAGGAAGAUGCUUAUGGCAAUGACCAACCAGCCUCGCCAGAAAUGGAGACUCCAUAGAGCGAGGAAAAUGGAUAACAUUCUUAAAGCUAUGGAGGACAUAGUGACAACAACAUAUCAUCGUUCUGUGCUCGAAAUCCUUCAAUGUGCGCGAGUGCGCUUCUCUGUUCAAAGAAUUUGCAAAAGUUGUUCUAGUUCUAUUGAUCAUCAGUGUAGCACAGUUCUUCUUGUGUUUAUAAAUUUGUAGGUUUGCGUCGAUGAUUAGAUAGCUCGGUUUGUGGAACCUCCAACGACUCUCAUGGGGUCGACUUGACUAGGCGUUGUUAAGGGCUGACAGCUUUCUCACCAACCCUUAAUCAAGCCUUAAGAUUUCAAGUCACCAACUGGCAAGAAGAGAGGCCCACGCAUCAAUUCUUGACAUAGAGCCAUCUUACCUUUGACGCACACAAGUCUGGUCUCAUUGACUUGGUGAAUUAAUGCAGAACCUCUGGUUGUAAUCUCACAGACACACUAAUCGGUUCACCGUUUCUUCGUGCCUUGUCUUGUGGCCCUUUCGAUUUAACCUCUCUCAGAAGAAUCAAUGCAUCAGACCCUGAAGAAGUUUCCGGCCAAAUUCAAGAUCAAGCCUCGACGGCCCUUGAGGAAAUCACAAGUCCGAUUCAAGAUCAAGCGUCCACCAUAUUUGAAUCAAAUCCAGUUCAAGAAUAAGCUGUGGAAAAUCAACAAUUGGAGGAAUCCAAAAAAUCCUCCAACCCAGUUCAAGAUCAAAGCUGUGGAAAGUCAACAAAGCGCAAAAACAAAUACGUGCCGAUUCAUCCACUACCAAAACCAAAGAUCAUCUACCACAUAAAGCUCCUUGUGGUCCAAUUUCAACCUUCAAGAUCAAGCCUCGACGGCCCUUGAAGAAAUUUCGAACAAAGUCCAAGAACAAGCCUCAACGGCCCUUGAAGAAAUCUCCAGCCCAAUUCAAGAUCAAGCCUCGAUGGCCCUUGGAUUGACAACUACAUUAACGGACUUCAAAACGCAUCUCCUACAUGUAACAAGCACAUGUAUACAACGCGCCUUGAAGUGGGGGCAUUUGUAGACAUUGAAAUUUCGGUGGCAUAAAUGUUAGCCAUUGCAUUAAGAUUACAUUUGUAAACAUUGAAAUUUUGGUGAAAUAAAUGUUGACCAUUGUAUUAAAAUUACAACCUUCAUUCACUUCACCUCACCUACAUCAUAGUUUCACUACAAGUUCCACAGUUUCACCUACAAACAUCCACCAAGUUUCACCUACAACAUCCACCAAAAUACAAUCACCUACAACAUCCACCAAAACAAAUGGAUGGUGGUGAUUCGUUCCCAAAGCCUAUAAAUAGGCUCAUCCAUCAAAGAAUCAAUAAACCAAUUCACAAAUACAUUUCUCUACUCCCAAAAUGGAAGAGAAUACUCCCCACACAUCCAAAAUCCUUGAAGCUUUGAAACUCUAAAGCUUUCAAGCAUCCAACCUCCCAAAUUCAAGCAAAUCCCGAAGGAUCAAGAAAGCCCUCUUCGUUCUUCGUCAAAUCCUCCUUCAAGAUCAAGCCCUAACGGCCCUUGAAGAAAUUUCUCCUUCAAGAUCAAGCCCCAACGGCCCUUGAAGAACUUCCACCAAUUCAAGAUCAAGUCUCGACGGCCCUUGAAGAAAGUGUUCAACAAAUCCACACAACUGUUCAUCCUAAGAUCAAGCCCCGACGCCCCUUUUGGAUCAACAACAUCACCAAAUCCACAUAAAUGUUCAUCCUAAGAUCAAGCCCCAACGGCCAUUUGGAUCAACAACAUCAACAAAUCCACACAACUGUUCAUCCUAAGAUCAAGCCCCAACGGCCCUUUGGAUCAACAACAUCAAUAAAUCCACACAACUGUUCAUCCCAAGAUCAAGCCCCGACGGCCCUUGGAUCAACAAUCAUCCAUCUUCAAGAUCAAGCCCCGACGGCCCUUGGAUCAACCAUCCACCAAUUCAAGAUCAAGCCCCGACGGCCCUUGAAGAAAGCACCAUCGUUCAUCAUCCGUUCAUCCAAGAUCAAGCCCCGACGGCCCUUGGAUCAACAACAUCAACAAAUCCACACAUCCAACCGUUCUUCAAGAUCAAGCCCAAAAGCCCUUGAAGAUCCGUUCAUCACCGUUAUUCAAGAUCAAACCUUAACGGCCCUUGAAGAAACACUCAUCCUCAAGAUCAAGCCCCAAUGGCUCUUUGAAGAUCCGCUCAAAUCCACCUUCAAAGAUCAAGCCCACGGCCCCUUGAAGAAACUUCCAACAGUUCAUCCAAGAUCAAGCCUCGACGGCCCUUGGAUCAACGAAACAUCCAUAAAUCAACACCUUACGGAGAUCGAAUCAGAUGAUCAAAAUUGAGAGAGAUUGUAACCCAAAUCAAAAUCACAAAAUAUUAUUUUGUGCACGUUGUUCUUGUCUUUUUCGUUUCAGGAAUUUUCCGUGUUCACACCUGGCAAUUCCUGACACGACCUGAUAAUCCGACACGACACGACACAAAAUUAACAGAUGUUCGGGUCGACACGAUAACGAAUCGGGUGUUAUCGGGUAACCCGAUAAGCAACUGUUAAGAUAACGGGUUAGUUCGAGUAUACAUGUGGAUAACACGAUAAGCACCUGUUAAUAAUUUUAUAACGCUAAAAAAUACUAUAAUAAUUAUAUAUAUUAAUUUAACAAUUUUAUACCCCUAAAAAGUUUAAAACUAUAAUAAUUAUAUAUAUAUAUAUUAAAUUAACUAUAAUAAUUAUAUAUACUAUAAUAAUUAUACCCCCAAAAUAUUAACUAAAAUAAUUAUAAUAAUUAUAUAUACUAUAAUAAUUAUACCCCCAAAAUAUUACUAUAAUAAUUAUAUAUAUAUAUAUAUAUAUUAAGUUUUAAAUUAAAUUUAUACCCCUAAAAACUAUAAUAAUUAUACGUACAAAAUAAAUAGAUUUAAAUCUACAUAAUAUAUAUAUAUAUACACACCAUUGAACUUGAUGGAAUACACGAAACUAAUUUCAACGAUCCAACCAUUAAACUUGUUUGUAUAUGCUUCGAGAUCGCAUCAGCAAAAAAUUGCAAAAAACAAACAUUUAGAGAUCAAGUAACGAGACAAAACUUUUCGACGGUUAUAAAACAAAAAAUUACGAUUUAACAGUUAUUUUAACUCCGAUUUUGAUAUUUUUUACAGCUACACUCGUUGACCAUAUAUGAAUACAAUGAAUGAAUUCGAUUUUCAAUUUAAAAUAUUUACACUAGUGGAUACUACAAAAUUUUAUGUUAUACUUAAUGAAAAUAUAAAUAAACUCUAAGUGUUAGUGAAUCUAUCGUUUUGAUGAGAUACAAACUCUAUGAAACUAAUUUUAACGAUCCAACCGUCAAACUUGUUUGUAUAUGCUUCGAGAUCACAUAUGCCAAAAAUCACAAAAAAAAAACAAUCAGAGAUUAAGUAAUGAGACAAAACGUUUCGACGGUUAUAAAACAAAAAAUCACGAUUUAACGGUUAUUUUAACUCCGAUUUUGAUGAUUUUUUACAACGACACUCCUUGACCCUAUACGAAUUCAAUGAAUGAAUUGGAUAUUCAAUUUAAAAUAUUUACACAAGUGGAUAUCACAAAAUCUUAUGUUAUACUUAAUGAAAGUAUAAAUAAAAUCUAACUGUUAGUGAAUCUAUCGUUUUGAUGAGAUAUGAAUUCUAUGAACCUAAUUUUAACAAUCCAACCGUCAAACUUGUUUAUAUAUGCUUCGAGAUCGCAUACGCCAAAAAUUACAAAAAACAAACAUUCAGAGAUCAAGAAAUGAGACAAAACAUUUCGACGGUUAUAAAACAAAAAAUCAUGAUUUAACGGUUAUUUUAACUCCAAUUUUGAUGAUUUUUUACGACUACACUCAUUGACCCUAUAUGAAUACAAUGAAUGAAUUUGAUCGUCAAUUUAAAAUAUUUACACAAGUGGAUACCACAAAAUCUUAUGAUACACUUAAUGAAAGUAUAAAUAAACUCUAAGUGUUAAUGAAUCUAUCGUUUUGAUGGGAUACGAAUUCUAUGAAACUAAUUUUAAAAAUCCAACCGUCAAACUUGUUUGUAUAUGCUUCAAGAUCGCAUACGCCAAAAAUCACAAAAAACAAACAUUCAGAGAUCAAGUAAUGAGACAAAACUUUUCGACGGUUAUAAAACAAAAAAUCAUGAUUUAACGGUUAUUUUAACUCCGAUUUUGAUGAUUUUUUACAACUACAAUCUUUGACCCUGUACGAAUACAAUGAAUGAAUUUGAUCGUCAAUUUAAAAUAUUUACACAAGUGGAUACCACAAAAUCUUAUGUUAUACUUAAUGAAAGUAUAAAUAAACUUUAAGUGUUAGUGAAUCUAUCGUUUUGAUAUGAUACGAAUUCUAUGAAACUAAUUUUAACGAUCCAACCGUCAAACUUGUUUGUAUAUGCUUCAAGAUCGCAUAUGCCAAAAAUCACAAAAAACAAACAUUUAGAAAUCAAGUAAUGAGACAAAACUUUUUCGACGGUUAUAAAACAAAAAAUCAUGAUUUAACGGUUAUUUUAACUCCGAUUUUGAUGAUUUUUUACAACUACACUCCUUGACCCUAUACGAAUACAAUGAAUGAAUUUGAUCGUCAAUUUAAAAUAUUUACACAAGUGGAUACCACAAAAUCUUAUGUUAUACUUAAUGAAAGUAUAAUUAAACUCUAAGUGUUAAUGAAUCUAUCGUUUUGAUGCGAUACGAAUUCUAUGAAACUAAUUUUAACGAACCAACCGUCAAACUUGUUUGAUAUGCUUCGAGAUCGCAUACGCCAAAAAUCACAAAAAACAAACAUUCAGAGAUCAAGAAUUGAGACAAAACUUUUCGACGAUUAUAAAACAAAAAAUCACGAUUUAACGGUUAUUUUAACUCCGAUUUUGAUGAUUUUUUCAACUACACUCCUUGACCCUAUACGAAUACAAUGAAUGAAUUUGAUCAUCAAUUUAAAAUAUUUACACAAGUGGAUACCACAAAAUCUUACGUUAUACUUAAUGAAAGUAUAAAUAAACCCUAAGUGUUAGUGAAUCUAUCGCUUUGAUGGGAUAUGAAUUCUAUGAAACUAAUUUUAACGAUCCAACCGUCAAACUUGUUUGUAUAUGCUUCGAGAUCGCAUAUGCCAAAAAUCACAAAAAACACACAUUCAAAGAUCAAGUAAUGAGACAAAACUUUUCGACGGUUAUAAAACAAAAAAUCACGAUUUAACGGUUAUUUUAACUCUGAUUUUGAUGAUUAUUUACAACUACACUCCUUGACCCUAUACAAAUACAAUGAAUGAAUUUGAUCUUCAAUUUAAAAUAUUUACACAUGUGGAUACCACAAAUCUUAUGUUAUACUUAAUGAAAGUAUAAAUAAACUCUAAGAGCAAGUCCACCCCUAAGGACUUUGCGCCAGCACCCAGCGUAUUUAUCCACCCAAGUGAACAGUAAUAGACCCCAAUGAACAGUAAUAGGCUAAAGCAGCUCCACCCCUAAAAAUGGACUGGCACCCAGCCCAUCUAAUAUUAUAUUAUUUUAUUCAUAUCAAUUAAUAUUUUAUCAUUUAAUUUAUUUUUUCUUCCUUUCUUUGUCCGGUCCUCACCCUUUUAUUCUCUCUCUCUCUCUCUCUCUCUCUCUCUCUCUCUCUCUCUCUCUCUCUCUCUUUUCCAGCUCACUCCCGUGAGCUCUCUCUCUCUCUCUCUCCUUUUUCUCCAUGUUUUCUUCUUCAAAUGAGCACCCAGCACCUGAAAUGGACCUCUUCCCCCAAAAAUGGGAGGUCGCCGUGGAGGUGCUCCACACCAACGGUUGGGAUCUCGCCGGAGCUCCACACAAACGCUCACAGGCACCUCGUUGUCGUCUCCUCACCGGAGCUCGCCAUGGAGGUGCUCCACACCCACGGAGUCGGAUCUCGCCGUGGAGGUGCUCCACACCAACGCUCCUCGAAAAAUGGACCUCCUCCUCCUCCGCAUUACCCGGCUGGCGUCAGCAUGAGUCAGAUGUACCGGGCAACACCUCAGUCAAUUUUGGACUGGGCUACAGACCAGCUUGCGCUGGGUGCCAGUCAAUUGGGUCGGGUGGAGGGGUUUCACAGGGUGCUGGGCAGUUUUUUCAGCUGGGUGCUGGGCAAAAUGCCCUCCGCUGGAACUGCUCUAAGUGUUAGUGAAUCUAUCGUUUUGAUGAGAUACGAAUUCUAUGAAACUAAUUUUAAUGAUCCAACCGUCAAACUUGUUUUUUAUUAGGCUCUUAUUUUCAUGUGUAGAUGUAGUACUUAAAUGACAAAUAUGUUUUAAUGUUUUGAAGUAAUAUUUAUGUGGUCAAACUUGUUUUUUAUUAGGCUCUUAUUUUCGUGUGUAGAUGUAGUACUUAAAUGACAAAUAUGUUUUAAUGUUUUGAAGUAAUAUUUAUGUGGUAAUGUGUGGUAUAUGCAAAUUUAAGAAAAAAAUAUAUUUUUCUUAACGGGUCAUAAAGGGUCGGGUCACUUUACCCAGGGUCGGGUCACUUUACCCGUUGGGUAAAGUGACCCGACCUGUUAAAGACCCGUUAAGAUAACAUGUGUGACACGACACGACCCGUUACGAUGACAGGUGUUAUACGAAAACGACACGAACACGACAGACACGACCCGUUUGCCAGGCCUACUUCUAUGACAUAUUAAAUACCUCCUUGAGCACAAAAAUAGAAAGAAAGGAGGCAUAACAUAUAAUAACUCUAGUUUGGGCUAAUUCAUUCACAUACUAAGUGUCAAAGAGGUUAAUAUAUAUAUAUAUAUAUAUAUAUAUAUAUAUAUAUAUAUAUAUAUAAUAUAUAUUUUUUUUUUUUUUUUUUUUGGUCGAAGAGGUUAAUAUUUUUAUUGGAACUAAGACUUCUGUUUUAAACAAAAGAAGAAAACACGCGGCAGACAGAAAAACAUAAAGUGGAGUACUUACAUCAGGCCAAGAAUCGAUAAUGAGCUCUGCAAUUCAUUGGCUAUAUCUCAUUCCACAUCAACUUGUUCCUUCUCAGUUGGCCGCUAAAACCAACCAUUCCAAUUUAAUUAUAAGAAAUCAAUAGGAAGGCUAGUAAUUUAUUGUCAAAGUUCACCGUAUAUAGAUUUCCUCAGAUAUAAUUCAUCGUAUAUAGAUUUCCUCAGAAAUACGAUAAAAUACAAUUACAUUAAAUCUAAGGGUUGAAUUGCAAACUCAAGCAUUUCCUUGUAAAUAAAAACUAAUAAUAGCUCAUGACAAAAAAUUUACAGAACACAUAAAGUAGAAACAUUAGUACCUAAUUAGACAUGAAAAUUACAGAAUAAGCCGGAUUAAGCCAUCUAAAAACAGAAUAAGCCACUCAGUACUACGAUGGUCUAGUGAUAUUUCUCUUCACUUUGAAGUGAGAUGUCGUAGGUUCGAAUAUCGUGGAUGGUGAAUUCGAUAUCAAAUUAGGCUGUCUAAUGUGUGACUUAGCCAAACUUCCCCUCCCUUGGUAUAAAAAUACGAUGUACUAAAAAAAAAAAAAAAAAAAAAAAACAGAAAAUUAAUACCACCAUAGCGAAAUACUACAGAAUAAUCUAAUUAUUUAUGCAUUUGGCAAGUUAAAAUAAUUAACUAAAAAACUUGGAGCAAAACAACACUUUAAUUCCAUGGUUGGUUUUAUAUAUGUGUUUGGGCCCAAAAUAAUAGUUUGGGUCGAGUUUAGUGACUCUUGGCGUAGUAACCAUUUAGGGUGUGUUUGUUGCACCAAACUAUCUCGAACUGGACUUAGCUCAUGGACUAACCUAGAUUGACUUAGACUAGAUUAAGCUGGACUAACUUAGUGAAGCGUUUGUUGCAGUGUCAGACUAAAAAGCUGGACUAACAAUAAAUUAUUAUUAUAUUCUAAUUUUUUUUAUUAAGAAUAUCAAAAUUAAUAGAUUAAAGAAAGAGGAUAUCUUCUUCGCCAAUUUCCUGGUGUUCCUCAACACCUUGGAAGUUACAAAAUUUCCAAUAACAAAAGGCUUAAACUUGAUCUUGAAGAUAAACCUCCGCUGCUAAAGACCCAAUUCCCAAAUAUUUUGAUUAUUACAAAUAAAAAGUACCCAUAACCCUAAAAAUACCCAAUCUUCAUCCUUCUCACCCUCAGAUUCCUAUACCCAUGGCCAUGUAUGCGACUGAAGAUAGACAUCGACCACUAAAGGCCGUCGUCGAAGAGUCGAGCUUAAUCAUCCAAAGAAAUCGCCAGAUUAUAUAAUCGAUUCGGUUUGAGAUUUGCAUCGAAUGCGACCGCUAAGAGGAACUCAUCAAUUAAUUUCCCAACGAGCUUGAUCUAGCAGAGAGAGGUAAAGACAAAGAUAGAUGAGGAAAGACGAAGAAGGAGGUAGCAAGUGAGGAAAGCGAAGAAGAAGGCAUAUCGUAGUCCUUGGCAAUCCCAUGGUUUAACACGAGACUAUUUUGGACAAUCUAACGAGGCUCGGAGUCCACACGAGUCCGGGCUAGUCUCAUUUAAGUUAGUCCCCAAGCAUACCAAACAUGAGACAAUAAUCCUAGCUAGUCCAGUCCCACUUAAGAAGGUGAAACAAACACACACUUAGAGUCCUAUCAUGGGCCGUCCAAUCAUCAUCGACCGUCUAGUUAAGGUUGGCCGAAUCCCAUUGCAAAGAGGAUUGGUUUAGAUAAAAAGUAUACUCUAAGAGACGAGCGAUAAUAGUGCUAUACAUACCAGGUUGCUCAAACUACUGGUCAAUAAAGGCCACGAAGAUGGACCCGUCGAUCGUUCCCGACAGCCCUCACUUAAGAAUAAUUUGCCACCAGUGAUACAAGCCGAGACAAUAUAUGGUUGGCUCAAAAUGAUUGACUUAAAGAAAAGGGGUGGAUCAACUAGUAGAUCAGACAUAUUUGACCAAGGAGCGGAAACAACAUCUAUUGAUAUGGUCGAGGUUUAGAGAAUGAUUGAUUCGGCCCUAAAAAAAGGGCCGAAGUUUCCGAAAUUCAUUCACCCAUAUCCAGCAUUCGUAGAAAAGUUUGAAUACCCCAAGAGGUUCAAAAUUCCGGAUUUCAACCUUUUCGCCGGAGAGUCAUCCUUAUAGUCGUUAUAACAUGUAGCUCAAUUCACUGCCCAACGUAGGGACGUUAACAAUGAUUUUCAUAAGCUUCGACUGUUCAAUUUCUCAUUAACCGGCUCAGCAUUCGCGUGGUAUAUAAACCUUUCACCUAAUUCCAUCCAAAGCUGGGAGGAAUUAGUUAAGAAAUUUCAUGAGCAGUUCUAUCGACCAGGGAUGGAUGUGUCAGUAUUUUCUCUGGCCAGGAUGGCUCAAGCUUCUGACGAGUCGCCAAUGGAAUACCUUACGAGGUUUAAGUCGGCCAAAAACUGGUGUCGAGUAUCUAUCCCAGAAGUCGAGUUCGUUAGGCUUGCCUUGAAUGACCUAUAUGUGGAAUACAAAAAGAAAUUUUUGAGGGAAAACUUCGAGAUAUGUACGAACUGGCUUAACAUGUUGAGCAAUAUGAUUAUUUGCUACGAGAAUAAAAUAUUUGAAGCCCCUAUCCUGAGGAACAAUCUACAAGAACCCUACGGUCAGUUAUGCAUCGGUCGAAGGCGAAGAAUCCCAAUAUGCCAGUAUUGACGCGGCCGAGAUAGUGAUUGACAAGCCAUACAUAUGCAAAGCAUUGGCUUAUGCUAAUUCCAAGGAUGCCAAAACCCGCUCGGCCUCUGAAGAAGCUACCAUCAAAACAUCGAAAGUUUAUACUGUUGACAUUACCAAGGCCGACGCCAUCUUCAAGUAGCUGUUGCUCGUGAAAAUUAUCAAGCUUCGGUAAGGGCAUAACAUUUUCAAGGCUGAAGAUUUGAAAGGAAAAACAUAUUGCAAGUACCAUGACUUGAACAAACAUACAACAAACAACUACGUCGUAUUUCGUGAUGUCAUCUAGAUCUGGAUCGACAAUGGUAAGCUCAAGUUCCCCGAGAAACAAAUGGGCGCUGACACCGAUCAUUUUCCUACGGUGACAGUAAACAUGGUAGAUGUUCAUCUACCGAGGGAUAAAGGAAAAUGAAAAGCCGAGUUCGUUCCAAUGCAAUUCAUCCCAAAGCAGAACUCUCAACCACGAUUGAAGAUUGAUUUAUUUUCAAACGAGUACCCCAAGAUUUGAUUGGACCAACUAUUAUCGAGUCAAUGUCGGACUCCAGCACUGAGGAAACCGACGAGCCGAUAAAUCUUAUGUAGUCGGUGUAAAACAAAUGUCAUCUUAACUGAGCCGAAGAAAAAGCUAUUUCGAACUAAAAGGUCACGACAGGCAUCCACAACUGCAACACCAUCCCAAAAGGUACUUGGGGUAGGACAACACUAGAAAGUUUUGAUAGGCUCGGCCCGCAGGUACAAGACAAGAUGCCAUCUUCGGCCAGACGACACCUUGAUUUCAACGUGCAGUUUUACAACGAGGAUUAUUAUACGUGUAACUCUGGUAAUUCAAGUUCACCUGCGAACCAGUGUAUCAUCAGACCUCCUGAGCCACGUGAUCAACACUGGUAUACUUAUAACUCCCCUACCAGUGUAUACAUUGCGUUGUCCAAAUCGUUAAAACGUCGGAGCCAAAGAAUAGAUUGUAUAGCCCGCCGACGAGCAACUUAGGAUACCUCGGUUACCAAGUGGAAGCCGAAGGAAACGACCAAUAAUAAAGAUGACCGAUAACCUCCUGCGAUCAUGAUCGAGUUGCUCCAAGGGAAGAAAGUGAUUGAUCGUGACUUUGAAACCACGAUCGAAGAAUCCAAAAAGUGAAUCAAACUCCUCAUUCAACCUGAGGAAAUAGAAGCUCGCCUCGAGCACUUCCGGAAUGAGAUUAAGAGCAAACUUCCCCUGCUAUCUACACAAGAACCGUUGAUCAGAGUUAGAUAGAAUCUCCACCCACCAUUUCUUAGUGAAACUUUAGAAUACAUGCGAGAGUUUCACAAGAAGCAUUCGGCAAAUGAUUUAUACGGCUUGCCGAAAGCAUGCCAAGAUACUCUUGAUCUUGUUCUAACUUGCCCCGAUGUUGAAUGAAUCAUCCAAAAGACCUCAGAUCCGGGGAUGAAAGCUAGGUUCCAACAUAUACGAGAGCCUUGAGUUUUCGACUUCGAGGUAGAUCCAUAUAUUGAUAUUGACGCUGCCGAACUUCCUCUUUCGAUGACCUUCAAUAUUUACGAUACUAUUUCAAAGUCUUUUCAGAUGUUUCUCUCUUCGACCUUACUGUCGAUGAAAAGGAAUGCGUAGCACAAUUAGAUGCUUACCUUGACACGAGAGAUACUCGCAUCACAUAUCAGGAGCAAACUCAUAUGUCGUCACAAGACCAAAACCCAGUUUUAACACUGAACGAACCUGAGGUCAACAUGCAGAAUGAGAAGACUCUAGUGAACAUACCGCAUGAGCAUACCCCGGCGUCAGCUGAAAAAAGCAAGCAAAUACUGCCCAUACGUAGGACACCUCACCCGAAAGUCCAGAAGAAGAAGAUCAUGACCCGAUAGGUCAUUCGGUCAUCGACAACAGGGAAAUCAGCAUGGUCUAUGUUUUACCUACCGAGUUCCAACCAACCACAUCCCAACCAAAUUUCCUGGACAGCAACGUGGUUGCCGAGGAAGCCACGCAAGUUGAUUUUAUGGUCGCCGAAGAGAUUUAGCAAGCAACAAAAGAAGAUAAACUUAAAACAGUUUUUGCCGAAUUGUUUCCUCACUUUUCAUCAGUUAAUCUCCAUCAUCUUAAGCCGUUAUAUGUUAUGGCUCAUAUUGAAGGAUAUCCGGUCUUCAAAAUUUUCAUCGACUAUGGAGCAACGGUCAACAUCAUGCCUGUUGUUAUCAUGAACACAUUACGUCGUUCCAACGACGAACUUAUUCCAUCAGGGGUCACCAUGAGCAGCUUCGUCGGUGACAAAUCCCAGACCAAAUGAGUGCUUCCGUUGGAGGUAAUUAUCGUAGGUCGUAAUCACAUGACUGUAAUUUUCAUAGUCGAUUCAAAGACAGGGUAUAAUGCAUUUCUUGAUCAUGACUGGAUCUAUCAAAUGAGCUGCAUCCCCUCGUUAUUAUACUAGGUCAUUAUCUUUUGAGACGGCAAAUCGAUCUUAGUUCAUCUAGCCGACAAUUAGCCAUUCGAAGCAAAUAUGAUUCAAGCUCGUUAUUAUGACGAUCACGUCGGCUACAUCACCCUGCAAGCGUUUGAUGAGGAAUGACGGUCGACUUAGAUCUCAGUUCAGAAAGCCAUCGAGGUAAGCGCCGAGAUUGUUCAUUAAGAUUCGGCGAAACUAGGGUUGGCCGACCUAGUUGCCGAUCCUGAUGUCUGGUACCAAACUAGAUAGAUGCUGGGCCAUGGUUUCAUCCAUCAUAGAACGACUACUGGCGCAUUGGUAUGCUAUUUCUAGGUAGCUAAAUUCGGGUGUGAACUUGGUAGAGUUUCUCGCCGAAGGAAACAACAGUCCAGUUUUAUCACUUGACAAGAUUCAAGCUGCCAUGGCCGAGCUCGAAGACAGUCGGGCCCAAGUCAAAGAACCUUUAGAGGAAGUAAAUGUCGAAACGGCCGAAAACCCACGGCCUUUGUUUAUUAGUGCUUUGUUACCCCAACCUAUGAAAACUGCACUUUGUAAUUUACUCAAGGAAUUUAAAGAUUGUUUUGCUUGAGUUACCAUAAGAUGCCUAGUUUAGACCGAACGUUCAUCUAGCACGAAUUACGCAUCAAACCUGGUUGUAAACCGUUCCUCCAACCCCUCCCCCCCCCCCCCGACGAUUCUCGACCGAAGUACAACUUGGCAUAAAAGAUGAACUCGUUCGACUUUUAAAAGCUGGGUUUAUCCGGACAACUCGAUACAUUGAAUGGCUGGCGACCAUCGUCCUAUUUUUACAGAAAAGUGGUGCUCUACAUAUUUGUAUCAAUUUUUGAAAUUUGAAUUUGGCAACCCCUAAAGACGAGUAUACAAUGCCAAUUUUAGAUUUGUUAAUCGAAGUAGUAGUACACCAUGAGAUAUUAUCCUUCAUGAAUGGUCAUGCUGGUUACAACCAGAUUUUCAUUGCUGAGGCCGACGUCUAUAAAAUUACUUUUCGUUGCCCAUGGGCACUCGGGACUUACGAAUGGGUCGUCAUGCCAUUUGACUUGAAAAACACUGGUGCCAUAUGCCAACGUGCUAUGAAUACGAUUUUUCAUGUUUUAAUUGGUACCAUCAUCGAAGUCUAUUUUGAUGAUGUUGUAGUUAAAUCAAAACAUCGCCGAACACAUUUAGAUGAUCUUCGGCAGGUUUUCCUUCAAAUGCGCCAACAUAACCUUAAAAUGAAUCCUGCCAAAUAAGCAUUUGGUGUAUCGGUCGGCAACUUUUUAGGUUUUCUUGUACAUCAUCGUGGCAUUGAAGUGGACACAAAUAAAGCUCGGGUGAUCAUCGAUGCUCCACCUCCGACAACAAAGAAACAAUAACAAUCACUACUCGAUAAAGUCAAUUUCCUCUGCCGUUUCAUUUCUAACUCGGCAGGGAAGAUGAAAGCUUUCUCCACGCUCUUGAAACUUAUAGAUUCGGACAAAUUCGAAUGGCGUGAGGAGCACCAAGAUGCUUUCACGAAGACAGCCAACGGAUUCCUCGGCGGCCAAAAUAUACAACUUGAGUGAUUUACCGCGCCGAGGUGGCACAAUGACAUGUGGGUUAGUGAGGGAGACCCUAAUUUGUUUACUUUUAUUAAUUAAAUUCGUUUUUAAUUUAAGUAGGUUAUAAACUCAAUCAUCUCAAUUUCUACUUUACAAUAAUUAAUUGGAAUUUGGUUUGUUUCGAAUUAUUUAAUAAUUCCUGUGGAGAACGACCUUGCGAGAUCCGUUUAUACUACAAUAACUUUGUCAUUCUUACAAGUAUUAUAGGAGUUUUUAGCCCGUUUACGUGUGUAGUAAAAUCCGUAUCACCUUUCUUCAGACAGACUUUGAUCCCCCGCCAAAACCUGUAAGUGACACAUCAACUGGUAGAAGUGGCGUGCCUAUAGGUACGGUGGUUGGAAUUGUGGUUGGGGGAGUCUUAAUUAUACUACUGAUAUUUGGUGUUCAUUGGAAGAGAGGCCUCUUGGGGCAACAAAAGACAUUGGAGGAUGGUAUUAAUUUGCAGUUUAUUCUGUUAUACUGGUUUUUCCUUUUUGUUUCUCCAUUACUUUUUCUCAUCGACCUUUUUUCGUAACUAAUUAAGUACAACAUUUAUGCUAUUUUGCAUGGUUCUCCUGCAUAUUGACGUGCACUACAAAGACAGUAAUUAUUUAGAUAUUGAGCUUUCCGGCACUUUGAUGUUGCUGUAAUAUAUUUAUCUUCCAAACUCAUGAUGCAAAGUGUCUGCCUUACUUGUUAAAUUCUAGAAUCAGGCACAAAAUAUUAAGAACUAAGAAUGCUGUCGUUCUGAAAGUUUUCUUAAGACACAAUUUCUUAUGAGUUUUACUUGUUAUAUAGAUUUGAAGGGUGUGGACCUGCAAACUGGUAAAUUUACCUUCAAGCAACUCAAAGAUGCCACAAGCAACUUUAAUAGAGGCAAUAACUAGGUCUGGCAAACGGAUCGUGUCAAUCGUGUUCGUGUAACAUCUGUUAUCUUAACGGGUCGUGUCGUGUCACACCUGUUAUUUUAACGGGUCCUCAACAGGUCGGGUCACAAAACGCUUACAUUUUGCAUAUCCUUGCACAUUUAAAGUGACCCGACCCGUUAUGACCCGUUAAGAAAAAUAUUUUUUUUUCUUAAAUUUGCACAUACCACACAUUGUCACAUAAAUAUUACUUCAAAACAUUAAAACACAUUUGUCGCUUAAGUACUACAUCUACACUCGAAAAUAAGAGCCUCAUAAAAAAUACAUCCAUACACUACUAAUUUAUUACAAAUAUUAAAUGUGCAAGGAUAUGCAAAAUGUAAGCGUUUUUGUUUUCAAGGUUGUGAAGCCUUUCUCAAAAGUUUAAACCUUGCCAAUGGAACUCAAAGCUUAAUGAAACUGACCCACUAGUGUGUUUAUUCGUACUUUCAUUAAGUAUAGCAUAAGAUUUUGUGGUAUCCACUAGUGUAAAUAUUUUAAAUUGAAUAUCGAAUUCAAUCAUUGUAUUCAUAUAGGGUCAAGAAGUGUAGUUGUAAAAAAUCAUCAAAAUCGGAGUUAAAAUAACCGUUAAAUUGUGAUUUUUCGUUUAUAACCGUUGAAAAGUUGUGUCCCGUUACUUAAUCUUUAAAUGUUUGUUUUUUACAAUUUUUGGCGUAUGUGAUCUCGAAGUAUAUACAAACAAGUAUGACGGUUAGAUUGUUGAAACUAGUUUCGUAGAAUGCGUAUCCCAUCAAAACAAUAGAUUCACUAACACUUAAAAGUUUAUUCUUACUUUCAUUAAGUAUAACAUAAGAUUUUGUGGUAUCCACUAGUGUAAAUAUUUUAAAUUGAAGAUCGAAUUCAUUCAUUGUAUUCAUACAGGGUCAAGGAGUGUAACUGUAAAAAAUCAUCAAAAUCGAAGUUAAAAUAACUGUUAAAUCGUGAUUUUUCGUUUAUAACCGUCGAAAAGUUUUGUCUCGUUACUUGAUCUCUAAAUGUUUGUUUUUUGCAAUUUUUGGCAUAUGCAAUCUCGAAGUAUAUACAAACAUUUUUUACGGUUGGAUCGUUGAAACUAGUUUCAUAGAAUGCGUAUCCUAUCAAAACAAUAGAUUCACUAACACUUAAGAGUUUAUUCAUACUUUCAUCAAGUAUAACAUAAGAUUUUGUGGUAUCCACUAGUGUAAAUAUUUUAAAUUGAAGAUCAAAUUCAUUAAUUGUAUUUAUAUAGGGUCAAGGAGUAUAUCAUUAAAAAAUCAUCAAAGUCGGAGUUAAAAUAACCGUUAAAUUGUGAUUUUUCGUUUAUAACCGUCGAAAAGUUUUGUCCCGUUACUUGAUCUUUGAAUGUUUCUUUUUUGCAAUUUUUGGCCUAUGCGAUCUCGAAGCAUAUACAAACAAGUUUGACGGUUGGAUCGUUGAAACUAGUUUCGCAAAAUGCGUAUCUCAUCAAAACAAUAGAUUCACUAACACUUGAGAGUUUAUUUAUAUUUUCGCUAAGUAUAACAUAAGAUUUUGUAGUAUCCACUAGUGUAAAUAUUUUAAAUUGAAGAUCGAUUUCAUUCAUUGUAUUCAUAUAGGGUCAAAGAGUGUAGCUGUAAAAAAUCAUCAAAAUCGGAGUUAAAAUAACCGUUAAAUCGUGAUUUUUCUUUUAUAACCGUCAAAAGGUUUUGUCCUGUUACAUGAUCUCUGAAUUUUUAUUUUUUUGCAAUUUUUGGCAUAUGCGAUCUUGAAGUAUAUACAAACAUGUUUGACGGUUGGAUCGUUGAAACUAGUUUCGUCGAAUGCGUAUCCCAUCAAAACAAUAGAUUCACUAACACUUAAGAGUUUAUUCAUACUUUCAUCAAGUAUAACAUAAGAUUUUAUGGUAUCCACUAGUGUAAAUAUUUUAAAUUGAAGAUCGAAUUCAUUCAUUGUAUUCAUAUAGGGUCAACGAGUGUAGAUGUAAAAAAUCAUUAAAAUUGGAGUUAAAAUAACCGUUAAAUCGUGAUUUUUCGUUUAUAACCGUCGAAAAGUUUUGUCCCGUUACUUGAUCUCUGAAUGUUUGUUUUUUUCAAUUUUUGGCGUAUGCGAUCUCGAAGCAUAUACAAACAAGUUUGACGGUUGGAUCGUUGAAACUAGUCUCGCAAAAUGCGUAUCUCAUCAAAACAAUAUAUUCACUAACAAUUAAGAGUUUAUUCAUAUUUUCAUUAAGUAUAAUAUAAGAUUUUGUGGUAUCCACUAGUGUAAAUAUUUUAAAUUGAAGAUUGAAUUCAUUCAUUGUAUUCAUAUAGGGUCAAGGAGUGUAGCUGUAAAAAAUUAUCAAAAUUGGAGUUAAAAUAACCGUUAAAUCAUGAUUUUUCGUUUAUAACCGUCGAAAAGUUUUGUCUCGUUACUUGAUCUCUAAAUGUUUGUUUUUUGCAAUUUUUGGCGUAUGUGAUCUCGAAGUAUAUACAAACAUGUUUGACGGUUGGAUCGUUGAAACUAGUUUUGUAGAAUGCGUAUCCUAUCAAAACAAUAUAUUCACUAACACUUAAGAGUUUAUUCAUACUUUCAUCAAGUAUAACAUAAGAUUUUGUGGUAUCCACUAGUGUAAAUAUUUUAAAUUGAAGAUCAAAUUCAUUCAUUGUAUUCAUAUACGGUCAAUGAGUGUAGCUGUAAAAAAUCAUCAAAAUCAGAGUUAAAAUAACCGUUAAAUCUUGAUUUUUCGUUUAUAACCGUCGGAAAGUUUUGUCUCGUUACUUGAUCUGUGAAUGUUUGUUUUUUUGUAAUUUUUUGCUGAUGCGAUCUCGAAGCAUAUACAAACAAGUUUGACGGUUGGAUCGUUGAAAUUAGUUUCGUAUAAUUCGUAUCCCAUGAAGUUCAGUGGUGUGUGUGUAUAUAUAUAUUUAUUUAUUUAUUAAGUAGAUUUAAAUCUAUUUAUUUUGUAUGUAUAAUUAUUAUAGUUUUUAGGGGUAUAAAAUUUAAUAUAUAUAUAUAUAUAUAUAUAUAUAUAUAUAUAUAUAUAUAUAUAGAACUAUUAUAGUUAAUAUUUUGGGGGUAUAAUUAUUAUAGUAUAUAUAAUUAUUAUAAUUAUUAUAGUUAAUUUAAUAUAUAUAUAUAAUUAUUAUAGUUUUUAGGGGUAUAAAAUUGUUAAAUUAAUAUAUAUAAUUAUUAUAGUAUUUUUUUUAGGGUUAUAAAUUAUUAAAUUAAUAUUCUGCUUAUCGUGUAUCGUGUUACCCACGUGUAUACCCGAACAACCCAUUAUCUUAACAGGUGCUUAUCGGGUUACCCGAUAACGACCCGCUUCGUUAUCGUGUCGACCCGAACACCUGUUAAUUUCGUGUCGUGUCGUGUCAGAUUAUCGGGUCGUGUCAGGAAUUGCCAGGCCUAGCAAUAACAUUGGUGAAUGUGGUUUUGAUUCUGUUUAUAAGGUAUUCUUUGGAGCAAAUAAUUUAUUUAUUGAUUAUAUAUUUUUUUCUAGUUUGACACUGUCCGUUCUAAUGAAAGUUAAUUUGCUCCAUAGUGAUGCGAAUUUGACUAUCUUUCUUAAAUGUAGGGCAUUCUAGCAGAUGGCACCGUAAUAACUAUUAAGCAGCUGUCUUCCAAAUCAAAGCAAGGGAAUCAUGAAUUUGUUAAUGAGAUUGGCAUGAUUUCUGCUCUGCAACACCCUCAUCUUGUCAAGCUCCACAUAUGUUGUAUUGAAAGAAAUCAAUUAUUGCUUGUCUAUAAGUACCUGGAAAAUUAUAGCAUCGCUCAUGCUUAUCUUCAGUAAAUAUUAGUCUUGUUUGCCAAAAGUUCAUUUCAUCAUAUAGUGGCAUAAAAGAUCUUAUGCACUAAAAAUAUGUCCCUUACAACUAACUUUGUUUAAUUUGGCAAAUUGAACGGGUGAAGAAAGUCAUUAGAAGUUGGAUUGGCCAACAAGGCACAAGAUUUGUAUUGUUACAGCAAGAGGUUUGGCUUAUCUUCAUGAGGAAUCAAGAUUGAAGGUCGUUCAUAGAGACAUCAAGGCUACUAAUGUUCUGCUUGAUAAAAAUCUUAACCAGAAAAUAUCUAACUUUGGAUUGGCCAAGCUUGAUAAAGAGGAUAAUACACACAUUAGCACCCGUAUUGCUAGAACUUAGUGAGUCCCUAAACUUUUAUUUAUCUUCUUAUUCUCUUGUUUUGAUCUUCUUCCACCCUUAAAAAAGAAGAUAGAGCAAUGGAAAGUCUAUAACUUACAUAAUUUUCAACCUAACCAAAUCUUUGUUGUUCAAGAAAUUUCAAGGGCAGAUUUGUUCUUUGAAUAUAGUUGUAUUACUAUGUAUCUCUCUAACUAUUGCAUUAAUCUUAAGUAUUCAAUUAGCAAUAUUUUUACUAAUUAUUUUAGCUAAAUCUGGGUUAAUGAUGUGAUUUCAUGAUUUGCAGUGGAUACAUGGCGCCCGAAUAUGCAAUACGGGGUUAUCUGACUGAUAAAGCAUAUGUCUAUAGUUUUGGUACUCUCGUAUUGGAAAUUGUUAGCGGGAGAAACAACACAACUUACUGGAAAAAGGAAGAAAGCUUUUAUCUUCUUGAUUGGGUAACAUGAAUCCACUACUUCCUAAUUUAACUUCAAAUUUUCUUAAUAUACCUUAUAUAUGUGAAAGUACAUUUGAAUCGGUGAAGUUUAAACCAAAGACAGAAUUUAUAUUGCUUUUGUUACAUCCAUUUUUUGUAGGCACGACUUCUAAAAGAGCAAGGGAAUUUGAUGGACCUAGUUGAUCCAAGGUUGGAAUCAGACUUUAACAAAGACGAGAUGACUGUUGCAAUCAAUGUGGCUCUCCUUUGUUGCAAUGUUACUUCGACAGCUAGGCCUACCAUGUCUUUGAUUGUGAGCAUGCUCGAAGGAAAGGCUGUUGUUCAGGAGUUGGUCUCGGAUCCAAAUGCUGAGAGUAUUGAGAUCGAUGCAAUGAGGAAACAUUUUCAAUCUAGUUUUGGAAGGGGCAUGGGCGAGAAACAGAUAGAAACAGAGUCAAUUGAAGGGCCAUGAACUGCUUCGUCUGCGUCUGCUCACGAUCUUUAUCUCGUCAAUCCUGAUUCAAAUUACUGGGGGAACAGAAGCGAGAGAACUUGAGCUGCACGGUUAUCAGUUCGACUUAACCUUAGCACACUCAAAACAUAUCAGCUAAUAAAUCAUCUGUAUUUCCUCUAUAACUAUUUUCUUUUUUUUGUUUGAUAAUAUAGUAGAAAGCAUAAUUGAAGAAGUUUCUACAGCAUGGUAAUUGUAAAAUCAGUUCUUUUCAGUAUUUUGUAGUAUGAUAAAAUGAUUUUCUUUUCGAAUAAUCGAAUAGAGUAAGUUGGUUGAACACUAUACUAUUUUGGCUAUGUGGUGGUUUGUGAAGAGAGGAGAUAAUGUACACCAAAUUCGAAAAGGAUGGGAAUAGAGUAAGUUGAUUAAGAGAAGGAACUUAAAUUUAGUAAAAUCGGAAAUCAUUUGUGGAGGAUUUUUCUAUAUCAAUAUAUUGUUAAUAUACAAGGUAAAGCAAGAUUCAGAGGAUAUGCAUGAAAAGAAAAAUGAUACCUGACGUAAAUCAUUGCCAAAAAGAUAAACAAAUUGCCAAGUUUUCUUAAAUUUAGUUUUGGAAGUUCUGAAAUUUACUUCAAUUGCAUUGAUUUUGAUUGUACUAGAAUACAGGUAUAUAUAAAUACAAGAAUUCCUACUACAUAGGUAAUUGGUACAAACUAAGUAAUCAGCCUGUGAUGCUUUACCUUAUUAAGAACGCCCAACUUGCCUAAUAGAGAUUUAAAAUGUUCAUUCCCCAAAGCUUUAGUGAAAAUGUCGGCAAGCUGUGACAUGUUGACAACUUUUCAUUCCAUGAUUUUAUUUCCGACAAAGUAACAAUCAAUCUCAAUACGUUCAUGAAAUACUGAAUUUGCGGCAAUGUGAAGAGCAGCGUGAUUAUCACAAAACAAAGUUGCAGCCCCCUUGUUGCCAAGUUAUAGACCACGAAAUAGAUUUUGUAACCAAGCCAACUCGCAAUAGGCUGCUGCCAUGGAUCUAUACUCUGCUUCGGCAGAGGACAAAGAAAUUGUCUUUUGACGUUUGUUGUUCCACGAAACAAGAGAGUCUCCAAGAAAAACUCAAGAAUCAGUGGCGGGUCGCAGAGUGGUUGGCCAUCCUAUCCUAUCCAAGUCACAAUAUGCAUUCAACUUCAAAUCAUUUUCUGAAGAAAACAUAAUACCUCGUCCGGGUGUCCGUUUUAAGUAUCUCAAAAUCCAUAAUGCAGCCUCAUAUCAUGGCUUCCGAGGUGCUUACAUGAAUCUACUCAACAAGUGGACCAAGUACAUGAUAUUUGGCUAGGUAAUAGUGAGAUAAAUUGGACGACCAAUCAAUCUCCUAUAUUUAACAUGAUCAUUGAGAAUUUCACCCUCAUUAGGAGAAAUUUUUCAUUGUAACGAGAACACACGUGGUAAACCACGUGUCAUUGUGUAAGUGGUGGAAAAUUUUAUUUUUUAAGCUAUUACCUUUUUAACACACAUAUGAUAUAUCCUACCAUUUAUACAGUAACACGUGGUGUACCACUUCGUAUGCCGGUCACUCUGAAAAAUCUCUCCCUCAUCAGAAAGCAAUUUGAGAUUUUGCUCCAUAGAGAAAGUGCAAGGUUGUGAUCCUAAAAGACCCACAUCAUUGAGAAUAUCCAACAAGCAUUUCCUUUGUGACAUAAAAAUCCCCCUUUUUUAACACGCCAUUUCUAUGCCCAAAAAGUAUUUUAAAUUACUAAGAUCUUUGCUAUAGAACUUGGUAUUUAAAAAAUGUUUUAGACUAUUAAUUGCAGUUGAAUCAUUUUCUAUAAUCAAAAUGUCGUCAACAUAAAUAAGGGGUGAAGUAAAUGACUUGCCUUUGUGUUUAGUGAAAAGCGAAUAAUUUGCUUUUGAUUGAACAUAACCGGCGAACCGAAUGGCUUGCGAAAACUUGAAAAAUCAUUGUCGAGAGACUUGCUUCAAACCAUAAAGUGAUUUAUUGAGGCAACAUAUCAGUUUCUCCCCCUAUCGGCGAAGAUUGAAAGGUGGGACCAUGUAUAUUUCCUCCAUGAGAUCACCAUGAAAGAAGGCAUUAUGAACAUCCUAUUGAUGUAAAGACCAUGAAUAGGCGGUGGCAAGAGCAAUAAGGCAGCGGAAUGUGACCAGUUUGACAGUAGGGGAAAGAUAUCAUGAUAAUCAAUACCCUUUGAGUGUACCUCUUAGCGACCAAAUGAGCUUUGUAACACUUAAUACCAUUGGAUUAGUACUUGACUUUGUAGACCCAUUUGCAACCAAUGAGUGAUACUCCAUAUGUUGUUAGCCUUGAGAGCUUGGAUUUUGUCAUCCAUGACUUGAUUCCAUUUAGGAUAUGUGCAAGCUUCUGCUUAUGUGGUUGGCUCCAUAUGGUAGAAAUACUAGCAAGAAAGGUAGAAUAUAGGGGCAACAAGUGGAUACCUGGUACUGGAACUGGAAGACGAGGGCGUAAUGGGGCAAUGUAAGAGAGGGACAAACAUAGUCACUGAGCUUCGCAGGUGGAGUUAUGAGGCGAUUACAUCCUCGUAAAGGGAUAUCAGAGAGCUAGUCAUCAGGCUGCAUGGUAGGGAGCUGAUCAUCAGGCUGCGUGUCAGGGAACUAAUCAUCAAGCUUCGUGAUAGGGGCAAGGUGCUCAUCAGGUGACUACAUGUUAGAAAGCUGAUCAUCAGGAGCAAUAUCAACAGAUGUCUCGACAUUUUGUAGGGCAUUGGUGGGGUCAUGCAGUUUAUGAGAUAGUGAGCAAGGCUCAAUGCAUGGAUUGAAUAUAGGUGUCUGAUAGCUAUUUGUAAGGGGAUUUAAUUCUUUUUGGCCAUGAUAGGGAAACAAAUCCUCGUAAAAAACAUCUCGACUCGUAAAAAUAUGUUUGGAUUGAAGAUCAUAUAAUUUGUAUAUUUUUGUCCUAAAAGGUACCCAAUGAAAAUUCAGGAGGGUGCCAUCAGAUAAGCCCACGGUAGGCAAUGGUGGUUUAAAUGUUGCUUGGGCCAAUGGAAGACCUGAAACGUGGUAUGUUGCACCACUGUCUAAUACCGACUCGUUAGAAACCCUACCUGCAGCGGUGACUGCGUGGGCUUUGCUUUCCAGGCCUACCUUAUGGCUCAUCAGCGAUAAAAGUUACUGGAACUGCUUUUGAAUAAGGUUGGGCAUCAUGUCAGCACACCCUGUGGAUUAAAUGUUGUUGACCAAUGAAACCCCCCUCUGGAACUGUUACCUUUAGUUUUCUUUUUGUGAUCGCCAUCACAGGUUUCUCUGGAUUUUCCAUGAAGACAAUGACUAGGCAGAUAAUCGUGAAGUAUUUCCAGCAGGUGUCAAAGGUGUGAUGGUCAUGGUCACAGUACAAACAGUGGAAAGGUUUACGUUCUAUCGAUCGUUCCUUGCCAUUAUUGGAUGAAGACUGCACCGCCAUGGCUGCGGGUUCAAUCAAGGCUUGCACAAUGGUUAUGCCUCAUUGCUUCUCUUCCUGAUAAAAGAGAGAAUAGAUCUUGCAAAUGAACAGAAGGGUUGCAUUGUUGAAUAUCUCACUUCUAACUCAUCAUUGCUAGCUCAUCAAAACAGUUGUAAAUGAUUGGAUGAUGUAAUAGUUAGUUGAAAAAGUUAGUUAGAGUUUGUUGCUCAAAGCUUAUGAGCUAGGUCCUAUAGGCUAUAUAGUCAACUAUAUAUAGCUGUCGUAAACAUGAUCUUUUGUCAUGAUCUUAUCAAACAUGAAGCACGUGAUUCUGUCUCAGGUUUCUUUUGGGUAAAUGAUAUGGCAGGGUCUUGAAGCUUGAUUCAAUUGUGGGAGGCAAGUUAUGGAAAAAUAUUGAUGUGCUCAUCUUUAACACUUGGCAUUGGUAGAAUCGUAGAUGACCCUCUCAAUCGUGAACAUAUCUUCAAUUUGGAGAAACAGUAAUGUGUUGGCAACCAGCAACAUCUUCAGUUUGGAUAAACAGCACUGGAGCUGUAGAAUCAGCCGAUCGAGGAUCACCUUCAGUUUGGAUAAAUAACAUUGUUUUGAGACCAACUGGUUAUCUAUCCAAGUUUUGGCCAUCAAAGAUUUCCGAAUCUUUGUUGGAAGAUGUCAUCUCAUUAGCCUUCUAGGUAAAGUGAGGUGUUACAAGGUUACGACAUUCGGCACACUGAAAGUCAAAUACUUAUUGAACUUCGCAGAACUAGUAGCCUUGUCUUCAGACUCCAGAACCCAAAGGUCAAUAUGUGUUCCAUCCUCGACUGCAGUCACAAGAUUCAGAAGUCAUUAGCGCGCCUAACACCACAUUAACAUUCAUUCACUCCCCGGCCAAGCUCGGCCAACGAGUUGGCACGCCUUACAUUCAACUAAAGGAUGUAGUUAGCUUAUUAGCUAUUCGGCCUAUACACCACGUAGGCUAAGUAGUUUUUAAGGUGAACACCAUGGCAUCAAUCAAAUUAAUAGUCUCUUAUUUUCUCUUUUUUUUUUUAAUUUUAAUUUUAGUGGCAGUGAGUGGCAUGAACCAAGGGCAAGAAGAUGUGUAGGGCAGAAUGAGCCUUUGCUUAGGUCGACCUAUCCAGGAGCUUUGCCACCAGCUCUGGGUGCGCUGAGGAAUGUGUUAAGCACAAUAAAAAAGCUCGUGACAUUGCAAGAUAUAACAAGCCUCUCACUCAUGCGUAAAGAUGGACAUCCUUCAAUCUAUGGACUGGGAGGCCAAUAACUGCAAGCAAGGAAUGGAUGACAAUGGUAGCAAUAGCUGCAACAGGCCAACAUAUAAAAAUAGGAUAUUACUAGAGAAACUAAAUUUUUUAAAUUAAAUUUCAAACCAAAUGAUUUGUCAACAAUAAGAAACAAGUACGUUAAUAGACACUUAAUUAAUAAUCCAAUCAUCUACAACCACAUCAUUUAGUUUGCAAAUUUGGUUUUAAAAAAUUUAGUUUUCCUAGCAUUACUCUAUCCAUAAAGAUAACAUCUAGGGAAACCCAAUCGGUGAAGUAUAGCAAACAACUAUUCACUAAGGAAUGAGGAUCCUCUUCGAAUCCAUUUUGUGAGGAUCUCAAGAAUCAUUCAAUCACGUCUGUUCAUCGUACAUCGUGUGGUAACAAUUAUUGUAAAUUUUUUUAUUUAAAAUUAAAUAUAAAUAAUACCUGAUGAAAACUGGUAAUGUACAAUGAACAGACAUGAUUUGAGGAUUGCCGAGAUUCUCACAAAAAUUAUCCGGAAAGGACCCCCAUUCUUCACUAAGGAAUAAACUAGAAAUUAUAAUAUUAAAAUGCAUAAUGGUUACCAAGCAAGCAAAUUUAUUGGGACUUGGAUUGUUUGCCUCCCCAUCCCAUACCCUCCAUAUGCCCUUAUAUUUCUAUGGUCAUGGUUAAACCACGUUAACAUUUUAUAUUUGCAUUGCUUUUUGUUUUAUUAUUUUUAUAAAAAAAAUUAAUAUAAAAUAUUGACGUGAUUUAACCGUGACCACAAAAUAUAGGAGGGCAUGAGAAAUGUAUAGAAUGGGGGAGGACAGACAAUCCAAGUCCAAUUUAUUGGCCUUGAAGUACCCAUGCCUGCAGAAGACAGAACCCAAAGUAACUCGGGAACUCAAACGUGGCCAAUUCAUCCAAGCAAAACAAUUAAAGCAUCCAAGGAGCCGAAACGACAUCCCAUUACAACCAUUAAACAUCAAGGAGAAUGGAAAACAUAUGAACUUUUUUUAUGAUGCUUUAUGAAUGAUGAAUUGAAAUAUAAACGGCUCAUACCUUUGAAAAAAAAGAAUUACAAAAUGAAAACCACAAAAAUUGUGUUAAAAUGUGUGUCAAAUAUAUGAGGAUGUGUAUAUAUAUGCACACCCACAUAUACACACACACACUUAAACGUGUAGCACUGGGUAUAGGUAGCAAAAGGCCACUUGUGAUGAGUGCUUGAUUCUAAAAUGUAGUAUUUCUCUCAAACAUUUGACUAUUACUUUAGUCAUGGAAUGCUGAUCAAAAUGCAAUUAAAUAGUAUCACUUAGAAUCAUAACUCUUGGCUUAUAGUAUGAAAAAAUAACAGAACAUUUGUAUAUUGCUUGCAAGUAAUUAGCUUCAGUUAGUCAACUCCAGCAACUUGAUUAAGAAAGCAUGUACAUAGAGCUGCGCAAUUACCAUGUCCACAUUUCCUGAUCAGGAAAUUUCCCAUGCUUGGCUUAGUUGAAAAUAGCAGAUAAGUCAAGAGUGUAUUUUAAAUUACUGUUACUUAAUUAUUCUAAAGUUCAUAAUCAAUAUUAAUUACUAGCAGCUUAUUAUAUACUGUUGUCAAAAUCGUGAGUUGGACUGUUGGUAAGGGUUUUUAAUUAGGGAACUUUAACGAAAAGCACCCGGUACUGUUCAUUUUAACGAAAAACCACAUUUUUACACUAAAAAGUCAAUUUUGGUACUAUUCACUUUACCUUUUAUUUUGUCCUUAUCAUUAAAACUCAAAGUUUUCAAGCUCUUUUCAUUAGUUUUCCUUUUUAAUUAAGCUGACUUUGGGCCCCAAAUAAUAAAGUGUCGACAUAAUACCUGUUACUUCAACAACAACGAAUAUGAAAAAAAAAAAACCCUUGAUUGUCAGUUGCUUGUUGUAAAUAUAAUUUUUUAUGUAAUCUUUCGUUUUCUUCCUGCUUACGUCCAUUGUCAGCUAAACAUCAGCUCUUUGUUUUUGUUGUUAAAAAACGGCUUUCUAAUAUUAUAGAAUUCCCACUUGAUCUAACAAUUGGGAUAAUUAUUCGAAAGAAAAAAAUACAAUUGAGAUAAUUAUAACAAAUCAUCUCAACUAUUUGCAGUUUUACUUUAAAAAAAAAAAAAUCUCACAUACGUCUCAAUCAUCCAUAAUGAUCAGAUGACUAAAAUUUCACAUCCGUCUCGAACAACCAUUUAUGUUAAAAUUGACUAAAAUGCAAAAUUCUCAUAUAUUAGAGUCUUUAAAUUGGAUCCUCACUACAGAAUGUCACUUGGUUGUGUAUGCGUAUCUUUAGCUGAAUCUGGCCGGCCACAGGUAUCGGUCAAAAAAACAGGUUUUCAAAAUCUGUUUUUUAUGAUAUUGUUCUACUAGAAUUUGUCUUUGAUUAGUAUUGUCCAUAGACUAUGUUCGAGAGAGCUCCCAAACUUGACCUCGGGAGGCGUUCAGUGUUUCGUGAUACAAUAAUAUAGUCCAUACAAAUUUUCUUGCUGAUUAUAUUCCACAGUAUGAUCCAAUACUUUUUGGUAAUUUAGGUCAUGAUUAUCAAUUCAAUAACUCCCACCUUAUACCUUUAAAGCCAAAAGUAACAUAAGGGGCAGAUCCGUGUUAUCACAUUUUUACACAACUUUUUAUUCUUAUUUUUCGUGAGAAUCAUUCUGUAAUGUAUUUCAAUAAUCCGAACGUCUAUCUUUUAGGUUUUUCUUCAAAUAUCAUGUAUACCAAGAAUCACCUAAAUAUGAAAUCAUAUGACUGUUGAAUGUCUUCACAGUUUUAUAUUUGUCUAAUUUUUUACAAGAAUCAUCCAUGAAUGAUUUUCUAAAAAAAUAGACGUUCAAAUCGUUAAAAGUACAUUACAAAUUUGACCCCACAAAACCUGUGUAAAAAAUUAUGUAAAAAAAAUAGUGCCACGGAUUCGCUAUAUAUAUAUAUAUAUAUAUAUCCAUACAUUUUUUUUACUUCUCACAUACCUCUUAUUAAUUUCUGUCCUUUGAUAUAUAUAUAAAAAAAAUCUUCUUCAAUUCAUCCAAUCCGAUGGCCGAAAAUUAAAAGUGUGUGAGAAGUAAAAAGAAGUGUGUAAAUAGCACACAUCAUCUAAAAAACCAUUAACGAACGGGCCUGUAAUUCCAAAUUUACAAGUUUUUACUCCCAAAAGAGACAGAGCUUAUUAAUUUUGAAUUUUUUUAAUUUUCUGAUUGACUUGGGGUUGGGGUAAGUACGGAAUAUAGCGCUUGAUCUGUUGAAAUGUCCCACAUCGACCGUAUCAAUGAAAAAAGAAGAGUUUAAAUACCCUAAUCUCACUUUAACUAAUACCGAGGUCUUCUGUAAUAAAACCACAUAUCUGACGGAUUGUGCAUAUGGUAAUUACCAAGUUGGGGACAAUAUCGGUGUUGUUGGAAGUGGGCCGUGUGGUUCGUCUCUUUGAUAAUUCUACAUGGUAUCAAAGCCAAGAAGCUGGCAUGUACCGUACUGCCACGUGAUUGGUGGGUCCCCUUGGCCCCGCGCGAUGAUGGUGGGUCCCUUGGUCCCGCGUGUAGAGUGAGUCCUCUUGACUCCACGUGGUUGUCGAUGUGUGGAUCUCCCACGUGUGACCUGGUAAUUGGGUCCCACAUGAGGGGGGUGUUGAAAUGUCCCACAUCGACCGUAUCAAUGACAAAAGAAGAGUUUAAAUAUCAUAAUCUCACUUCAACUAAUACCGAAGCCUUUUGUGAUAAAACCCCACAUCUGACGGAUUGUGCAGGUAGUAAUUACUAAAUUGAGGACAAUAUCGGUGUUGUUGGAAGUGGGUCGUGUGGCCCAUCUCUCUAAUAAUUCUACAUGAUCACGGCUGAAUAGUCAAUUGGGUCCCACGUGAGGGGAGUGUUGAAAUGUCCCACAUCGACCGUAUCAAUGACAAAAGAAAAGUUUAAAUAUCAUAAUCUCACUCCAACUAAUACCGAAGCUUUUUGUGAUAAAACUUCAUACCUGACAGAUUAUGCAGGUAGUAAUUACUAAAUUGAGAACAUUAUCGAUGUUGUUGAAAGUGAGCCGUAUGGUCCAUCUCUCUAAUAAUUCUACAUGAUCACGGCUGAAUAGUCAAUUGAUCGUAUCAUAUACCAACGAACCUUUGCUUUUGAUUGAGUAGUUGUGAAGAAGUCAAGGUCGUGUAAGAUUAAUUUUCAAACUACAAUUAUUUAGCCUUCUAUCAUUCUGUGCCAUUCAUUUGUUUUAGCUAAAUGUAGACAUGCACUUAAUUUCAUGCCCGACUUUUAAAAAUGAAUAUGACUUUUCUCUUUAAUUUGUCGUGUCACCGGUUUAAAAGCUCCGAUCUUCACAGUGUAGCUUAGAUUAUUAAUAAUAACAUCGAUUGUAAUAAAAAUAUAUAUAUAUUCUCAAAACACAAAAAGGGUUAUUAAUAAAAAUAUAUAUAUUCUCAAAACACAAAAAGGGUUAUUUUUUUCAUUUUCAGAUUAUGUUGGACACGGAAUAGGAUCCUCUGGAUUUGUGGGGAUCUGAAAGAUCAAUUAAAUCGGUGUAUUGAGCAAAUAAUACUAGUUACUUCAACAAAAAAAAAAAAACAGUUACAACUAAUUAUUUUUGAUCGUCAGUUGCUAGUUACAAAUAUAGCUAAUGUCCUGUGACCUCGUAAUAUUUUUAUGAAAAUUUUCAUUUUCUUUGUCAACUAAAAAAAUACUCUUUAUUUUUGUUGUUAAAAAACAACUUUCCAAUAUUAUAGAAUUCCCACUUGAUCUAACAAACGCAUCAAAAUGAUACCUGAAAUUGAAAAUUGAUCAAUGUCGUCUAUGAAUAUGGAGAUUGUUGUCGGUGGCUAAGUUCAAAGAAGAAGGAGAAGAUGAGGAUUAUUAGUUUGUUGUUUUUCUUCUUUUUACCUUUUAAAUUUUUUGAAACACUUUAUUUAAUCCAUAUGUUAUCAUAUUAUUGGAGUGCAGAGUCUUAUGUGUGUCACAUAAACACAUAAUAGAUUUUUUUAACAGAAAUAAGACAGAAGACGACAUUGAUUUGCAACACCCAUAUUCAGGGACGAUAUUAUUCAAUUUUCAGCUUCAGAUAUCAUCUUGAUGUGAUGGGUCAAUUUCAGAAACCACUUAUAACAAAAAUGUAAUAUAAUAUAAUAACGUAAGUUUAACAAGUCACUACCUGUGAAACCAGUCUUUUUAACAUGUUACUAAGGAGCCUAUCUAUUGUCAAACGAUAAGAUAAUUAUAUUAAAUUUAACUAAAUUACGGCAAGUGGAAUUCAAACUUGGUGCAUAAUAAAACACAGUGAUGUAACUAGCUUGGCUAAACUAAAAUCUUCUAUUUUAAAUUAAUUCUUUUACAAGUAAUUUAUGUAAAUGUAUCUUUAAUUAUAUAAAUAAUUAAAUAAAAAUAAAUAGAGUAAGUGGUUGGGAACAAGGUCUAAAAUAUCGAUAUUAUCCCGAUAUUUCCAUCGAAAUUUUCAUGUUUUUGGACUAUCGAUAUUUUCGAUAUCAUCAAUAUUUUAGACCUUGAUAGGAACUCUAUGUGGUACUAAGUCACUCAUGUAUCUUACCAUGCAAUGUAUAAAGUGUAAAAUAUUGUACUAAUUCAUUAUAUAUAAAUGAUUAUGGUGUGUUUAAACUUCUUUCAUUAAUUACUACAUAUUUUUACACUCACAAUGUUUGCCAGCUCGCUAUAUAAUUAACUUAAAUCAGUUAAAUCCAUCAUGCAAUGCAUUUCUUUCCAAUUUUUUGUGAUAAACUAAUAGAUAAUUGACUAAAUAAACAUCCUGCAAAGUUUUAAUAAAAAUUUCCAAGUUUUUCUUAUAAUUUCCGUGGUUUUUAUUCAAUUUUUAUCGAUAUCGAUAAUAUCCCGAUAUUUCCAUCGAAAUUUCCGUGUUUUUGGACUACCGAUAUUUCCGAUUUCAUCGAUAUUUUAGACCCUUCUUGGGAAUAAUAUAUAUUUUUUCCUUUCUUGUUUGGUCUUUGGUUUUAAGGAAAAUUAAUGAAAAUGACUUGAAAACUUUGAGUUUUAACAAUAAUGACAAACUAAAGGGUAAAGUGAAUAGUAUCAUGAUUGACUUUUUAGUAUAAAAAUAUGAUUUUUCGUUAAAAUGAACAGUACCACAAGCUUUUCGUUAAAAUUCCCUUAGUUUUAAGGGCAAGGUAACACAAGUCAUUGACUUCCGUUUGUGUCCUUCGAGGUCCACUCCUUCCCUCCCCUCAAGGGAAUAAAAACCUGUAAUUCAGACUCAUUCUCCUCACAAAUCCUUCUUUCUUCGCUACUCUAAAAAAAUUUCAUACAUACAAUCCAACAAAUUCCAAAACCUCUCAACAUAUUCCAUCCAGCUAGCUGCACAAACUGAUCCUUUUGUCUCUGGUUUUGUCUUCAAAUGUGAAAGACUUUGCCUAGAAAAAUGAUGAAUAUGUUCUUCCCUCGACUUCUUCCUCAUUCUCUUUUCUUUGUAGCUUGCUUUGUAACUUUUGCCUUUGGAGCUGCUCGAUUGCCAAAUGAUGAAGGUACGAGUAAUUCACCUCAAUAUCUCUAUGUCAAAUAUCUUCCUUAGUUUCCUCUGUUUCAUUCUAUAAAUGAUAGUUUUAAGUUCGUUUGAUAAUUUUUUUAAUUUUCAAUUCUUUUUGAGUUCUCAAAUUUUGGUUUGGUUUUUCCGAGAAGUGAAAACAGUUACCAAUGAACUAAAAAUUAAAAUGGUUAUCAAAUGAACCUUAGGUAAACAGAUAUUUGUGUGAACUUAGUAGAAAUUUUCAAUCAUAUAAGGUGCACUCUGUAGUUCUUGUCUAUGCAUCAAUUUUUUUUUUUUACUAUUUUGUUGAGCACGAUGUUAAUUUGUUGCCUUUUAUUUUGCGUAUAUGCAGUGCAAAUUUUGAAAGACAUAGCAAAGACACUGGGGAAGACGGACUGGGAUUUCAGUGGAGAUGCAGAUCCAUGCAGCGGCCAACUUCCAUGGGCUGAUCCAAGCGCACCCAAAGGAUUAGAGAAUGCCAUCAGCUGUAAUUGCUCCUACGAAAACUCCACCGUCUGCUAUAUUACCAGCAUGUAAACCUCUCUCACUCUCUCUCUCUCUCUCUCUCUCUCUCUCUCUCUCUCAAAAAUAAACAUGGCCGGCUCAGAACUCAGUGAGAUUUUUCAAUGUGAUGGUAUAUCACGUGACACGAUAUAAAUGGUGAGUAACUUGUAUUAAAAAAUUAACACAAUUUGAAACAUAAAACUUUUUUCACUUAUAUAACAACACGUAGUGUAUCUUCCGAAUAUAAUGAAAAAUUUGUUUUCAUCUCACAAGCUAAUACCAAAUAAUCUUAUCGGAAUUUUGUGAUUUAAAUUGAUGGGCAUUUAUUGGUCCACCCCCCGGGGCCCAAUCUAGGGAUAUUUUGAUAUUGCCGCCUCAUUUUUUAUUUCUUUUAAGAAUUUGAUUAAACAUUUUUUUAUACAAUUUUAUUAGAGGCACGUUUGGUUUUAUUAGUACAUUUGAUUUUAUGGACAUUUUGUUUUCUGGUACAUUUGGAAUUUAAACGUAACAAAAGUUGGUAUGUUUGUUUUUAAGUGUACCAUAACUUUUAAAUACAUUUUCUAUAUAACUAGUUAUACGUAAAAUUUUAAUAAGAUUAAAGAAGUUUUUUUAUGAAAAUAUUAAUGAAUUUUUUUAAUGAAAGAAGAGACUAAUUAAAUAUAAUAAAAAAAAUAAAAAGUUAUUUUUUUUAUAAUGAUAAUGAGGAAUUACUGAAAUUAAUAUUUUAAUGAAGCCAUGAAUUUAAAAUUCCUAGAUUGUAGGAAAUAGUUGUUAGAUAGUUUAAGUGAAUAUAUAUAUAUAUAUAUAUAUUAAAUAAAUAAAUAAAUAAAUGUUGAGUUGGAAAUUAAUCAAAACAUCUUAAUCAAAUUUUGUAAAAGAACAUAUGUUUAGUCUAAACAAGUUGAAAAAAAUGGAGGGAAUUCUUAAUUCUUUGUCUUCAAUUUAUUUGACACAUAAUAUGCACAUGAGAUUAUUGCGUUAGUAAACACCAAUUUAAGUACUUAAUGUGAUAAAGAGACAUAAGUUGGAAAAUAAACGUUUGGUUAUAUAGAAUUGUGAAUGAUUAACUUAUUUCUUAAGCGAUAAAAAAUUGCUCAUUAUAUUUUUCUUUUCUGGAUAAACAGUUUGUUCGUUGUGUUUUGAACGAGUUCCAUCUCAUGCAAUAUAUAGAAAUAUUACGAGAAAAAUAAAGAAAAAUUUGAGAAAAGAAUUAGCCAAUUAGGUGCUUCAUUAGUCGAAUAACUUGACUAAGCAAAAACAAUGUACAGAUUAGGCGCCUUUUGUUGUGAAAGGUUGAGAAUGAUAAGAUCAAAGUUUUUCAGUCUUUGUUAUAUCAAUCAUAUUAGAGAAGAAAAAAAAAAUAUAAGAAAGGUCUACGUCCACGUACCAUCCAGUCGACAUUAUAUAAUAUCUACAUGAAGACUUUGCAUUUUAGGUCAAUGAAUCUGAAUGAGCAGAAAUUUCUGUAAGUACUCGGUAUUCAAGCGAGUAAUUUAAGUGUUAUAAAUGAGCGAAGAAAUACAAAAAAAAAAAUAUUAUUAUUUGUAUUAAGAUAUGUGGUGUACUCUUUGAAAAAAUCUAUUCUCAAUGAGCACUUUCUAAUACUUUGUUAGGUUAGAUGUUAAAUUAGCUAGUGGCAUGAUUUGAACUCAUGUCGUCAUACAAAGCCUCAACACUUUUUCACCACUAUGGUAAAGAGUUACGAGUCACUUGCAUCCUACAGGGAAAAUUAACUAGCAUGUAGACUACUAUGCGAAAAAUAAGGGUUAAUCUCAGUUUACUACCUUGAAGUUUCGUGAUUUUCAACAUUUGAUACAUGAAGUUUUUUUCAUCACAGAGUCAUAUCUCAAGUAUUAAUUUUGGAACAGUAUCAUACAUUCAUUAAGUUGGCUGUUAAGUCACAGAGUCAUAUCUCAAGUAUUAAUUUUGAAACAAUAUCAUACAUUCGUUAAGUUGGUUGUUAAGUCAGCCGUUAACUGAUGACGUGACAUCCAUAUAGAUAAUAACUAAGCUCCACGUGUAAAUAUAGGCCAUAUAAAUAUUUAAAAAAUUAAAAAACUAAACAAAUAAAAAUAUGGCCUAUGGAUGCGGGCCUUCCCUUUCCUCCACCCGCACCAACUCUUUAUCUUCUUCUCUUCGACAGCCACCAGAGCUGAUCUGAAAAUCAGCACAACCUCGAAAUUUAAGCCCUAAUUCAACCUAAAUUUCAGAUAGAAGGGCUGGAUUAGUCCAUUAAUCUAAGCGUACGAUCCAAAAUCCAGUUCCCAAUUGUGUUCCUUUCCUCAAUAAACAGCCAGAGGGCUCAACGAAAUGAAGAAAUUACAAAGAGAUGUAUAGAAAACGCACCGUUUUGGAGGUAGGGGCCGUACUCGGUGGCAGAGAGGUGCAUCUUGAUAUAGUCGAGGGUCUCGCACUGGCAAAAGUUGUUGUAAUCAGCGGCGAGCGGUGACCCUGCACUAUGGCCUCCAAGUACCCGCCGUGAAUGUUGAAGAUCAUCGCUUCGAAUCCGUACACUUUCGCUGAAAUUUUGAAAAUUUACGCGAUCUGCCACUGCAUGAUCCGAAAAAUUGAACGUCUCGCGGGAGAGAGAGAGGAAGGGGACGAUCGGGGAACCAGAAACCCCCUUCUGCAGCGAAAUCAAUGGAAACCCUAGCGAUUUGCAGACGGAAGCUGAAAUCUGGAAAUUAACCGCGUGGGCGCCAAUGGAAACCCUAUGGGCUAUGGCUUUCUACUCUGGUUUGAAAUCUCCGCGAUGAAUGCCUCGUUGUUGUUGUCGACGGAGAAGAAAGAGAGAGAACCCAGGCCGUGGUGGUGCAGAUUUUCAGAUCAGCUUUGGUGGCUGUCGAAGAGAAGAAUAAACAAAACUUCAUAAUAAUAAACUGAGAUCGUUCCGAAAAAUAAAGAAAAAGUUGAGAAAAUAGCUUGACUAAGCAAAAGCAACGUACAGCUUAGGCGCCUUUUGUUGUGAAAGGUUGGGAAGGACAGGAUCAAAGUUUUUCAGUCUUUGUUAUACGAAUCACCUUGUAUAAUAUCUACGUGAAGACUUUUUUAGGUACUCGGUAUUCAAGUGAAUAAUUGAAGUGUUAUAAAUGAGUGAAGAAAUAUAAAAAAAAAUGUUAAUUUUCCAUUAUAUUAUGAUAUGUGAUGUGUUGCUUGAAAAAAAAAAGAGUAAUGUUAUUCAUACUAUAUUUUUGUACCAUAUUUUCAUACCAUCUUAGGUGGUAUUUGAUGUGGACAACCAUAUCAUUUGAAUUAAUCUGAUUUUUAAAUUUAGUUCAUUAUUUAAUAAACUAAUAAUUAAGAAAAACUAAUUAAUUAAAUAAUAAUUGUGGUAUACGAGGAGUUUUUCUCCUUCAUUUUCUUGGGUUUUGCAAAUUUUUCAAAUGAUGUGGCUGUCCACAUCAAAUGCCACAUAAGGUGAUAUAGAAAUGUGGUAUAAAAAUAUGGUAUGAAUAACAUUACUUGAAAAAAAAAUCUCUUCUUAAUAAGCGCUUUCUCCUAUAGAGAAUAGAUUUUGUUAGGUUAGGUGUUAAAUUAGCCAGCGAUCGGGUUUGAACCCACGUCGUUAUGUAAGAACUUAACUUUUCACCAUUGUAGUAAAUAACCACUUGCCUCCUACAGAGAAAAUUAACUAGGCAUGUAGACUAAGUGAGAAUAAUAACUAGGGCUGGUUCGGUAUGGGAUACCGAACCGAAAAUGACAUACCAAAUCCCGAACCGAAAAUUUUCGGGACUGGAAUAAGAGGACCGAUACCAACCGAAACUUCGGGAUUCCCAAAUUUCGGUAUUCCCAAAAAAAUUUCGGUAUUUCGGGAUUUCCCGAAACCGAACUUGCAUUGAAAUCCAAAUCAACUAAUUGAAAUCGAAAACAUUCGAACCUGCAUGAAAACCCCAAAAUGAAAUCAGAGAAGUGACAGUGAAUCAGUGAAGAUUGAUGGGAGAUAGAGAGACAGAGUGAAGAGAUAGUUCGUCCUCCUCCUGACCCGAGCCCCUAAUUCGAAACCCUAAUCCCCAAUUCGAAACCCUAAGCCCCAAUUCGAAACCCUAAUUUGAAACCCCACAUAGAGAAUCAAUGGAGAGAAUCGGAGGUGGGGAUGAAGCCGUGAUGUGUAGUGGUGGCCGGAGGGGAGAGAGUUCAUCGGAGUGAGACUGUGAGAGGGUGGUGGCUGCUAGGCUUCGAAUUCGAGAAGGAGAGACAGAGAGAAUCUGAGACUAAGUGAAGGGCCAAAGAUGAGAAAUGAGAGAGAGUAAGUAUGGAUGUGUCGGCUUGGGUUUGAAUUGAGUUGAAGGAAUGUUUUGGUGGCUUCGCCUUUCUGGGUUGCAAAGCAGAUGGAGAUAAUGAGAGAGAGAGAGAGAGCGAGAGCAGCAGACAGCACCCAUGUGCUUUGAUAAAACUUCAAACGCCAGGCACACAAUCAUAUCCUUAUCCCCACACUUAAGUUAUUUUAAUAAUAUAAAUAGGCCAUAUACAUAUAUUCCAACAUAUAUAUAACAAUAGGGUUUAAAGUUCGGUUCGGGAUGGGAAUACCGAACAAUUUUAAGUGUGAGACCGAAUCCCAUACCGAAAAAUUCGGGAUCGGUUUGGUUUUGGUACCAAAAUUUUCGGGAUUUUCGGUAUGGUUUCGGUAUGAUUUGGGAUUUUCGGUAUUUUUUUCCACCCCUAAUAAUAACUUACAUUGAACGAGUUAAAUAUCAUAAAAUUUUACACUUAAAAUUUAGUUCAUUAUUUAAUAAACUAAUAAUUAAGAAAAACUAGUUAAUUAAAUGAUAAUUGUAGUAUACGAGGAAUUUUUCUUCUUCCUUUUCUUGGGUUUUGCAAAAUUUUCAAAUGAUGUGGCUGUCCACAUCAAAUGCCACCUAAGGUGGUAUAGAAAUAUGGUAUAAAAACAUGGUAUGAAUAACAUUACUAGAAAAAAAAUCUCUUCUUAAUGAGCGCUUUCUCAUACAGAGAAUAGAUUUUGUUAGGUUAGGUGUUAAAUUACCCAGCGAUCGGGUUUGAACCCACGUCGUUAUGUAAGAGCUUAACUUUUCACCACUGUAGUAAAUAACCACUUGCCUCCUACAGAGAAAAUUAACUAAGUGAGAAUAAUAACUUACAUUGAACGAGUUAAAUAUCAUAAAAUUUUACGUUUAAUCAUAUUUUAAUACGUGUAAAUUUUUGUUAGCAUGAUAUAUAAUAUUAUAACAAAAAUAUUAAAAAUAAUAAAUUUGUUCGAUGUAAACUGAUCACAAGUGUGUGAGGAGAGAUGUUUUUCUUUCAAAAAAAAAGAUUAGCUGAUAGUUUCGUCAUGACAGGAGUCGAAAAAACUAGUAGAGAUAGCGAGGAGAGAUGUUGAUUAGAUGGUUGGAAUUCGGUUUUGUGGACCCCAUGUCUAUUCGAUAUAUGUAUCAAUCAAUUUUUCUUUUUCUUUUUUUUUUCUGUUAAAAAGUAUCAAUCAAUUUUUCAUUACAUAUCCCCUAACCUAACCCCAUGCCCAUGAAACCUCCAAAAUAAAGUAGGAAUUAUAAGGCUUAGUGUGGGCCUCAUCGAGUUGCCUAUUGGCAACUUGGCACGUCGUAUUCACUCAUUCAACCUUAUGUCGAGCAAGGUAGCUAGGCCGAUUGAUUUCAAUUGGAUUUGAGAGUUGUUAGUUUAAUAGCAAAGUCGAGCUCGUUUGUUUCUUUGUGAUUUUCUCACGCCCCGACCGUAGUUUUGGAGAGAUUUUUUAGUGUGCUAGGAGUACGAUCCGGUAUAUCAAGUAUUAUAAUACAAGUAGUUAUAUACUUGAAAUUUUUUUCCAACUGCUUAUAUUAUGACACUUAGUGAACCAGAUUUGUUUCCCCCGCACACAAAAUUUCUCCUACCUUUGGGGCGUAAAAAUUUUAAAGCUCUUAUUGUGUAUGUAAAACAAGUAAAUGUUGCUACCGUUUAGAGCUAUGAAAAGUGACUACCACUCGUCUUUUUCUCUUCAUGCACACUAUUGAUUUCUGGCCUUUGACGAAUCAAGGGGCAUGAAUAAAACCAAAUUAUGCAAUAAUCAUUUUCAUAAAGCUAUAAGUUAUUCUUGGCAUGCAAGUUGGAUUGAAAAUUUCGAUUUUAACCAAUUCUGUUCUUGUCGGUUUACGAACAAAAAAUAUGAAGCAAAUUGGAACGCAUCUUAAAAUUAGGCCGCCUUUGCCAUUGUUACACAGUUACUAAUUUGUGAUCCAUCAUUGGGUAUAAAGUCAAUAUAAUUCUGAUAUAUCUAGACACUAGUGGGGUUUCCAUUUUCCCAAAUCCUUUACCCUCUAGAUUUUUAAUUUUUCUUCAACCGGCAACCAAUUGGAAGUUUUUCUUGGUCUAAUAAGACCUUGUUGUGCCUUGACAUUCAAGAAAUGCAGAAAGACUAAUCCAUUUCUUUUAUUGAAUGACCAAUGAAACAUCAAUUACAACCUACCAUGGACCGCAAUUCAAGUUAAGCUUAUCUGCAAAAUCGAGUUCAUGGGAUGUGACAAAUUUGCUCAAUUAUGAUAGCAAUGUGUUUUUGAGCUGGCCAUGAGCCAGCAUAGAUGUUCUGUGGCAUGCUGAGUUGUUAGGACUUGGUAUUACAGCUGUGCUGUAUUUAGGCUUGAUUCUUGCAUACUUGAUCAACGUAUAAAAUUUCGCAGUCACCAUGAUUGUUGCGUACUUCUUAUACACGAACAACUUUGUAUCGGCCUAGUUAUUAGUUACAAAGUCGAUGAAAGAAUGAUUCACAAUAUGCUUGUAACAAAUACACACUUACCGUUUGUGUAAUUCUUCAAGUUCUAUUCUUUGUAAAGAACAUUGGACAUUUUCCUUCGGUUUUAAAGAAAACCAGUUCCUUCUUCCUAUUUAAUUCCCUGAUCAAAAGUAAGUAUUUUCUGUGAUAAAUUAGUGUUUUACCUGUUUGGUCCUAUUUGUGUGGCAGCUUUUCCUUUUAGUCACAGUAUAGAUGUGUAAUAGAUAUCUGUUAAUUUACAACUAAUCUUUGAAACCCUGUUUUCCGAUGAAACACAGAAUUCUAAAAUCCCAAGAUUUGCAAGGAACACUCCCACCAGAGCUGGUACAUCUCACCUAUCUUCAAGAAAUGUAAGCACAUUUUUACCCCUCCAAGUUUACAAUAUUUAAAGUAAAAAGAAAAUAACUAUGUGUCGUGUAAAUGGUUUAUUCUAAUUUCAUAUAUAGCUUACCUUUAUUUCUGUUGUCAAUGAGACAAUAACUGGUUUCCUUCUUUCUCCUUUAGCGACCUCACCCGCAACUACCUGAGUGGUACCAUCCCUCCAGAAUGGAGCUCUCUUCCACUAGUGAACAUGUACUAUCUUCUCUCACACUGCAUACAUUUUUGUGUUUGAUGCUCAUGUCAUGUUCUUGUUACUUUAUUUGGUCACUCCAAUGUUCUUCAGCCAUUUCUUUCUUAAACUAUGAAUCUAAUACAUUGGGUUUUGUUCAUGAUAAUGAGCUUCCGUGGUCAUGAGGUGUUUGAAUCAUAAAUAUUGAAUCGAACACAUGGGGUUCAUUGCCUUCGUAUUGAUGAACAUGUUAAUGUUAUUGAGUCUCUUGCUUGAUAAAAGUGAUCUUAAGAUUAUAGUUUUGAUGCAGAUCCCUUCUUGGAAAUCGUUUGACGGGUUCUAUCCCCAAAGAGCUUGGAGACAUCACCACCCUGAAGAGUUUGUGAGUGUUGAUUGAGCAUUUGUUUCUUGCUUACCUCAUUUGAUUAUGUGGAGAUCCUUAAUGAUGUUUUUUAAUCAAUGGAAUUGAAUUUGUUUGUAUAGGGACAUCAGUUUCAAUAAUUUUUCUGGACCUCUCCCUCAGGAGCUUGGAUCUUGGGCCAACAUAGAAAGAAUGUAAGAGUCCUAUUCAAAUUUUACCGUGUUAAAAAGUACUUGGUUUAUUUGGAAUUUUCUUUCUUAUAGACAAAUUCUGGAUGUUUUCACCAAUAAAUCAUCUACUUCUUUAUCAUUGAUAUAUUGUUAUAUCUGUUUCAUACUUAGGCUGCUUUCCUCAAACAACUUUAGUGGGGAGUUGCCAGAAACAUUUGCAAUGCUUACCAAAAUAAAGGACUUGUAAGCUUCUGUGGUUCUUUCUUCUUAAAGGUUUCCUGAGCACUUAUACAUUUUUUACUGCUUUCUGAUACUAAUUCGUAGUAUUUUCCCUUUUCCAAUCAUUAUGCAGUCGGGUUAGUGACAGUCACUUUUCCGAGCGGAUACCUGAUUUUAUUGAGAACUGGAUAAAUCUUGAAAAACUGUGAGUGUUUUUCUUUUGUGUGUCAUAUUUCUGCUAUAUGAUUCUGAAUAUUAUCUCUAAUUCAUAUGCUAUGACUCGUUGAAACAGAGUGAUUCAAGCUAGCGGUUUGACAGGGCCAAUUCCUUCUGGCAUUUCUCUUUUGACAAGCUUAACUGACUUGUUAGUAUAUCCCGUCUAUAUUUUUAAAUACAAAACGAUUAGCAAAAUGUGUAGUUUAUGUUCAUGGCUCAAUUUUAACAUGCAGGAGAAUCACUGACUUGAGUGGACCUGAAUCACCAAUUCCUUCACUUAAUAAGAUGAAAAACAUGAGGACACUGUGAGUUAAUGGUUCCAUGACACACAAUUUUUGUCUGUACCAGAAGUCUUCUGUAAACUCAAAGCUUUGGUGUCUGUUGCAGGAUGUUGAGGAGUUGCAACCUUAUUGGAAAGCUACCUCCAUAUCUUGCACAAAUGAACAAAUUGAAAACUUUGUAAGUUCAAAUGUCUUAGUCCCUAUUUUUUCCGUCUUCAAAUAAAAAAAAUUCUUCUAGAUGUGAUUCUACUAAUUCAAGAUUUAUUGAAGUGACUUAGACGAUGUUGGGUGGACUUUAUGUUUCUGUAUUUAUUAAGAGAACUUCUCUUUCAGAUGUCAUUUCCCUUUCUGCAGAGAGCACAUCUAAACUGCAUUUGCUAUUUGUUUGUGCAGAGACCUCAGCUUUAACAAGCUGACCGGAGAAAUUCCAAGCAGCUUCGGUAGUCUAGCAGAUGUGGUUUAUAUGUAAGCAAUUGGAAUGACCAAUCUAGUCUUUCUUACAUGGAAUUCAAGCAGACAUUCUUCAAUGGUUUUGUUACACCCCAGCCUGGCAAGCUGGAAGUAUUUCCAAUCACAGUUACUAUAAUUAUGAGUCACGGGUUAUACUGCAAUGAAAAUGAAAACGGCUCUUCUGCUCAGAAAUGAAAUGUUUAGUUUAUUCAUUAGAGUCAUUACUACUCGUGCAAUUAUCUGACAUAAGGUGAUCACCCUUAGAUGUGUCUUUCACAUGGAAGUACUGAUCUAAUGCACUCAGAGUUGGCAAACUCAAAUUUUCAAACCUUUACAAAGAACAAACACUAUUCUCUACUGAGUUUUUUCUGUAUUCAUUAUUUUUAGAUUCUUAACUGGAAACUUGCUGACUGGACCUGUACCUGCUUGGCCAAGAGUCAACGUGUAAGCUUCUCUUCCAAAUGCUACUCUUUAGCUACUAAGGAAAUUUAUGCUGUUUUUUUUACUAAGAUAGAUAUAAAACUAUUAUAUCAAUAUUGAGUUUUGGUUUCAAUAUUUGUUGUAUAUUUCAUUAUGAAGAUUACAAGAGAGUGAAGGCAACUCUUAUAGAGAGCCAAAAGAAAGCUACAAUAGAUUGUAGGAUAACUACACAAACACAAUCCCUAAAAUCUGCCCUAACAAAUGGAAAAGCAAAAACCAAAUUACAAGUAAAAAAGCUUUUACAAACAACUAAGAAAGGUUGAUGUAAGGUGAAUGACAAGGAAAGUGACUGGUGAAUGACAAGCUAUGGAAAGUGACUUUAGCCUAUGACUUAGCUAAAGUGAGGAUGACAACUCAUACAUACAACCCAUCCAUACAAUCCAUACAAACCGGUUUCAAUACACCCCCUCAAGCUGGAUCAAGGGGAUUGAUUGAUCCAAGCUUGCACAACAAACGCUGAAACUGAGUAGAGUCUAGUGCUUUUAUGAAUAAAUCAGCAAGUUGAUCGUGGCUGCAUGUGAACACGGUGUCUAUCACCUUGGAUUGAACUUGAGCACGAAUAUAAUGGCAGUCAACUUCAAUAUGUUUGGUCCUUUCAUGGAAUACUGGAUUGGAGGUAAUGUGCAUGGCAACUUGGUUAUCACAAUACAAGGAUAUAUGUGCCAUGCUUGUGAAUCCGAGCUCGGAAAGAAGACCUUUCAACCAUAUGAGUUCACAGGCUGUUGCUGUCAUAGCCCUAUACUCAGCUUCGGCGCUAGAUCGAGCAUUAAUAGUUUGUUUCUUGCUCUUCCAAGUGACAAGGUUCCCUCCAACAAAUAUGCAAAAACCUGUUGUGGAUUUUCGAUCAAGGGCAUUUUCAGCCCAGUCAGCAUCUGUGUGGGCCAAGAUGUGAUUUGAUCCAUUGUUCUUCAUAAUUAUCCCCCUUCCUACUGAGCCCUUGAGAUAUUGAAGUAUUCUCUUGACGAUUUCCCAGUGAACUAGAGUAGGAGAGUGCAUGAACUGACUGGCUAGGCUAACUGAAUAUGAGAUAUCAAGCCUAGUAAUGGUGAGAUAAAUAAGUUUCCCAACCAUUCACUGAUAAACACUAGGGUCCGAGAGAGGUUCACUUUUUUCAUGCCACUGAAGUUUUCUAGCUAGGGGUGUCCAAGCUGGUUUACAUUCCAUCAUGUUAGCUUCAUCUAGAAGAUCAAGAACAUACUUUCUUUGAUUUAAGAACAAUCCCUUUGAAGAGGUAGCCACCUCAAUUCCAAGAAAGUAUUUCAAGGGCCCCAAGUCUUUAAUGGCAAAUUUUUGGUGAAGUGAUUGCUUAAGCGUCUUUAUUUCACUUAUAUUGUCACCUGUAAUAAUUAGGUCAUCAACAUAUAUAAGCACAACCAAUUUUCCAGCAAUACCACUUCGAACAAACAAAGAAGAGUCAGCAUGACUCCUUUUGAACCCUGCAGCUUCAAGGACUGAACUAAGCAUCGAAUACCAAGCUCGAGGGGACUGUUUGAGACCAUAUAUGGCUUUGUGAAGUCUGCAGACCUUGUUGGGUUCAUUUUCUCUUGGAUGACCAGGAGGCAACUUCAUGUACACUUCUUCUUCAAGAUCCCCAUGAAAAAAAUGCAUUCUUCACAUCCAUUUGGAAUAAGGGCCAUGCAUUAUUGACUGUCACAGACAACAAUACCCUCACUAUGUUCAUUUUGGCAACAGGAGCAAAGGUCUCCUUAUAGUCAAUGCCAUAGUUUUGAGUAAAGCCUUGAGCUACUAACUGUGCCUUGUGUCUUUCAAUGCUUCCAUUGGAGUUGAAUUUGGUCUUAUAUAUCCACCUACUUUCCACGACCUUCUUGCCAUUUGGAAGAUCCACCACACUCCAUGUCUGCUUGUCAUUCAGAGCUUGAAGCUCUUUAGUCAUAGCAUCUUGCCACUCAGGCAUGCAUGUGGCUUCAUGAAAAUUCCUUGGUUUGAAAGUGUGGGACAAUUUGUUAAGGAAAGAAGUAUGAGAAGAUGAGAAUCUAUGAUAAGAAAUGGCUGCAGAGAUAGGAUGCCUUGCAGUGUAAGUAACAUACUCUUGUAACCUCAUUGGUGGAUGUCUAUCUCGUGUAGGAUUUCUUCUUGGUGUACUUAUAGCUUGCUGAUUUGGUUGAGCUUCUGAUGGUUCAGAUGAGCUUGGCACUGCAUCAAUUACACUCUCAGUGAGUUAAGAAUUAUCAGUGCUGAUAUGAGUAGGAGUGACUUCAUGAAUUUCUGCUGGAAUAGGUAGUGGAAAUAGGUCCAUAAGAUCUUCCAUAUUAGCAUUAGUCUUCAACCCUUUGUGGAAAUAAGGUGAAUAUUCAUCAAAUCACACAUCUCUAGAGACUGCCAGCUUUCCCGUGUUAGGGUUGUACACUUUGUAACCCUUUUGAGAAAUGGCGUAUCCCAUAAACACACAUUUGACAACUCGAGGGUCGAGUUUGUCAUGAUGGAGAUCUUGAAUGUGCACAUAACAAGUACAACCAAAAGUCCUGAGGUAAGACAAGUUUAUAGGCCUUCCUUUCAUGACUUCAAAAGGAGAUUUAGUAUUCAACACCCGAGUUGGCAGUCUAUUAAUGAUGUACGUGGCAGUGAGUAAGGCUUGAGACCAAAAUUUCUUAGUAAUAUUCAUUUGGAUCAUAAGUGAUCGAGUCUUCUAAUAAGUCUCAAUUCUUUCUCUCUGCCACACCAUUUUGUUGUGGUGUACCAACACAGCUAGUUUGAUGCAAAAUGCCAUGAUUGCUCAAGUAAUUAUUCGUGUUAUUGGAAAUGUACUCGGUACCAUUAUCUGAUCUUAACAUAUAUAACUUAGAUGAAAAUUGAUUGGUGAUUAGGUUGUGAAAGUCGUUAAAAGCAUCAAACAAAUCACUUUUAAGUUUUAAAAGAUACAACCAGGUUACUCUAUAAUAGUCAUCAAUAAAUGUAACAUAAUAUCUAUACCCAUCAAAGGAUUCUACACGAGAAGGACCCCAAAUAUCAGAGUGAACAAGCUCAAAAAGUUUACUAGUUCUAGAAUUAGAGGAAACAAAAGGAAGUCUAGUGGCUUUUGACAUUUGACAAGUUUCAUACUCUAGUGUGUUUUUACAAAAAAAGGGAAACAACUUGGUCAUCACAUGUUCUGAGGGAUGGGCAAGGCGUUGAUGCCAGAGUUGGUGUUCCUGAACUUGACUUAAGUUGACACCGAGCUUUUUGACAAAAUUGGACUCAUUUGAAAGAUAGUAGAGUCCAUUCAAGAAGAACCCUUCACCAAUCUUCUUCUAAGUAACUCGGUCCUGAAACACAACAUUGUGAGGGGAAAAUAUGGCAAGACAGUCUAAGGUUUUUGUAAUUUUUUCCUAUUGACAAGAGCUGAAAAGGAAAAGAAGGUACAUAGAGAACAGUGGAAUCAGUAUGCUCACUUAGCAAUCUAAUCUUUCCUUUCCCUAGAAUAGGUUCCCAUUUCCCAUUUGCAACAGAUACAUGCAUUGGAUCAAUAGUUCUUUGAAAAUCGUGGAGACUAGAGGGUUUAUUAGUUAUAUGAUCAGUGGCACCAGAGUCAAUAAUCCAAAAAUCAUGUGUAACAUUUGCAUUAAGAGCAGUGGAAAUGGCACUGAUAAUACCUGAAAUAUUUCCUUUCGAUGUGUUCUCCGAGUCAGCCAAGAAUCCAGCAAAUUUCCCUAGCAUUGCAGUAGGGUUUUCAAGUGUCAUUUCAUCAGGUUCAGUGCUUCCUUGCUUCUUUUGAAGAAAAGCAGCAAACUCGUUGAUCAAGGACACAUGAUUGUUGAGAAAUUGGCCAUCCCAUCAGUUAUGGAACAAGCUGAAUGAAAUGCUUUUGUAGUGACUCCACCCUUCCCAUCUUUGAUCAUCCUGCCUUCCCUAUCAAACUUAGGCUUUAACUCCGGAUGAAGAAUCCAACAUUUUUCUCUCAAAUGUCCCUUCAUGUUGCAAUAAUAACAUUUCCAGUCUGCUUUCUUGCCAAGUACCCUAUCACCAGUUGCUUUGUGAUUUGUCGUGAAAACCCUAGCUUCAGAAUUGGAUUUGGGCUCAACGUUCAUCACUCUUCGUCAAGUUUCCUCUCUCUGGACUGCAUGACACACACUGGUAAAUGAGGGCAGCUCUUGAGUCAUUAACAAGUGACUACGCAGGUCUUCAUACUUCGUUCCCAAGCUUGCUAAGAGUUGAAACACCUUGUCUUCAUCAGCCAUCUUCAGUAGCACAGCGGAAUCAGUCGUGUGUGGACGAUACAUAUUGAGUUCAUUCCACAUGGAUUUCAUACUUCCAAGGUGUUGAACAAAUGAGUGAUCACCUUGCUUUAAACUAGCCACACUCUUCUUCAGUUAAAAGAUGCAAACUGAGUUGUUUUGGCUGCCAUACAUGUCUUUGACAGACUCCCAUAGGAGAAGGGAAGACUCUGAGUAAUUGAAAAGCUCAGACAGUUUUGGCUCCAUAAAGUUAAGUAACCAGGACAUGACCAGUUAAUCAGUAGCAUGCCAUGCAUCGUAAGUUGGUGAAGUGGAUUAUGCGGGCUCAGAGCUUCCAUUGAUAAACCCUAGCUUCGAUCUUCCCCCUAGAGCAAGUGACACAGCUCUUGACCAAGGAAGGUAGUUGAACUCGUUCAGUAGCACCGAGCAGAGUCGUUGAUUUGGAUUGUUUUCAACCCCUUGGGUUAAGUUUAGGGAGGAGGAUGAGGCACUAUCGGCACUAGACACAUUUUCUUCUGCCAUCUCUUUCGAUGAUGAGCAAAUGAAGAAGUAAAAAAAAAAUGACCCUAUGGUUCCUGCUCUGAUACCAUGUUGAGUUUUGGUUUCAAUAUUUGUUAUAUAUUUCAUUAUGAAGAUUAGAAGAGAGUGAAGGCAACUCUUGUAGAGAGCCAAAAGAAAGCUACAAUAGAUUGUAGGAUAACUACACAAACACAAUCCCUAAAAUCUGCCCUAACAAGUGGAAAAGCAAAAACCAAAUUACAAGUAAAGAAGCUUUUACAAGCAACUAAGAAAUGUUGAUGUAAGGUGAAUGACAAGCUAUGGAAAGUGACUGGUGAAUGACAAGCUAUAGAAAGUGACUUUAGCCUAUGACUUAGCUAAAGUGAGGAUAACAACUCAUACAUACAACCCAUCCAUACAAUCCAUACAAAGUGUUGUUUCCUUUUGUACUGACAUACUACACCUGGAAAAGAAUUUUUUAGUGCUUCUUUGAUUCUGGUUUAUGAAACCUCAAUGAAUAUGAGGACUGGGGGGAAGAUGAUUAAUAAUGAAAAUGAAAGGAUGAAGAAAAUCACACAGAGAAUAUAGGUCCCCACUCAAGUCGUGCAAAGAGAAUAUUACCGUUAGCAAAGCACAGCUGGAUCCUUAGACAUCACAAAGUGAUCUUAGCCACACAUCUAACUAAUUUCUAGGAUCCUUAGACUUCACACAAGGCAUUAUUUGCCGUACAUCUUUGAACCUCACACUUGGCCAUAUUACAACUCUAAGUGAAUAUAGAAUUAAGCUCAUAACUUAUGUCACUAAUUCUAAUCAGCUCGAGACCUACAAUUCAACAGAAUUUGCAUCAUAGCUCUUUUUGUGCAGUGAUCUUUCGUAUAACAACCUCGCCAUAGAGGAUGCAAGUUGUCAACCACGAGGUGGCACGUAAGAAUGUCUUCAUUAGCUUGAAGUUAAUCUGUUUGUGUUAUGUGGAGAAAAGCUUAACUUUUCAUUUGUGUUAAUUUCUGCAGUAACUUGUUUGCAAGCUCGUCAAAAGGAAAUAGUUCGUAAGUUCAAAUUAAUCGUCUCAAAGCAUGCACCUAUAAAUUUACUUCGGUAUCCAAUGGUGUAUUCUUUACUAUUUUUUUUUCCAACUUCGUCUCAUUUAUGAUUGCUGACAUUUUUUGUACCCUGAAUUACUAUAUCCGGAGAAUCGUUUCAUGUUUCAAAACUUCAGAGUGUCCAAAAUGUAAGCCGAGUUUCUACACAAAUAAUUACCUUUAUUUUUUCGCUUCAUUCUUUUUUAGUUUUCCUCCUCAAUGCCUACUAAUCUCCAAUUUAUUUUUUCAUAGAUUUGUACUACUCUCUCCAUAUAAAUUGUGGUGGGAAACAAUUUACGGUCCCUGGAGGAAAAGAUACAGUAUAUGAUGAUGACACAUUUUCAGCUGGACCUUCAUCAUUUACCUGAGCAGAACAAAUUGGGCAUUAAGCAGCACCGGUUACUUCCCUGAUGAUGACCGCCCUUAUGACACCUUUAUAUGGACUAAUGAAACUAGACUCUCUAUGGCCAAUCCUCAACUGUACAUGAACGCACGCCUUUCUCCCAUCUCUCUAACUUAUUUUGGGUUUUGUCUGGGAAAUGGAAACUACACCGUAAACCUCCAUUUUGCAGAGAUAAUGUUUAGAAAUGGCAAAACAUAUAAAAGCUUGGGAAGGCGCAUAUUCGAUAUUUACAUUCAGGUAAGUAUCGCAUCCACUUCCAUGUAUACCAGUGAAUUAUUCUAAUUUUCAACAAGCAUUGUUUAUAUUUUGGUCGAUUUGAAUGUUAACUUUCACAUUUAUGAUCAUGAAAUGUUAAGCAACUAAAUUAGUGUGUGUGUGUGUGUGUGUGUGUGUAUUGCAGGGAAAACUAGUGAAGAAGGACUUCAAUAUCAUGGAUGAAGCUGGCGUGUUUGGUGAUGUAGUCAUAAAGAACUUUACUGCUCCUGUAACUAAUAAUACAUUGGAGAUUCGUUUCUAUUGGGCCGGAAGAGGGACGACAGGCAUCCCUUUUAGAGGAGUCUAUGGUCCUCUUAUUUCAGCUAUUUCAGUAGACCCAAGUAAGUUUUCACUGAUCUGAGCUUCGUCUAAUUACUAUGCG